GGUGCAACAUCUACAAAAGCAGGAAACCCUAACAGAUACCAAGUCAAUGAGGUCUGGCGAUGAUAUUGAGACUGAACAUGCUGUCAAAGGUCUUGGGAAGCAAUUUAAAUUUUUGAAGAAGAGGGAGAACAGACCUAACCUUGUUGGCAGCAAUAAUGAGGCUAACGAAGAUGACAAUGGACCGUGCAGCAUGAAUGUGGGAACUAAUGGCAGACAGCAAAGCAAUGGCGAGCUCAAUUGUGAGAUGGAAUUGAAAAAACUAAUUUCUGAAGAAUCCUUCUUGCGAUUGAAAGAAACUGGCACUGGCCUUCAUUCAAAGGUUUCAAAAUCUCAAGUUUGUUUUGCAUUUCAACUGUAAAGUUUGCUACUUUUUGUGUUUUCAUUAUGCUAAAUUUGGUUUGUUUUAUUUUCAUAUGGAACUGGUAAAAUUAAUUUCUUGUGCAGGCAGUGGAUGAGCUUAUGAAAAUGGCAUACAAAUAUUAUGAUGACAUUGCUUUACCAAAGCUGGUACUAUUUAAUUUAUUUAGGGCCUUUGUUGCAGCCAAUUUAGACGUGUGGGGAUGGUUUAUGGACUAAUUUCCAUUCUUUAUUAGGUAACAGACUUUGGAUCACUUGAACUUUCUCCGGUUGAUGGCCGCACACUGACAGACUUUAUGCAUUUAAGGGGACUACAAAUGCGCUCUUUAGGUCGCGUGGUGAGGAAUUUCUCCCUCUCUUUCUCUCUCAGACAUGCAACCUAUUCACCCGUGGAAAUCAGAAUAAACAAAUGUUGUCUUUCUUUAUGUAAACAAAGCCCCUAAGUUAUCUUUCUAUAUGUAAACAAUCUCCCCAAGUCUUCCUGGAUUGAAUUAUCAAUGUUCCUUUUUGAAAAUUGUACUACAUGAUAGAAUUUUUGACAUGGUGACCUUUUCCAAGAUAUUGAAUUAUUGUCGUCUUUAGAUAUUACUGUAUGUUGUAUGACAUACAAUAUUUUGAGAAAUUGACAUGCUAAUACUUGAAAGCCUGGUAUUCUUCUUCUGUUGGUUCUAAUCCCAUUUACAAAUUCAGGUUGAACUUGCAGAGAAGCUUCCUCACAUACAAUCACUUUGUAUUCAUGAGAUGGUUACUCGAGCGUUCAAGCAUGUACUUAAAGGAGUCAUCGCAUCUGUUGACUAUUUAUCAGACCUAUCUGCAGCUAUAGCUUCUUCCCUAAAUUUCUUAUUUGGCUGUUGUGAGAUGGAAGAUGAGCAAAGCUUGAAUGAAGAUCAUAUCCUUAGAUUGCAGUGGCUACGAACAUUUCUUGGCAGAAGAUUUGGUUGGUCCCUGAAAGACGAGUUUCUGCAUUUGAGAAAGAUUUCAAUUCUACGUGGGCUUUGCCAUAAGGUAAGGUACUGUCUUUUCGGUUCCUUUGGCAGCGGAUUAUUUUCAAAGCUUGAAUUUUGCUUGUAAACUUUACCCAGGUUGGGUUGGAGUUGGUUCCAAGAGAUUAUGAUAUGGAAUGCCCAAACCCAUUCACGAGAGAUGAUAUUGUCAGCAUGGUUCCUGUGUGCAAGGUGAGACUAUUUUCUCUCUUAAUUGUGUUUUGAUUUAGUUUUUACAUUCUCAAUGAGUCACUCAUUUGUAAAUUGAAUGUAAUUGUGCUAUUUUUAUGGCAUUCUACAGCAUGUAGGUUGCACUUCAGCUGAUGGGCGGACUUUAUUAGAGUCAUCCAAAAUUGCCCUUGAUAAAGGAAAACUAGAAGAUGCUGUAAAUUAUGGGACAAAGGUAAUAACCCACUCGAUCUAUACGUAAGAAUUACAUUAUUCUUUUCAUAAUAAGGCAUCUCUUGAUCUCAUAUGAUGUAUUACUUGCAUUGUAAGGCACUGGCAAGGAUGAUAGCUGUUUGUGGUCCCUACCAUCGGACUACUGCAAGUGCUUACAGUCUUCUAGCUGUAGUUCUCUACCAUACUGGAGACUUUAAUCAGGUACGACAAUCUUCAGUUGUAUUUCAGUGUUAACUUGGUGAUUCUAAGUCGAGUAUAAUUAUAACGUCCUUCUGUACGGAGAUUCUCAUUCAGUGGGACAUUUGAUUUGAAACUGUGUUAUGGCUAGUUUUUAUGGUCUUGUAUAAAGAUAUGCAUUAGAAAUUAUAAUUUUCUGGACUUAGGAAUUACAUGGACAGGCAUUAGCAUGAUUUUGAUAUCAGAUUAUAUAUUUUAACUAAAUCAAACACGUUCAUAGUUCUUAUGUUCUGGCAUUUGGUCUAAUGGCAUCUGCGUCUGAGUGUGAGAGUGGCGUUCGUAUGUACUCAAGAUAUCUUCUUCUUCAUUUUAGGCAACUAUAUAUCAGCAGAAGGCAUUGGAUAUUAAUGAGAGGGAACUUGGUCUUGACCAUCCAGAUACAAUGAAAAGCUAUGGGGAUCUUUCAGUUUUCUAUUAUCGCCUUCAACACAUUGAAUUGGCUCUUAAGUAAGUAGCACUGCUUGAUUUACCAGAGCAACUUUGUGAUUUUCAUUCUUUAACUGAUUAAGGUUUAUUUAUUUAUAAAUUAAAUUGGAAGUUUCAAAAAAUGUGACCUUUGUAUUGAAUCUGCUUCGAACGAAUGCAGUUUUUAUCUACCUACUUUAGCUUUCAUUUGUCUUUUAUUGGCUCUAGCUCCUGAUCAUACCGUACCAUUGGCAGAUAUGUAAAUCGUGCCUUAUUCCUUUUGCAUUUUACUUGUGGACUUUCACAUCCAAACACGGCUGCAACAUACAUAAAUGUGGCUAUGAUGGAAGAGGGCAUGGGAAAUGUUCAUCUUUCUCUUAGAUAUUUGCAUGAAGCCCUUAAAUGCAACCAAAGACUAUUAGGAGGUGACCAUAUACAGGUUUUUCUCUCUCUAUUUACGCAUGUAUACAGACUCUUUAGAAUUAUAAAUCUUUCUGUUAACUCAGAAUUUUGUUUGAUUUCUUCACGUGACAGACAGCUGCAAGUUAUCAUGCCAUAGCCAUAGCUCUUUCUUUGAUGGAGGCAUAUUCACUAAGUGUGCAACAUGAGCAAACUACACUUAAGAUUCUCCAAGCAAAGCUUGGACUAGAAGAUCUGCGUACUCAGGUGACUACAUGUAGUCAUAUUUUAAUUGGUUCUGUUGUGCAAUUUGGCUAGUUGGCUUCUUUCUUGUCAAUCUUUUACAGGUGAUAUUAUGAUAUAAAACAAAUUGUAUUGGAGGCAUAUUUUUGGUGUCAAAUAUGGAUAUGACUCAUUCAUUAAUUGUAUCGAAAUAUCAAAAUACGGAUAUGACCCGUUUAUUAAUCGUGUUGACUUGUUUAAUAUUAAAUACAAACAAAUUAAAAAUUAAUUUUAAAAUAACAAAUGUGUCAAAAAAAUGAGUUAUAAAUAAGUGAAAAUGACAUAAGUAUGACAUGAAUAAGUUUAUAACAUAAUGUGAGUAUGACAUGAGUCAUUAAUUUAGUGUUUAGUAUAUAUUUUAGUUUUUUUUUUCCAAUAAUAUUAACACAUAAUAAUUGAUAUUUGUGUUAUAAAUGUAUAAUCAUAUUGAGAUGGUCCAAAACAGAUACGACAUGGUUAUUUAUCGUGUUGUGUCAACUCAUUUAUUAAUCGUGUCAAUAUUUGUCAACACGAAUAUGGGUCAUAUGUCAUAUUAUGUUGUGUAAUCGUGUCGUAAUCCAUUUUGCCACCUCUAAUCUUAACUGUCAUAAGAGAAUUUCUCAAGUUCCAUAUUAUUGAUGGGAAGAGAUUUUUGUUAUUUUGUUGUAUUUUUUUUCGUUUUACAGGAUGCUGCUGCAUGGCUGGAGUAGUUUGAAUCAAAAGCUCUAGAGCAGCAAGAAGCGGCACGGAAUGGAACUCCAAAGCCAGAUGCGUCCAUUGCGAGUAAAGGUCACCUUAGGUAUUAACAGGGUAUUCCCACAUUACUUGUUUCUAAAUUGUUGAUUAUUUCUUGUGGCACCAAGACCUAUAAUGAUCGCUUUUUGCAGUGUGUCAGAUCUCCUGGAUUACAUUAGUCCUGGUCAAGAUUCUAAAAGAAGCGAAGCACAUAGGAAACAACGACGUGCAAAGGUAGUAUAUACUUAGUGCCUGUUUAGUAUGACUUAUCUAAUAGUCAUAAAUUUUUAUUUAAUCCCAUAAGCUGUUAUCAAUUUUUUUUUUUGUUUAAUUGUUUUUUUCGUAGAGCUCUUGAAAAUUAAAUAAGUUAUUUUGCCUCUACUACCAAAAGCUCGAAUUUUGUGCUUUUGAGAGUAGAGGUUAAAAAGUUUUUUUUAAAUCUUAAAAUAUCUAAAAUAUUUUCUACUUAUUUGAUAAUCUUAUUUUAUUCUUUCCAAAACAUAACUUUAAAAAAUUUACUUAUUAAAGUAAUUUUAUAAUUUUUAAUAAAAGCUCUUAUUGACAACCAAACAACACAAAUUUUUUGGGUAAAAACUUUACUUAUAAAAUCUUUACUAACAAAAGCUCUACUCAGAUAAGAUCUAUUUGAAAAGCUAUGUCAAAUGAAGCAUUAAGCCUGCUGCUGUUCUCUGUUCCUUUUUUCUUGUGAUGUCAUCUGAAUGGAUUCUUAAACUAAUUGUAGUUAGGAUUUGGUAUUUUAGAGUACACUCUGCUGGCUGCAUAUAGUUUUGGAUUUGCUGAUGACACGAGUAAACUUGUUGGCCAUGCAAAAUGCAACUAUAUAUCUGCAGGAUAAUAGUUCUACUUUUCUGAGUGAACUCUGAAGGCACCAAUUAUAACAUCCAUUUCCAGCAUAGAAUCCCCUGCCCAACAAAAAGAAAUCUAACAUGCUUAUACAGAUCGCAGACAUGAUUGAAACUUCAGAAGUUUCUGAUCUAUUGAUGGCCAUAGAUUGGGCCAGCUGAUAGUUAGUAGGCAAUGAUGGAGGGUUGCUUGGUCAAGCUGCUAGUUCUUUGGAAAUUCAGAGAUGAUGAGCAGAACGAGUGAUAGUUUUUGUUUUCCCCCGUAAUCAUGAACAGAGUGGGAAGAAACCAUUAAUUUGAAGUGCAAUGGAUGGAUAUGACAGAUCUAUCAUUUUGGCUAGUAGAUGGAGUUCUUCCAUUCUACUGUUAUUUAAUGGUUGUUUUUAUUGAUUCUAGAAAAACAUUUUUCGAUUUGGCAGUUGGAGUUUUGCCCUUUUUUUUUUUCUCCCCAUUUUGUAGGCCUUGGAGAACCAAAUAAUACUACAUAUUAGAUAGACAGGAUUAUUAUGUGCUAAUUUGAAGUAUUACCUGGUUGACAAUUUAAGACACUAGUAAAGUAUUUUGCUAUGAUUAUUUUUUUUUUGAGAAUUCCUUGAUUCAAAAGGCCGAAGAAUUUCAUUAGUUUAACAUAGUAUAUAUUAGCAUAAUUUCUCACUGAGUGUUUUUUUCAACAUUUCAGGCAUGUACAUAUCAAAUUCCCAUUAUGUUCCACUGAAUUCUGCCUCAUGUUAUGUCCGGAUUUGUUGUAAUAAAUUUUGCUACUGUAAAAUUACAAGAUGAUUGUAACUUAAAAUGAACUAUUUCUAUUUGCUCAAUUUUUGACAUUUUAUAUGCAUACAAGUUAAAAAGGUUUUGUUUAUUUUUAUUUUUUUUAUUUUUUCAGGUAAUGCAGAUUAGGGAAAAGAUUCAUGGAGCACAUCAUGAUAUGAUGGUGGAAGAUGCACUGCCCCAUGAUGGAUUGAAAAAGAGUAUGACUAUAGUGGAAAGCAAGACCGAGGAAGUAAUAGAAGACGGUGNNNNNNNNNNNNNNNNNNNNNNNNNNNNNNNNNNNNNNNNNNNNNNNNNNNNNNNNNAAAAAAAAGAAUAUAUAAGGCUUUUGAGGGGUGGCAAGAAGCCAAUCCAAAAGGUAGGUCAGGAAAUGCUGCUGUUCGGAAGCUCAACCGGAGGCGACCUGUUCUUACAAAGCUAAAUGUCAAUGGUUGUGAACAUUCAAAUCUUAGAGAAAAAGGCAAUAGACGGGAAAUUGUAUCUCCAGCACGGGAAAAAGCUUCAAGGACCACCACCACUGAGUUAACAGGCAAGAAGGAUUCAAGUAAAUUGCAGGCAAAAGCUUCUGUCUCCGAAGUUUAUGCAAGUCCACCAAACCUUACUGCCAUGGCUUCCAAGUCGCUGUCUUACAAAGAAGUAGCUGUGGCACCACCAGGUACGGUUCUAAAGCCAUUACCAGAGAAACCUGAUGAAGAAAUUGAAGAAAAAACUGAAACACAGAUGUGCAGUAAUGCUCCUGAGACAUCAAAGGCGGAGUUGAAUAACCAUUUCUCUCCCGUUGAAGAUGCGCCAGUUGAUGGUCAGUCUCAAGAAACUCGUGGAAGUGUAACUCAAUCUGAAACUACUGCUGCAGAUACCGGGGAAGUUCCUUCUUCUUCUAAUGAGGAAAAGCCCAUGGAAACAAAUGGGAGUAAGCUUUCUGCCACAGCUGAACCAUUCAACCCAGGAGCUGUCUCCAUGACUCAUCUGCUACACUCUGUAGCAGCCACGAGUAUUUAUGAUCCGAGAACUAGUCAAGGUAUGCUUGCAGAACCUGCUGUACCUUCGGCUGCUGCUAGAGUUCCUUGUGGGCCAAGGUCGCCUCUCUAUUAUAGAAAUAAUUAUUCUUACAUUAUGAAACAUGGAUUUCCAAAAUACCACUCUUCCAUUAUGGAAAGAAACCUGUUGGGGCCUUCAAGAAUCAUGAACCCGCAUGCACCCGAGUUUGUGCCAAUGAGAGGUUGGCAAAUAAAUCCUGGAUAUGCACAUUCAACUGUUUCAAAUGAGUCAAACUCUUCAAAUGACACAAGUGAGGCAGACGAUGAGAAACUUGACAAAAUGUCCAGUAUUCAAGGCGAGGAUAAUACCUCAAGAAAGAGCAGUACAGAGGCGGAGAAGUCAGAGCUGGCAAGACAGAUACUACUUAGCUUCAUUGUAAAGUCAGUCCAGCAUAAUAUGGAUGCUCCAAGUCAUUCUUCAGGCUACGAAAAGAAGAUUGGGUAUUCAGAAAAUUCUUCAGAUGCAAUUGCAAAUGAUAGUGCUAUCAUAAAGAUCCUUUAUGGAAAUGAAAAGGGCAAAACAAACUUGGCAUCUCAGUCCAAUGAUCAAGAACAGCAAAAACCCAAAGAGGAAAACCAAAAAAGUGGGGAUGGUGAAGGAUUUAUAGUUGUCAGAAAACGGAGAAGAAACCGACAGCAGAUCACAAAUGGGGUAACUGAGAUGUACAAUCAUCAAUCCAUCUGUGCUUCUGUUCGUUAAAAGAGAGAGCAAAGCAAUAAAAUGCAAAGGUGCCGUCCUGUUUCUCCCAAUUUUAUUCGAAAAAUUUGUUAGUGAAUGUUACCGUUGUAGAGAUGGUUAAAGUUUGGAGCAAGUUUUAAUCAAUACUUGAUUGUAUCAUUUUAGAUAUCCUCUCUGGAUGUUCUAAUAUAAUAUUUGUACAAAUCGGUUUCUUGUUUUGUUAAGAGAUUUUGUUUUGAUCAAUAAAUGAUGAUAAAUUAAUUGGGCGAUUUUCCUCAUCAAGAGAUCUGUGAUGUUGUUCUAUAAUGGAUUUUAAUGUUUUAGACUGAGAUUUGUAGUUAUGCCUCAAAUUAUUUGGUAUUUGGUUGGUGCGUGUGAACAAUACGUUCGGAAUGGAGUUGAAUUGACCCACUGAUAGAUAGCUUACAUUUGCAGCUGAAGUUGCUGCACUGAUGAUAUUACAACUGACAUGGUAGGCAAAAUUCCUUAUUCAAUUUAAAUUUGCAAUCAACAGAAACUGAAGAAGAAGCCGUAAGUUUAAUCCUAAUGGAUGCAUAGCUGUUUGGAGAAAAGCCAAUGGAGACAUAACAAAGCACGAUAAGUUAUACACGGCAGAACGGUAUGUGCUAGUAAGCACAGUCACCGAUGGAAAACAUAUUUGAAAAGCCAAUAGUAGCAUGUGUCAAUACAUCUAUCAAUGAAAUAGAACCACAGUCUGCGCCAGUACGAGUUUAUCCAAAGUGCUGCAAGUAAACCCAAAAUCACUGACACAUAGGAUGCUCCAAAACUCCAUCUUAAUGCCACCAUGUCAAUCACAGAAUCGCCUUCAUCUUCUCCUCCUCCUGUAGGUGUCGCUGGUGGUGCCAACGCGCUGCUGCAUUUCCUCUUUAUCAUUGAGCCACAAAGAGCCGAAUUACCUUUAUAACUGCUGUCAUCAAAGGUGGCAAACUGCUCUUUGUCCGGGAUUGGGCCGGACAAAUUGUUGUAUGACACGUUGAAGUUUGAUAAAAAGUUGAGCUCAGUUAGUUGAGGAAUUCGGCCACUUAAUUUGUUGCGGGAAAGGUCCAGGCUCUCUAUCAUUUUCAGAUUGGAGAAGCUCUCUGGUAUAGUGCCUGAUAGUAAAUUAUUGGACAGAUUAAGUGCACGAAUAUGUUGAAGAUGCCCAAUUUCCCAUGGAAUUUCUCCACUGAACUCAUUGCUCGACAAAUCCAGUCCAGCCAUGUCGUCGAGAUUGAGACCAAUGAAAAAUUCAUAUCUAUACUUUGUCACAAAUUCUACACCUACUGGUUGAUCUAGUCCACCAUGUAGUUCACCUGGCGGCAGCAGAUGAAGAGUGGAAUUGUAGUAAGUAGAAGCGGAAUCACGAUUAGACAUAGCAAAUUCAUAUUCAAAUGAACCAUCAUCAAUCGCUUCCCUCCCGAAUGAGAUGUUACCCAGGCAUGAAGGUAUCGGCCCAUUAAGUCUGUUAUGUGAAAGAUCCAUGAUACCUAAUUUUCUUAAUUGGCACAACUGAUUAGGAAUACGUCCUUGUAGAGAAUUCCCUCUCAAAAGAAGAAAAUGCAAAUUCGAAAGCUCAUUGAUCUGAUGAGGAAUCCUACCAAAAAAUUUAUUGUCCCUCAAAUCGAGAGUCAAUAAUGUAGAGCUUCUAAGCAAUGCAAUUGGAAUUAACCCAUUAAUUGCAUUGUUAUGCAGAUAAAUGUGCUUCACUGAUGAAAGAUUGGAGAGAGAUACCAUGGACCCAGACAAACCAUUUUCGGAGAUGUCUAUAAACUCAAGACUUUCAAGAUUGCCGAGCUGGACCGGAAUACUACCUUGCAAAUAAUUUUCUGACAUUAAAAGAAGCCAAAGGACUGAGAAGUUGCCAAUCCAGUGGGGAAUAUCGCCGGAUAACUUGUUGUUGGAUACAUCUAAUACAUCCAGCAAAGUGGAGCUCAACAAACCAUCUGCCAUUUUCCCACUGAAAUGAUUGUUGUUCAAACGUAAUGAACUCAAAUGAGUCAAGUUCAUAAAAUUGGGAAAAAGUUGGCCAUAGAAAUUGUUAUUUGAUAGGUCCAACGUUUCUAAGGAGAGGCAACUAGAGAAUAUAGAUCGAGGUAAUUCUCCUGAAAAAUUAUUUCUAGACAAAUCCAAAGUAAUUAGCUCUUUCAUCUCACUGAUUGAAUAAGGAAUAUUACCUUCAAAACUAUUUUUUGACACAUCCAAAUAUAUCAAUUUCUGAAAGACAAUACCCAAAUUCUCUGGUAGCUUACCAGAAAAAUUGUUAGUGGAAAUAUCUAGAUGACGAAGCUUGUCGUAUUUGGCAUUGGGAAGUCGCGGAAGAAUUCCCGAGAAUGAGUUAUUCCACAAAAUCAAAACUUCUAAUCCUGUGUUGUUUUGCAACAACCAAGUUGGGAAAUUGCCAACCAACUGAUUGUGAGAGAGAUCAAGGAAUUUUAAGUGGUGUUGGUGUAAAAGAAAACUACUAUUGACAUUUAAGUGGCAGUGAGAUAAUUGGAGAACCUUGAGAGGAUAUGUGGGGAGCCAGUUUUCGGUUUUCACUUGCAACAUAUCGUUUCCUGACGAGAGUACCAAGACCUCAAGCUUUGAAUGAUUAGCCAAUGAAUUUAUUAAGAAUGUUCCUUGGAAAUCGAUGAAAGAGAGAUCCAAAUAUUCAAGUGAUGUGAGGUUGGUCAAGACAGAAGGAAAGUUUCCACUUAACUGAUUGUAAGAAAUAUCAAGAACUUUAAGAUGGGUCAAGUUGUUGAGACACUGAGGAAGAUGACCCUCAAAAUUAUUUGAGCUUAAAUCCAACUCAAGAAGAUUCUUCAAAUUACAUAUUCCUAAAAGUGAAAAUAAAAAGCUCAGAUUUCAUAAAACGAAAACUAAUUAUAGCACAUUCAAUCAUAAACCCAAUAUAAGACUUAUAAAACGGACAUGAAAUCAAAUUGUCUAAGUAUUUUGGUCAACAUAAAUAAUAAUAGAAUGAUAUGAAUUUAUUUCUCAUAUAAUAUGAUGUUGAUUGCAAAAGCGUUUCAAUUAAUCUAACAAUAAAAAAGAAAAUAAUAAUAAAAAUAUAAAAGCAGUCAGCAAUUCUUGCUCAUCGUAAUCCAUUCAAUAAGCGUUUCAGCAAUUCUCGUUGUUUAAAAUAAUGAUUUUCUGCGGAAGAGUUUGUUGACUUCGUCUUUUUCGUUGGAUAUUGGUUUUCUAAUCUCUAAAUUUGUUGGAUAAUGUAAAGAGAAACUCAUAAUAUAUUGGUUGCUUUCUUAAACUUUAUUUAAUUUCGUCGAAGUACUUCGACCAACAAGUCACUGGGAAGUAGGAAUUGUGUAAUCAGUAAUGCAAAUAUUGGGUGCGUUGGUAUUGUUUUUAUAUGCUGUUUUUUAUUUUUUGAAUUUAGAAAAUAUUAGAUACGUGUUCGGUAGAUUGUUUCUGAAUUUUUUUAAAAAAUAUAAAAUUCAUUCUACACAUUUUAACAAAAGAAAUGAGAAACAACUUUUUCUUAUUUUCCUUAUUUCCCAAUACAAUAUUAAGUUCCAAAAUGAAGAAUUCUCUUUACCUCCUCCUGAAAUAAUAAUAAUAUCAACAUUAUUAUUAUUAUUAUUAUUAUUCUUGUUGUUGUUGUUGUUGUUGUUGUUAUUGUUGUUCUUGUACCCAAAGAAUCAAUUUCCCUCACAAUAAUCUUUUCUUUUUAUAUACAUUAUAAUAUUUAUGUUUUUAUAUUAACUAAAUCAAAUAUGUAGGGUUUAUCAUUUUUCUUUGAACAAAAAAAAUAGAAAGAUCACCUAAUUUAUUCUUAAAAUUAAAAUAAUCAAUAUACAUUGCUUAAUCUUAAGUUUAUGGAAAUUAUUCCAAUAAUAAUUCUUUGAGACAUUCUUACCAAACAUAUUUGUUUUCUCAUUUUUGAGAUUAUUUUUAAAAUGAUACUGAACACAUUUUUAAAUUUUAAAAAUAAAUUUAAAAAUAGCAUUUUCAUUUUUUUUGUGAAAACAACAAUUAGAAAACAAUAUUGGGCUCUUAUUUAUCAUGUUUCAACAUAAAAACACAAUGUAAAUGGUUUAAUAUGGGUUUCUAGAGAAUUUUUUAUAUUACUAUUACUCAAAUUCAAUGCUUCCAAGCUUUUGAAUUUAGCUAAUCUUGCAUCAAGAAUUAAUGAACAUAAGGAAAAAAAAAUUUAUUCAGAACUAUAAAUAUUGAAAUAAAGAUAAAUAUCAUUGUUGAUUUUUUUGUAAAAAAAGAUUUAGAAUUAAGAGAGAGUGAAAGAAAUGAGCGGGUUAUGUCGGAAAUUGGUGAUAGAGUAUGUCAAGUACUAAACUUUGUAUAGAAAGCAGUGCUUCUAAUUUAAAUUUGAUCUAGUUUAAAGCAAUUAAAAAAUGCAAAUAUAUUAUCAUCUUGAUUAACAUCUAAAACAAUUUUUGUCAUUGGAGGAAGUGAGUUGUUAUAUACCUUGAAUUGUAGUUAUCCCACAAGAAUGAAGAUCCAAUGCUUUCAAAUUUGGCAAAUCUGCCAAUCCUACAUGCGCUAAUAAAAAAUGAAAAUAUUACAUUUAAAGGUAUUGUAUGUGAUCUGCACGUUUGAAGAAUAUUAAUUCUUAAUUUGCUUCUUAUCUCAGAUUCAAUGGCUUACCUAGCGUUGUCAAAUUUUGAUUUAAGCUUAAAUCCAACACUUGCAGGUUUGUCAAAUUUGCUAAUCCUAUUAAAAAAAAACAUAAAUUUUGUCAAUAAUAGUUACAUCACUCUCGUCUAAAUUGUUUAAUUAAAAUAAUAUGAUAAAUAUUAAAUGAAAAUUAAUUGUGCAAAUUGUUUAAUUAAAAAAAUUGCCUUCUAAAGAACUGUGUAUAUAAUAAUUAUAACUCAAAUCCAACGUUUCCAAGCUUUUUAAUUUAGCUAAUCCUGCACCAAGAAAGAAGAAAACUUUUAUUAAUCAUCUUUGGAAAAAAAAAAAGAAUUAAGAUUAAGAAACAAAUUUCAAAGUUAGAUUAAAUAAUUGUAGUAAUAAAGCUUAUGAUGAUUAAGAUAUAAUUAAAUUGAUCAUAUACUCAAAAAUGAUUUUAUUUUAUUUUAUUUUUUAAUUUUACUAAGAAAUUAGAAAGUAAAUUUUUGUCGUGUACCAAUUAUAGUCAAGUUUGUCAAGUUUUCCAGUCAAAAAUUGCUUUUAAUUUGACAUUAUACAUAUGUAAAAAUUAAAGCCAUAAUAAUAUCACAAGGAAUUUGGGUAGUGACUUGUUGCCGUGUACCUUGAAGUGUAGUUAUUCCACAACUACCAAGAUCCAAUUCUUUCAGGUCUGUCAAAGAUAAUCCUAUACCAACGAAAAGCAAACUAUUACUUUUAAAAUUAUUGUAGAAGGUUGUGAUUAGUGUGCUAACUUGGUAGUUAUCUCAGUAGCCUACCUAGCCUUGUUAAAGAGCCACUAGUUAUAUUGCGGUUCCCGCUUAGAUCCAACACUUGCAAGUAUCUCAAAUUUGCUAAUCCUGCUUAGAAAACAUUAAUUUUGAUCAAGACAAUAUAAAUAUAUAUUUUAAUUAAUAAAUUAAUUAAGUUGCCUGACAUGUAUAUCUGCUGGCUUGAAACGUAUAUGUAUACCUUGCUUGGUUCUGGAACCUUCAAUCUUAUUGUAACGAAGAUUCAGAGUGGUAAGUGAAGUUAGUGUAUUCAAAUAUGGUAAUAUGCUGUCGAUGAAGAAAUUAAAACCAAGAUUUAAGAUCUUUAGCUGCUUCAAACUCCCAAAGCUAUCGUAAGCUGCAAAUGCAUAUGAAGUGUUAUUUUUAAUUAGUCACUGACAAAAUAUUUAUGGACGAGAAAUAAAUGUAUACAUAUAUACGGACCUCUAUUCUCACAGAAGCCUGUAAACCCAUUCCCAGGUAAGUCGAGCCUUUGCAAUUCUUUGAAAGGAUGAAACAAUGACAUAUUCAGAAGCGAAGCCGAAGUUCCAUCAUAAUAAUUCAAUCUCUUUGUAUAAUUGAGUGAGAGUUGCAUCACGCGUCGUGUGGUGGCGUUGCACAUAACUCCCUCCCAAUCAUCACAACAAUCAGACGGCAUUCCAUCAUCCUCACCAACCCAUGAAGGAAGAAUUUUGUCAUCAUAUCCAAUAUCACUGACUAAUGAUAUGAAGAAGCUCUUGAUUUCCAACAGAGCAGUCCUCUCUGUUUCCAAGCAUCCUUUGUAUCCAUGAAUUUCAUCCAUCGAUACAAUAAUCCAAAUUAGUGACAUUAAUGAGAACUUAAUACAGGAAGUACUUUCCAUUGUAGAGCAACUUUUCAUUUGGUUAAAAUUAAAUGUGCAAUGAGCAACUUUCCAUUGCAGAGCAAUUUAUACUAAAAGUUUAUCGUAGGUCUUGCAAUUUGAUUGGCUGAAGACUUUUUUAAGACUUUCCAAUACAUUGCCAUCUUUGAAGACUUGUAAGCACUUCAUUAAUACCCCGUGGAAAAUAUAGAUAAAGUGAUUGUAAACUAUAAAUUUUUGUAAUAGUUUGAUGGAGAUAAUCAUAACUAAUAAAAAAAAAGUUGACCGAGAGAAUUUAAAUAAUUCAACCAUAUGUUUGGAUUUCCAUUGCAUUAUCAGUCAAUCUAUUAAAUAAUGUGUUUUGAGAAGAAUUUGAUUGGAUGUUUGAUAAGUUUAAAUUAAUUUAUUAGAAAAUCAAUAAUUAAUCAACAUAAAUCUUCGUAUAUGUUUAGUUAGUGUGGCGUUGUCUGAAAUGACAAAAAACAUAAAUGUUAUUUGAAGCUCUUGUGACCCUUUGUGUUCAUGCAUUUGAAUCAAAGCUGUACUAAAAUCAAAGAUAUUGGGCAUCCUUAAUAAGGAAAGUUUCCAUUGCUCUCAGUCUGCACUCUUCAUUACUAUUGCAAUCACUUGAAAUGACUAAAACAGAAAUUUCGUAUGAACUUGGGACAGCUGCACGGGUCCAAUUUAAAUGACAACUACGUGGAAAAUAAAAAUUUUGCAUAUAUUAUUACAACUACGUGGAAAAUUAAAGUUGACUGACUUUCAAAUUAAGCCAACAAACAAGUGGCCAUCAACUCUUUUUCCACUAACAAUUAGUGGCGACGGUCAAUACUAUAAAAUAAAAGUUGACUAAGAAUUUAUGUAAUUUAAGAGUAUGAUUGGCCUUUUAUUGAAUAUUAUGAUUGGGUUUGCACUGAAUUAUCAAAAAAUCUAUUCAACGAUUUAUAUUCUAAAAUAUUUAGUGAGUUUAGAAAAUUAUUUUAUUAGAUUUUUGUUAAUUUUUUUUAUUAUUAUUAGAUGGCCAACAAUUAAUCAAGUAAUUUUCCAUAUAUAUUUGAUAAUUUACUCAUAAAAGCGUGGACUACAUUCAAAUGGCAUUUUAUAUGAUGUGUGAUAUAUGUAGAGGUGAAAUUUAAAUAGGCUUAAUUUUAUAAAUAAAUACAUAUGUAUUGCAGCAUUCAAUCAUUGUGUUAAAGCGCCAAUCACGGUGACCACCAAAACCUAUGAAUGAUUAGUCCAUCGAAACCCAAUGUAUGCUCAAUUAAUAUUUCCUAUCAAGAUCAAAUUUUUCGCUCUAUUGCUUCAACAAUCAUGAGCAUAAAAGCUCGAUUUAUACAAAAAUUACGAAUUUAUGAAAAAAAAAAGUCACAUUUAUUAUAAUAUGAAGUUUGAUUGAUUUUUAAAGAUUGAUUCAAUCAAUCUUAAUGUUACUGGACAAUCGAUCUUAAUGUUAAUUCAAAAUCAAUCUUUAUUUCGAUGGGCACAGAUAAAGAUAAUUAGUUUUGGUCUCUAUAAUGACUGACGAAGACUUGUAGGACCUGGACCAAUGAGGAAAAACACUUUCAAAUUAAGCCAACAUACAAAUGGUCGUCAAUUCUAUUUUUUACAAAAAUUGAUGGAGAUAGUCAACUAAUAAAAUAAAAGUUGAUUGAGAUAAUUUAAAGAAUGUAGGCAUAAGUUUGGCUUUUAAAUUGUCAAAUAAUUUAUUCCACUAUUGAUACUUAAAAAAGUGCUUUGGAAUUAAUAAUUCAAUAGGGUGUUUGAUAUAUUGGAAUUCGUGAAAAUCAAUAAUCAACUAUUUUUUAUACAUGUUUAGAAAUUUAUCCGGUGUGUAUAGGGGCUUGUAUAUUUCACAAUAAACAUGAAUUAGUACAUCCAUUGAUUGACGUAUAAUUAUAAUCAUAUAAUCAAACACGCACACUACAAGGCGACCUUCGAUUGACGUAUUCUGUGAACUAACCCGUGGGAGAUGGAGGAUGUCUUAACGUUAUAAAAAAAAAUUGAUGAAUAAUAUAGUUCCAGGCAGUGCUAAAACCAUAAUGUACGCCAGUAUGAGUUUAUCCAAAGUCACCGGCUACACCAAUAUCAUUGUGACAUAGUAACAUUCUUGUCCCAUUGAGUGAGAGUUGCAUCACCCGUCGUGUGGUGGCGUUGCACUCAACUCCCUCCCAGUCAUCACAACAAUCAGACGGCAUUCCAUCAUCAACCCAUGAAGUAAGAAUAACGUCUUCAUAUUCCCUAUCACUGAUUGAUAUAAAGAAGCUCUUGAGUUCCAACAGAGCAGUCCUCUCUGUUUGCAAGCAUGCUUUGUCUCCAUGCAUUUCAUUCAUCAAAAUAAUAAUCCAUAUUAGUGAAAUUAAUGAGAACUUGACAAAGGAAGUACUUUCCAUUGCAAAGCAACUUUUCAAUUGGUUAAUAUAAAAUUUGCAACGAGGAAACUUCGAUAUUUAUACUAAACAUUUAUCAUCAUGGACCUUGCAAUUUGAUUGGCUGAAGAUUUCCAACCACCCAACCUAACGAAAAUGAAACAUCUUAGAGAUAUCAAGUAAUAAAAAUACUUGAUUAUCUUAUUUUUGUUUUAGAGGGUUAUUAAAGACAAAACAUUGUCAAUACAUUAUAACAUCGCUAUCUUGAAGUCUUUGUCUUUUAGUGAAGACUUGUAAGCUUGAAAUUACAUAUAUAUUGCAACAUCGACCCAGGAGAAAAAGAACUUCACUAAUACUCCGUGAAAAAUAAAAUUAAAGUUCACUGACUCUCGAAUUACGCCAACAAACAAGCGAGUGCAAACUAUAUUUUCUCCAACAGUUUGAUGGAGAUAGUCGUAACUAAUAAAAUAAAAGUUGUGUGAAAGAGUUUAAAUAAUUUAUCCGUAUAUUUGGGAUUACAUUGGAUUAUCAGUUAAUCUAUUAAAUAAUAUGUUUUGUAAAGAAUUUGAUUGGAUGUUUGAUAAGUUUAAUUUAGUAGUUUAAUUACUCAUAAAAGUGUGAUGUACUCUAAAAUGACAAACACAUAAAUGUUAUUUGAAGCUUUUGUGACCCUUCAUGUUCAUGCAUUUGAAUCAAAGCUAUUAAAAUCAAAUAUAUUGAUAAACCUUAAUAAGGAAAUUAAGUUUCGAUUGCUCUCAAUCUGCAACUCGACUACUAUUACAAUCACUUGAAAUGACAAAAACAGAAAUUUCAUAUGAACUUGGGACAGAUGUACACGGGUUCAAUUUAGCUAAUUUCCCAUAUAUUUACAACUACGUACGGGGAAAAUUAAAGCUGAUUGACUUUCAAAUUAAGCAACAAACAAGUGGCUGUCUACUAUUUUUCCUCUACCAAUUGAUGGAGACCGCCGAUGCUAUAAAACAAAAAUUGAUUAAGAAUUUAGAUAAGGAAAAUUAUCAACUGUCCGUCUUAAGUUUAUCAUUUAUUCAUUUUUCGCCUUAAGUUUACAAUUCGUAUUAGUCAUCUACUAAAAAGAUAGAAUUACACUUAUGAAAUGACAAUACAUAAAUAAAUACAAAUGGCAAUAGUGGUAAUUUUGUAUGAAUUUUUCUAUUCUUUUGGCGGUUGGUUGAUACAAAUUAAAAACAUAAGAAGAAAAAUAAAUAAAUUCAAUCUUUUUAGUAUUUCUGAUAGUAGGUUAAACCAAAGGAGGAGGGCUUUAUAAUUUCCCUUUAAAUAAUUUAAGGGUGUGAUUGCGUUUCUAUUGAAUUGUACGCUUGGAUUUGCAUUGAAUUAUCAAAAAAUCUAUGCAAGCAUCGAAUUGUAAUGACUGACGAAGACUUAUAAGGCUUGGACCAAUGAAGAAAAAUGCUUCAUUAAUGCUCCGUGGAAAACAAGCCAGCUUGGAAGCAGUUGAUCGGAUGGUCAACAGUUGAUUGAGAUAGUCAACUAAUAAAAUAAAAGUUAGUUGAGAUAAUUUUAAUAAUUUAAGCGUCGUUUGGGUUUCAAAUAUCAAAUAAUUUAUUCCAGUAUUGAGAAGAGUUGAAUUCCGUUAUUUUAUUGAGAAGAGAUCCAUCGCUCCCUCCCAAUUAUCACAGCAAUCAGACGACAUUCCUUCAUCACCGUCAAACCAUGAACUAAGAGCUUCGUCAUCGUAUCCAAUAUCACUGCUGCUGAUAUGAAGAAGCUUUUGAUUUCUAACAGAGCAGUCCUCUCAGUUUCCAAGCAAGCUUUGCAUCCAUGCAUUUCAUCCAAAACGACAAUCCAAAGUAGUGAGGUUAAUGAGAACUUAAUGAAGGAAGUACUUCCAUUGCAAAACAGCUUUUUAUUUGGCUAAAGUUAAAUGUGAAUUAAAUAUCUUUGACUGGUGAUAUACAUAUAUUCAGAGAUUUGAAGUGCUCAAACCAAAAACAAAUAAAAAUAUAAAAAUAUUAUUAUAAAAAAAUUGAUGAAUAAUAUAGUUCCAGGAAGUGCUAAUAUGGCUCUUUGAACUCUCUUUACAGUAUUGGUAGAAAUUUAUCCGAUGUGUACAAGGGCUUGUAUAUUUUGCAAUAAAAUAUACGAGCCAAUAUGAAUUUCUUUCUUUCUUUCUCUCUCUUUUUUUUUUUAAGUUUCUCUCUCUUUUUUUUUUUAAGAAACAUGAAUUGGUUCGUCCAUCAAUUAAUAAUAAAACCAUAAUGUACACCGGUAUGAGUUUAUCUAAAAUCACCGGCCACACCAAUAUCAUUGUGACAUAGGAAGCGAUGAGGAAAUUUACGAAAUAUUUAUUAAACCAUAGUCUACGCCAGUAAGAUGGAAUUAGCAUUCAAUGAUCAUAGACUUUCUGCAAUUUCAUUGACUUGUGAUCAGGGAGUCCUUAUUCUACAAUAAUUAUAAUCAAACACGCACACUGCAAGGCAACCUUCAAUUGACGUAUUCUGUCAACUAACUGGGGACAGGGGUCAUAAAAGGGUACGUGAGAGAAAGCACGAGUCUAUGCACAGUUCCGGUUUUGCUAGUUGAUGGAACAUGGAGGAUGUGUGUUAACGUUAACCAAUAGUCAAGUUUAUGAACACAACCAAGUAAUCGUAUCAUCAAUCAGAACCACAUUCGACGCACGACUAGUAAAUAUCAUAAUUGAGUUUGAGGACCACAACCGCACAGUGAAAGAAUUUGAAUGAAGGAAAAGUAAAAGAAAAGGAAAAGGAAAAGAGGGGAAUGCUAAAGAAAAAUAAGUUGAUUCAUCAGUUAUUCAAUAUGACAAUUGCACACAAAUUUUGGAUGUUUUUAGCCUCCAUGUGAAUCAAAAUAAUUAAUAGAGACUAUCCCGCGUGUCACAUGUAACUAACUUUGGCGCCAUCUUGAGCUACUUCUGUUAAGGUCUUCACUCCAUAGUCUUAAGAACACAAUGCACAAUCAAUUCUUCAGAUUCAUAUGGCAAAUGAAUUACUCAUAAAAGAAAGAUAAAGUAAACUAUGGCCUGGUACUGUCGUUUUAUGCGUUCUAGUGGUGUUGUAGUAUAAACAGUACUCGUUUUUCUAUCUUGGUGGUUUCUUGAUUGUGUUCAAAUAUCAAUACUCGGAGACAGAUAGAGGAAAGCUAAAGAAAAAUAAGCUAAUUCAUCACUAACAUAAUAUGACAAUUGCACGCAACUUUUGGAUGUUUUUAGUCACUGAAAUUUUUAACAUUAAUGAUUAAUUACAAGUAUGUGAAUGAAAACUUAUAAACAAAUUUUGUUUACAGGAAAAAUGUAACUGUGAAAGAAAGUAAAAGAGAGCAGAGAGACUAAAACCAGAGGAUUUCAUUCGUCAUUUCAUAACUAUAUUCCUAGUGCAACUGCGCAAGGUUGAGCAUUCAAAGUCCAUAAUUCUAAAUCAAAAUCACCAACAGACACCUGUACAUGAAAUACUCAGGCCUUUACUCUGGACUUAAGACCGCAUGUCUGAGAAAUUCGUCAGAUUCAUGUAGCAAAUGAAUUGCACAAGGAGGCAUAAAAAUUAGUAUAUUUUUCAAGGACCCAGCUUGAAAGCAAUGAACUAAAAAUUAAUACAUAAAAGUUCAAUUACACGUAAAGAAGGAUAAUAGUAAACUAUGGCCUAGCAAGAUGACGGAUGAAAGAAAACCAUGGCCAGCGCCAAUACGAAUUCAACCAAAGGAUUCAUCUUAAUUGCAGAUUCAUCUUCGUCUUCUCCUCGAUUGGAUGUUAUUGCUGGAUUUUCCUAUGUUCUGGUGCAAGUCUUAUUAAUUGUUGGACCACAAAGACCGAGAUUAUAACUCUUUUCAUCAAACCUGCCAAAUUGUUUUUUGUCUGGGAUCAGACCGGACAAGUUCUUAUAUGACUCGUUAAAGUUGGAUAAAUAGUUGAUUAUUGAUCAGAAGAUCACUAAUCAGAAAAUUUUUCAUUUAUGUUUGUGUAAAUUAUUCAUAAAAGUAUGGUCUACUCUGAAAUUACAAAAAUAAACAUAAUAAAUUUGAAUAAAGGAAAGGAAAAUGAGAAGCAAAACAGAGGAAUGCUAAGGAUAAAUAAGCUGAUUCAUCAGUAACUCAAUAUGGCGAUUGCACACAACUUUUGGAUGUUUUUAGCCUCUGAAAUUUCAAUAUGAAUGAUACAUUACAAAUAUGUGAAGCAAAACUUAGAAACCAAUUUUUGCUUACAGAGAAAAUGUUAAAAAACAAAUAAUGAUAAAAGAGUGCAGAGAAACUAAAAACAGAGGAUUUCACGGAUCAUAAUUUAUAAGUGAUAUUCCUAGUGCAAGGCUGAACAUAAAUCUUAGGUGUGCGAAUCAAGAUCAUUAACGAAGAGAUCACGCGUGUCCCAUGUAACUAACUUUGGCGUGAUGUAGGAUGGUUGCAUAGAAUGAGUAGGGUAUCUUUCAAAUGUCAUAACUUGGGCUACAAGUGUAACUAACAACGACGAUGCUCAAGUUUGGUUAUCGUCGAUGACUGCGGAUUGAUGUUCGUAGCUCCUCCUAUAUCAAGGAAAUGUCAUAAUUACUUUCCAAACAUAAGAAAUACAACUAUUUUAUGUGAUAUGAUUCACAAUAAAUAUUUAUCCCAUAGCUUAUAACUCUCGAAUCCAUUAUUUGUAAAUAAAAAUUACCCUAAUACUCUCAAAACCAUCAAUUGCACCUUAUGCUCAAAAUUUCAUAUUCCAGCUCAAUAAUUAAAUUUCCAUAUCCUAUAAUACUAAUAAAUCAGCCACAUUAUCGCCAAUCUCAUUAUUAGCCAUGAACUACCCAAACAUAAUAUAUAACAAUAAGCUAUUUACAUACCGAAUUGAGGAAAUAGUGAGCGCUACACAUUUUGGCUCUAAUGCCUUGGUGCCCUUGUGCACCUAAAAUGAUCCACCAAUUACUAAAAUUAGCUUGGGACUGACUACACCCAUUUGUUGGGAACCCUAACUAUAAAUAAAGUACACUAAUCUUUGAAUUAUUUUCAUUUUCAUGUAAAUGCAAUUUCAGGUAAAGAUAAAAUGAUAGAAAUCUUACUUCAUUUGGUAAGAAAUUCAACUUGAAAGCUUGAAUCCCUUCCCUCUCACUGAAAUCCUUUCUCUACACUUCCUACAUUUAAAUUCCUCUCCAAUGAAUUUCCAAAUGAACUUAGGGAUAAAAAUACUCUAGAAUGACUCUCGAAUCCAAGUUGUGCAAGACCAAACUCAAUUUUGGAAAAAUCCUAAAUCAUGAAAAUUUUCCCAUUGUCUUCCUCUCAUGCCCGUGAGCUUUUGCAAAGCAAUGGUAAGUGCUUUCUUUUUUAAUUCGCUUUAUAUAUAAAACUUAUUUUAUUUUUUUGUUUAUGGGCUUUUGAAAUAUCCAUUUAGGCCCAAUUAAAGAAAAUUAAUUUAUAUACAUUCGUAUUCAUAAGUUAUUAUUAAUAACUUGUAUAUACAAGUCAGGGCAGUACGCAAAUUUACUGAAUACAGAGUAAAGUUGUACUUUAAUUGGUGAACUCUGAAGGCACCAAUUAUAACAUCCAUUUCUAGCAUAUAUAUAUAUAUAUAUAUAUAUAUAUCAUGGAAAUCUGACAUGCUUAUACAGAUCACAUACAGGAUUCAGAGAUGAAGGGCAGCAAAGAUUGAUAAUUUUUGUUUUCCCCAAUCACCUUGAACAGAGUGAGAAGAAACCAUUAUUUCUAUAUGUGCAGUUCUUCCAUCCUAUUGUUAUUUAAUGGUUGUUAAAUAUAUAUUUGCAACCAACAGAAACUGCAGAAGAAACAGUAAGUCUAAUUUUAACGAAACCGCUCGAAGGAACUUCAAAACAUGAGCAUAGUUUUAGAACCAAAUUAAGAAUUUUAGCAAACACAUACACUGAUACAUAGCAGUUUGCAGAAAAGCUAACGGAAUACGUAACACAGCAUGACAAGUUAUACUCGCAGACCCGUAGGAACUUACUACAAUGGCCUAGCACAAUCACCGAUAGAAUGCAUAUUUGAAGAGCCAAUAGUAGCAUGUGUCAAUACAUUCAUCAAUGAAAUAGAACCACCGUCUACGCCAAUAGGAGUUUAUCCAAAGGACUGCAAACAAACCCAAAAUAACUGUCACAAAGGACGCGCCAAAACUCCAUUUUAAUGCCACCAUAUCAAUCAUCGAAUCGUCUUCUUCUUCUUCUGCUCCUUCUGUUGGUGUUGCUGGUGGUUUUAAUGCACUGCUGCAUUUCUUCCUUAUCAAGGAACCACAAAGCUCUGCUUCUACUGUUUGAUUUAUUGAGGCAUGUGGUUCAGUGGGCGGUUGAAGAUUAAGAGUAGAAUUGUAGAAAGUAGUAGCAAUAGAAUCGAUGUAGAAACCCUGAUACGCUGUGUAUUCAUCAAGCAAACCAUAGUCAUACAAAUAAUAAUUAGUUCAUUCUCUCCAGAAUGACACGUUACCCAAGCAUGAAGGUAUUGACCCACUAAAUAUGUUAUUUGAAAGAUCCAUGAUACGUAAUUUUGCUAACUGGCACAAUUCAUUAGGAAUAUGUCCUUGUAGAGAAUUCCCUCUUAAAAGAAGAACAUGCAAAUUCGAAAGCUCAUUGAUCUGAUAAGGAAUCCUACCAAAGAAUUUAUUAUCCCUCAAAUCUAGAGUGAUUAAUUUAGAGCUUCUAAACAAUGCAUUAGGAAUUUACCCAGUAAUAGCAUUCUUCUGCAAAUAAAGGUGUUUCACUGAUGAAAGAUUAAAGGAAGAUACCAUGGUCCCAGACAAACUAUUUUCAAAGAUGUCUAUAAGCUCAAGACUUUUAAGGUGGUUGAGUUGGACUGGAAUAUUAGCUUCCAAAUAAUUUUUUGACAUUAAAAGAACCCUAAGAGUUGAGAUGUUACCAAUCCAAUUAGGAAUAUUACCGGAUAUAUCUAACCCCUCUAAUGAAGUGGAGCUCCUCAAACCAUCAUCCAUCUUCCCACUGAAAUGAUUGUUGUCAAAAAUAAAUAAUUCAAAUGGGUCAAGUUCAUAUAUUUGGGAAAAAUUCGGCCAUAGAAAUUGUUAUUUGAUAGGUCUAACAAAUCUAGAGCGACGCAACCAGAGACUAUCGGUCAGGGUAAUUCUCCCAAAAAAUUAUUUCUAGAAAAAUCCAGCAUAUAUAACUCUUUCAUCUCACCUGUUGAAUAAGGAAUAUCACCUUCAAAAAUAUUUUUUGACAUAUCCAAAUAAAUCAAUUUCUGAAGGACAAUACCCAUAUUCCGUGGUAGCUUACCAGCGAAAUUGUUAUUGGAAAUAUCUAGAUGACGAAGCAUAUCGUGUUUGGCAUUGGGAUGUAGAUGAAGAAUUCCUGAGAGUGAGUUGUUCGCCAAAGACAAAUAGUUUUAUCUUGUGUUGUUUUGGAACAACCAAAUUGGGAAAUUGCCAACCAACUUAUUAUGAGAGAGGUCAAGGAAUUUUAAGUGGUCCUGUUGUAAAAGAAAACUUGGAAUGACAUGUAACUGGCAGUCGGAUAAUUUGAGAACCUUCAAUUGAGAUGUCGGGUGCCAGCUUUCGGUUUUCACUUGUAACAUAUUGCUUCCUGAUGAGAGUAACAAGACCUCGAGCUUUGAAUGAUUAGCCAAUGAAUUUAUUGAGAAUGUUCCUCGGAAAUUAAUGGAAGAGAGAUCCAAAUAUUCAAGUGAUGUGAAGUUGGUCAAGGUAGAAGGAAAGUUUCCACUUAAUUGAUUAUUAGAAAUAUCAAGAACUUUGAGAUGGGUCAAGUUAUUGAGACACUGAGGAAGGUGACCCUCAAAGUUAUUUGAGCUCAGAUCCUACUCAAAAAGAUUCCUCAAAUUACAUAUUUCUGAACCUGAAAAUAAAAGAUCAAAAUUUUAUAGAAUGGAAACUAAUCAUAGCGAAUUCGGUCAUAAUCCAAUACAAGACUUAAAAAACAGACAAAAAUCAAAUUGCCUAAUUAUUUUGGUCAGCACAAAUAAUAAUAGAGUAAUGUGAACUUAUUUCUCAUAUAAUAUGAUGUUGAUUGCAAAUGCGUUUCAAUAAUCUGAAAAAAGGGAAAAAAAAUGCCCUCAGCACUUUUUGCUUAUCAUAACCCUAAGUCCUUGUUUAUAAUUAUAAUUUUCUGAGGAAGAAUUUGUUCACGUGAUGUUGUUCAUUGGACAAUGGUUCUGUAACCUCUAUAAUGUAAAGAGAAACUCAUAAUAUUUUAGUUGUCUUCUUAAAUAAUAAAUUGUCUUAAAAUACAAUUAAUUUGUCUUAAAUUUAAUUUAUUCCUCAGCAUUCAAGGAAAAACAAAAACAAAAAAAAAAGAAAAAGAAAAAAGAAAUGGUCUUCAUAUAUAAUUCUGUCCAAGUACUUUGAUACACAAAUCAAUCGGAAGGUGGUGUAUCAGUAAUGCAAAUAUUUAAUUAUCAUGUUUCAACAUAACAAUUCUGUGUAAAUUGUUCGCUUUAGGUUUCUAGAGAACUGUUUAUAUUAUUAUUACUACUCAAAUUCAAUGCUUCCAAGUAUUUGAAUUUAAUUAGCUAAUCCUGUAUCAAGAAUUAAUGAACAUAAGAUAAAUGUCAUAUUAAUUAGAUUUAGAUUUUUUUUUUCCAGUUUUGACGUAUAGAUAUAAAUAAUACUUCAAAAGCAUUGAAAUGUAAGAGCUAUUAAAAAAUCGUUUUUCAUUCAAAGCUAUAAUUAAUGAAAUGAAGAUAGAUAUCAUUGUUCAUUUAAAAAAAAUUAAAUUCAGAAAAAAGAAAGAGCGAAAGAAAUGAGCAGGUUAUGUUAAUAAAUAGUGAGAGAGUAUGUCAAGGACUAAAAUUUAUUAAAGAAAGCAGUGGUUCUAAUUCAAAUUUGAUCAAGUUAGAAGUAGUCAAUUAUGCAUCGAGAAUCAAAAGAAUGAAGAAUGGGAAUUCAAAAUUAGCUUAAAAAUUAUAAUAAAGUGAUUAGUUAAGAUUCAAUUAAGCUGAUUUACUAAAAAAUAUUGAAAAAUAAAAGACCACAACAUUGCCAAAAAGACUAGGAAAUUAAGUAGGAAGGGGUGAUUGUUGCGGAAUACCUUGUAGUUAUUCCACAACCACGAAGACCAAUUGCUUUCAAGUAUUGCAAAUAUGCCAAUCCUACAUCAAUAAAAAGCAAAAUGUUACUUUAAAAUUAUUGUAGAAGACUGUGAUCAUUGUGAUAGAUCGGUAAUUUCAGUAGCUUACCUAGGCUUCUUAAAGAGCCGCUUGUUAGAUUGAGGUUCCAGGUUAGAUCCAACACUUGCAAGUUUCUCAAAUCUGCUAAUCCUGCUCAGUAAACAUUAAUUUUGAUAAAAACAAUAUGCAUAAAUAUUUUAAGAGAUUAACUUGCCUGGCAUGCAUUUCUGCCUCAAACAUAUUUACCGUGCUUGAUUCUGGAACCUUCAAUGUUAUUGGAACGAAGAUUCAGAGUGGUAAGUGAAGUUAGUGUAUUCAAAUAUGGUAAUAUGUUGUCGUUGAAGAAAUUACCACCAAGAUUUAAGAUCUUCAGCUGUUUCAAACUCCCAAAGCUGUCGUAAGCUGCAAAUGCAUAUGAAUUAUUAUCAUUAAUUAGUCACUGACAAAAUAAUUAUGAAUGAGUAAGAGAUACAUAUGCUUGUACCUUUAUUCUUAUAGAAGCCUUUAAACCAAUUUAUCAGAUAAGUCAAGGCGCUGCAGUUCUUCAAAAGGGUGAAAUAAUAAUGACAUAUUCAGAAAAGAAACUCCAUAAGAAUAAGAGUUAUAAUCAGAGUAGUUGAUUUUUGUUUUCUGAUUGAGUGAGAGUUGCGUCACCCGUAGGGUGGUGGCGUUGCACUUAACUCCCUCCCAGUCGUUGCAACAAUCAGACGACAUUCCAUCAUCAUCAAACCAUGAAGAAAGAAUUUCGUCAUCAAAUCCAACAUCACUGGCUGAUAUGAAGAAGCUCUUGAUUUCCAACAGAGCAAUCCUCUUCGUUUCCACGCAUGCUUUGUAUCCAUGUAACUGAAUCAAAGCCAUGCCAAUCCACAAUGACAACUUCAUCAAAAGCAUUUUCAUUUUUAAUAUUAACUGCUAGAGAAACACUCACAAGAUUGACCUGUCAAUUGUUGCUCUCUUGAAUUUUUUCUGGUUCCAUAGCAAAUAUAUGACUUAUAUAUAUACAAUGGAAAUUUUGCGCAGAAUGAAAAUUUUGCACAUUUUCACGUGCCAUGUCAAUGAGAAAACAUGCAUGGAUAGAAAAAAGUAGGUGAGAGAAUGUUACCUGUUGAUACAUGUUAUCUGCUUGUGACUUUAGUACCGUCCAAAGAAAUUGAAAUGUGAAAUAAUUGAAGAUGCAAAUUGGUUGAUUUCACGGGCCUGGCCUCUGGCAAAGUGAAAUGUUGGCCACGCACUAUACCAGUAAAGUGUCAACAUUGUAGCAUAAGGAAAUUGCGGCAUCUCAGCUGGAUUUUGAGAGUCACUAUUUCGUAUAAUCAGUCCCAUUUGUUCGUGGGGACUCACAUUCUGUCCUAUUGUGGACUCACAAAUAUUUAACAUGAUUUUGAUAUUUUGAUAACUACUUAAACCGCAUUUCCUUGAUAAUUAAAGAAAAAGAGAAGUGAAUGAAGCAAAAGAUACUGAUGACCAUAAUUAUGUAAAUAAAUACAAGACUUUACAAUAGAUUAGACCACCAAUUUGUGCUUUUUCGUCCAAAAAUAAUGCAUCUGCUUUAACAAGAUACGAGUGAAUUGGGGCAUAUCUUUCUUUCAUAAUGUAAACUUGCCAAAAUACAUGUAAUCUGCUGGUGAAAUAAUUUUAUAAAACAAAGGCUUAAAGUUAAAGCUGACUAAAAAUAUUGGUGUACGUCAAGAACGCUACGGGGAAAAUUUAACCGCGAGCUGCAGUCUGCAGUCCCCAGCAAUCCGGGAAAAGGCUGAGGUGGUGCGGGCCUGCCCACUAAUUUGGCAGGUCUGAUGGGAUUUAUAAAUAAAAAUAAUGUAAUUUUAUAUAUUUUUUAAAUAAAAAAUUUGUUGAUGCCGUUGUGAGAUCCAUUGGAUCCAAGGUCUUGAAGAGGAAAGAUCACUAUGGCUGCAAGGUCUGGAAGAGGCAAGUCCAAUAAAGCCAAGGCUGACAAGAAGAAGAAAGAAGAGAAAGGUUUCAAUUGUUAAGCCUUAUUAUUCACUUCUUUCAUUGGAAAGUGCUUUUUGUAAAGUGCUUUUGCAGUCUAGCUUCCGUAUGUUCAUUGAUUUCUUUUGUUGUGCAGUAGUACCCAGUGUUCUUGAUAUCACAAUCAUCACCCCAUAUGAAUCACAAGUUGUUCUCAAGGUAUACAUAUAUACUUAUCAUUAAUACUUUCUCGUUUUGCCCUCACCAGCUAUUAUUAGGAUAUUAUUUUGUAAAACUUUAUAAAUAUAAAUGAAUUAUUAAUUAAUCAUCUUUUUCUUGUUUGAUUGAAAUUUGCUCGAAGGGCAUCUCCACUGACAAGAUACUUGAUGUGAAAAAAUUGUUGGCUUCCAAUGUAGAAACUUGCCACCUCACAAAUUAUUCUCUCUCUCACGAGGUAUAUAUAUAUAUAUUUUAUUAUCUCUCUUUUUUUUAAUUAUAUAAGAUUAUGAAUAAUGAUAUUAAGCACUAGAUACUAUUUUUUUCCACCUUAUUUUUAUUUGUUUAUUUCUUUAUGAUAUUAAUGCAUUAUUAGUUGUUUUUUUUUAUCAGGUCAAGGGGUAGAAAUUGAAUGAUAGAGUAGAGGUUGUUACUCUGAAGCCCUGUUUGCUCAGAAUGGUUGAAGGUAGGUGAAGCUCUCUCGUGUCAAAAUUUCUGAAUUAAAAAGUCUCAUGCAUGUGGAUGUGGGUCUCAUCUUAUUUGUUAUUUUUAAGAGUUCUGCUAUUUACCUCGGGUUAAACCCCGAAAGCUAAAACAAAACGACGUCGUUUCCUCUUCUUCAUGAAACGCUACCGUUUCACCCUAGCAAAAGCAAACGUUCCUCUCCUCUUCAUUUUCGUCUUCCUCUCCUGACUCCUCUUCGUUUCACCAGGGAACGACAUUCGUUUUGUUCGUUUUGUUUAAGAUCCAAAUCAAAGAAAUUUCCUUUUAAACAAAUCUGCCAUUUGUUUUCUCCUUUGAAAUUUCCUCUUAAAAAAUCUGCCAUUCGCGCAGGCAUGGUCACCGUCAACGUGGCAGGCAUCACGCGCAUCUCUCAUUGAACUCAUGAAGCGUCACAGUUAUCACAGCCGCAGGUAAUGCUUUGAUCUUUAGCUUUUCUAGGUUACGGUAAAAUGGGGGCAAUUUUGAUAGCUAUCAUCAUUUCCGUUUUAUUUAAUUUUCAGUUGAAAUAGAAUGUUAAGGAAAUAAGUGUGUUAAAUUGCAAUUGGUUUGUAAUUUAUGCUAAAUUGGUCUGCAAUUUGUGCUUGAGUUGGUCUGCAAUUUGUGCUUGAAUUGGUUUGCAUUUGUGCUGAAUUGGUCAGGAAUUUGUGCUGAAUUGGUCUGCAAUUUGUGCUGAAUUGGUCUGUAAUUUGUGCAGAAUUGGUCUGUAAUUUGUGCUUGAAUUGGUCUGCAAUUUGUGCUUAAAUUGGUCUGGAAUCACCAAAUAGUCCAGAAUUGUUGAUGUAACUUUUACAACUCUUAUAAAUAAUAGAAAGCAAGUUAAUUAGAAGCACCAAAAUAGUUCAGAAUCACCAAAAUAGAAGCACUAAAAUAGUCCAAAAUUGUUGAUUUUGUGGACACACACAGACACACACACAGGGAGAGAGAGACACGCACAGAGAGAGAGAGAGAGAGAGAGAGAGAGACACACACACACACACACACACACUGACACACACACACAGACACACACACAAAGAGACACACAAACACAGACACAGACACACACAUACACACAGCUUUGUUCAGCCCACUUUAGUAGCAAAUUCAAAUACCAAGAAACUGAGUUGGCCUUAUAAAACAUUGUUCUGGUUUUCUUUUCAUUAUUAACUGUAAUUGUAUCCCUUUUUGAGCUGUUUCUUUCCAACGGUCUAUGGCUUUACAAAUAAUGUCAUCCAACACAACCGAGAAUUGAAUCUCAUUGCAAAUGUGUAAUGGAUGUGGUGAUCAGAUGGAGCUGUUAACGUCACGCACAACAAAAAAUCCAAAUUGCAAAUUUUGGAUUUGUAGAGGAUGUAACAACUUUCAAUGGGCAGAAGAUCGUAAAUCUAGCGAAGAGAAAAUAGACUUGUUAGCGGAUGAGGUUAGGAAGUUGGCCUUGGAGAUUGAGUGUUUGUCCGUUAAAUUUCAACUAUUGCAUAAAGAACUUGAGCAUAUGUGAGAUCGUGAAGUGCAGAGGCGAUUGUUGGACGAUGAACUUCGAAAGAGAGAGGCACUACGAUAUGAUUUUAUUAAAUUAAUCAUGAUUGUUGUAUUAUGUUUUCUAUUCAAGUAUUGUUUUUAAGUUGUUUCAAUUUGUACUAUGUUACUGGAAAAGACUUGUAUUGUAGAAUUUGACCACUAUAUGUAAUAGCAUUUUCAUGUUAAAUAUAAGUUUUCGAUUGUUUGAAUUAAUUCAAAGUAUUCUGAAUUUAGAAUUUGACCCCCAGAAUACUUCUCAAAAUUAUACUAUGUCCCAACUCAUUCCAAUAUGUUCCAAAUAGAUCCAUUUUCAGAAUUUACAAAGUCUAAAAUUUAAAAAAUAUCGAAAUACACAUACACCAAGUUACAUUAGCUUUACAAUAAUACAUAAAACAUAAGCUAACUUUGUUGAUUCGUCAAGCCAAUUCCAAUGAACUUCGAUCAUGUGCUUGGUUCAUUAGUUGAAAACUCCCCUCGAUUGGCCUCCUCGAAAUUUUGUUGCGGAAAAUAUUGCAAGUUUGCGUGAUGGACUCCGCUGUAAUUCAUCCAAGACUGAUAAUAAGGGAGGAAAAAUGCAUGUUCUAGGGGUGCUUGCUGUGCUAGCUGUUAUACAAAAAAAAAAAAUUAUAUACAAAUUAUCAAACAUAUGACAAUGAAUGUAAAUAGCAAAAAAAAAAAAAUAUUACCAUAGCCAUAUGGCUCUCUUGUGUUGGGAUUGUAGUAGCCACUUGAGAAGAAAAAUCAUGUAUCUCCGAGUCCUAGAAAUAUGGUUAACACACAUUUAAAGUAUAUAUUAAAUUUAUUUAAAAUGAAUGUAUUAAAUAUAAAUGCAAUCAACAUACAUUUAAAGUAUACAUUAAAUUAAUUUAAAAUGAAUGUAUUAAAGUAAUUACCUCUACAGUUGUGCUUGUCGAAGCAUUAUUCGACUUCUGUUUUGGCCUCUUAAAUUGCUUUUGCUUUCUUUGACUAGGUGGACGAUCUUUACGCCGAGUUACUACUGGAUCAUAUAUAAUUUUGAUACAGCUUCCUGAUCCACUAUAAAUGGUUGUAUCGUGACCGUCACUUCGAACAUUCAGAGAUACAUCCUCCAUUGCUUUCUCGAUCCAACCCAUAAUAUUUUUAUGGCUUUCUUCAUUUUUUGAAGUUACCUCAGCAACAUCAUAAAAAUCAGUGCACUCCUCUUUAUAUCGCUGAUGUUCAAUGCUCGAACUUCGUGCAUCAUAAUUGACUUUGACUUUACUAUAGAAUCUCCGCACAUCUUUCCUCUAUCUUCGUAGAAUAUACUUUUCAGGCAGUAAUUGUAUACGGUUACGUGACAACACUGCGAUGGCGUGUCUGCAAAGAAUGCCCUUAUAUUCAAACAUUGAACACACACAAUGAACUUCACCCUCAUCUUUUGCAAAAAUGACUUGAAAAGUAUUUUCUCUACUAUUUUCAUCGUUUUCAAUAACUUCAUAUUCUAAUCCACCACAACUGAAAACCUCACAAUAUAUCUUAUUCACCAGCUCUUGCUGAAAUUCUUGAAACUUGGAAAUAGUGUACACUUCUUCAACUUGCUUCUCCAUUGCAAAACUGGUACGACAUGGCAUCCGUUGGCUAAAACACCUAACAUCCGCUUGCCAUUCUUUCUCAAUUUUACUUUCCAUUGCUUUCUCAUAUUUCUCCACAAAUUGCUUCAAAGUUGUUUUCGAGUUAACAUACCCAUCAAAGAAAGCAUUCAUACUUUCACUACGCUGAGUGGUUGGCAUUCCAGCCCAAAAAGAAGUUUUUACGAAACAUGGAACCCAACGAUUUCUUUCCUCAUAUAAACCAUUUAACCACUGAUUACUAAGAUCAUAUUUAUCUAACAUGUCAUGCCAAGCUUUCUCGAAUUCAACAGGAGUAUAUGAAUCAUAAACAAUAGAAUGUAAUGAAACUCUAAUGGCAUGAUAUUCAACAUACCUUCCUAACUUCUCAGGCACCUUUUUCAGUAUAUGCCAUAAACACCAUCGGUGCCUAGUGUUUGGAAAAACAAUCUCAAUCGCAUUUUUCAUCUCUUUGUCUUGAUCUGUAAUGAUUCCAAGGGGAGGAGAGCCAGACAUGCAUGAUAGCCAUGUGUCAAAUAUCCACGAAAAUGUCUCCGUGUCCUCAUGCGAAAUCAACCCACAUCCUAACAAAAUUGAUUGACCAUGAUGAUUAAUUCCUACAAAAGGAGCAAAUGACAUGUCAUACUUGUUUGUAAGGUAUGUGGUAUCAAAUGUGACCAUAUCUCCAAAGUUUUUAUAGGCUGCCUUACUCCUUGGAUCGGCCCAAUAUACAUUUUUUAACCGGCCCUCCUUAUUUAGGUCAAGACUGAAGAAAAACCCAUCAUUUUCUGUUUGCAUUUUCUUAAAAUGUCUCUGAAUUGCAACAACAUCCCCUUCUCCGAGCCUUAAUCGCCUCACCUUGUCAAUAUGAUUUCUAGCAUCUUUUUCUAAGAAUGAGACAUUUUCAAAGCCACCAGCCUCAACAACAAUCGACUUAAAACUUUGAGCCAUUUUAAUUCCAGCUUCAUCAUUUAUUUCAAGCUGCUUUUUAACAAAAGGACUAAUGGUACGGUUGCAUCGAUAAUACCUACUCUUGCUCGGACUCACGGCACGGUUGUGUUCAAGGAUCAUAUUUCCAAUUACCCAUUUUCUACUAACAAAAUCCAAACGUCCUCCAAGUUUAGCAUUGCAUUCAAUUUUUUGGUUUGGUUGAAGCCGCAAAACAUUAGUGCUUUUGGCUUUUGAAUUGCCAUUUCGCCCACAAGUAAAUGUCACAUAUCUCAAACUCCCAUCAUCCCCUUUUCUACAAGAUCUCCACAUCACUGGAAACCCCUCUUAUAGGCCAUAAGCCUUAUAAUAUUCAAACAUUUCAUCAGAACUAUUAAAAGACAUCCCAACUGCUGGCUCAACAACUUUUUCCACCACCAAUUCCUCAUUAUUUUCUUCCAAAUCAGCCCCCUGCAAAUCCUGCAAUUCUUUAACUUCAUCAACCUCCUCCACUUACUUCAAAUUAUCCAUUAACUGCUGCAAAUUAAAACAAUUCAAUAUAUUAUUAUUUAUUUUUCGUGAAUUCAUUAAAUUUAGAAUAAAAAAAUUAAAAACAAAAUGAAACAACUACUGAAGAUUCAAAUUUAAACAAUUCAAGCUUGUUGUAAAAGCAUCGCAAUUGGAAACUGAAAAUGUCAAAUAACGGCAAGCCGCAAAACAUUAACUAAUAGAAGUCCGUAGGCAUAAUUAAUACUCAAAUAACUUCAAAGUGUGGUUGAGCCAGACUAAGUUUAACUUAUAGCUAGCUCAAGCGAAAAUAUUGUAGGUCUUACAUGCGCAUGAGCGAAUUCCAACAAAAACAAGUUCAUGACUUACCACAAACUCAAACGUUAAUUCAUGUUGAUGCUAUCUCCAACUUAUCUAUUUAGGUUACGAACUAUAUUCUCAGCAGGGGUUAAAUUAUCUUCUCGAUUGAAUAUAAAGAAGAGAACAUUUGUAUACUCAAAUAUCUUCGUAAUCGAAAAUGAGAUAGAAAUUCGAAAACAAAGUUUAAUACAAACAUGACAACAAAAAUGAGUCAAAAAUUCGUAGUCGAAACUGAAACUUCGAAAAUUUGAAGAUUCGAAAACAAAAUGCUGCCAAAAGAAAACAGUACCUUAGCUUGUGCAAAGCCACGUAUAAUCGAAACUGGAAUCUGUAAAUGCCGAAACUUAGUCUUAUGUCAGAAAAAUUUAACAGCUGCUGUUAAUGCCGAUGAGGUUAGGAAUCAUGGACAAUGUCGAGACUCUAUCUUGUUCAAGCUUCUGCUUUUGCCUUGUUUGAGCCAAAUCUUAUCACCUUCGAGGAAUAUAAGAGCUUAAAGAUUUUGCAUUUCACUCGGGUGUGGUGAAUCGAAGAGGAAGAGCUUAAAGAUUUUGCGUUUUUCUCAGUUCAUAAAGUAGCUGUUUCUUUGCGUUUUUUCUGCUUUAGUUGGUUUUGUUUUUACUAGGCUGAAACGACUACGUUUCAUGGAAGCAAAAAGGAAAAAAAAAAGAAAGAAACCAAAACGGCAUCGUUUUGGUUUAAUUCGGGGUUUGACGCGGGGAAAGUAGCAUUUUCCUAUUUUUAAUUGUUAACAUUUAGAUCUUUUUAGUUCUACAUCCAUAGCCAAACUAUUUUAAGUAAACUAUAUUCAUUUUAUUGUAUGUUUUUUAAGAAUUUUUUAAUUCGAAAUAAUUUUUUUAAUAUUGUUGAAAAAGACAGGUUAAAGUAAAAAAAUUAUUGACUAAAUAAAUAAAUAAAUGACAUUAUUUUAUUUUUUAACAUUAAAAAAAACCAAUUUGAUGCAGUCCACUUAGUCCUGCACACUUGGAACGUUACCAUGCUUUUUAGUGCUGUACAUUUUGGACUCAAUUGUCCUUGUCAUUUCAAGUAAAAGUUGAAGCCGUCUCAAAAGUAAAAUAAUAGGGUCCGCCUAAGUUACAUUUAACGUAACUUACGGCUGACCCGCAAAAUAUCAUUAAUCCCCCUAUACUCUAUGUUAUUUACAAUAUAUUUAUAAGUAUUAUAAAAUUUUCUGUAUUGUAAAAUUUCGUUGAACCUCUUGUACUCUGUUUUAUUUUAAUGAAACUCUUGGAGUACGAAUUUGCCCCCUAUAAUUUUAAAUUCCCAAAAUACCCUACAGUUAAUUAAAAAUAUAAUAAUAAUUAAAUAAAUUAUAAUUAUAAUAAUUAUUUUAUUAUAAUUAUAAUAAUUAUUUUAUUAUAAUUAUAAUAAUUAUUUUAUUAUAAUUAUAAUAAUUAUUUUAUUAUUUUAUUAUAAUUAUAAUAAUUAUUUUAUUAUAAUUAUAAUAAUUAUUUUAUUAUAAUUAUAAUUUUUUAAUGGAUUAUUAUUAUUAUUAUUAACAAGAAUAAAAAGUAUUAUAACUAAUUAAUUUUUAGUUAAAAUGUUAAUAAUAACAUUAACAAUAACUAUUAUUGAUAAUUAAUUUUUGAAUAAUAAUAACAGUAACAAUAACAAUAAUUAAAAUACAAAAGAAUAAUUAUGAUAAAAAUUAAUGAAGGAUUUUAUAAUAAUUUGUUACAAUUUAAUUUAUUCUGAUUUUGAUUUUAAGACAAAGUAAACAAAUAAAUGGUAAUACAGCUCAUUCUAAUUAUGAUUCAUGCCGUUCAAAUAAAUAAAUUAUUAUGAUUCCAAUUCUUUAUUUGGAUUCUAGAUAUGUCGAUUCUAACUUAUUAUGUUUUCAGUAAAUUUUGAUUUAUGUUUAGUGAAUGCACUAUAAAAUUCAUAAUACUUAUAAAAAAUUGUAAAUAAUAUAGAGUGGUCUAAUUGAAUAUAAAGUGAUUUACAAUUUUAUAGUGCAUUCACUAAAAAUGAAUCGAAAUUAGUUGGAAACAUAAUGAGUUAAAAUUGGAUUAGCUAGAAUUAAAAUGAAAAAUUGAAAUCAGAAUAAUUUAUUUACUUGAACUGCAUGAAUCCUAAUUAGAAUAAACUGUAUUACCAUUUAUGUGUUUACUUUGUCUUAGAAUCAAUAUCGAAAUGAGUUAAAUUGUAACAAAUUACUAUAAAAUUCUUAAUUAAUUUAUUAUAAUUAUUACUUUGUAUUUUAAUUAUUGUUAUUGUUAUUAUUCGUCAAAAAUUAAUUAUUAAUAGUAAUUAUUGUUAAUUAUUAUUAUUGAUAUUUUAACUAAAAAUUAUUGUUAAUUAUUGUUAAUAGAUUAAUUAAUUAUAAUACUUUUUAUUGUUGUUGUUAAUAAUAAUAAUAAUCCAUUUAAAAAUUAUAAUUUUAUUUAUAAUUAUAAUAAAAUAAUUAUUAUAAUUAUAAUUUAUUUAAUAAGUAUUAUAUUUUUAAUUAAAUGUAGGGUAUUUUGAGAACUUAAAAUUAUAGGGGGCAAAUUCAUACUCCAAGAGUUUCAUUAAAAUAAAACAGAGUACAAGAGGUUCAACGAAAUUUUACAAUACAGAAAAUUUUAUAAUAUUUAUAAAUAAAUUGUAAAUAAUAUAGAGUAUAGAGGGAUUAAUGAUAUUUUGCGAGUGUUGGGUUAAAUGUAACUGAUCCAAAAUAAUAAUGUGCAAUUAAGUAACUGGCCUAAACUUUAGAAAUUUCAGAAGUUACAGUAUACGCAGGUCACAUCUAGGACCAUUAUUAGUUUAAUCAUUAAAUGACAAAAUUUUGCCAAUCUUGAGGGGGCUACUUAAAAAUGCAAGCAUCUCGUCCCUUGCCUGCUUCAUAGAUGCUCUUACUCACCCCCCCCGUCAUCUCACUUGUGCAAACCAAAGAAAAAAGAAAGAUUAUUAUUUUCCAUUUAUUACACAAAAAACAAUAAUUCCUUUUUAUUGCUCCAUGUUUAUUAUUUUAUUCUAUUUCUCCAGAAUCUCUCUUUAUCAAUUAAAUUUAUGAUAUAGAUAUUGAAGAUUUGCUUAAAUCAGAAAACUUGUUCAUAUUUCUGGUCAAUAUAAUACAUCCCUUAAAAGGUAAAAAUAGGGAAAAAAAAAAACAAGAAUGAUGAUUUUUUUUUUUUUUUUGGUUUUGACUGUUCUAGACAAUAAAGAAAUAUUUUGAAAGGGUCGGAGAUUACAAUGAAUCUAUACACUUGUGGAAAUAUUUUUAAGGCAUAAAUAAGUGCAACUUGAGAGCAUUUUGUUUUUUGUUCCACUAUAUAUUUUUAUACAACUGCCGCCUUAGAUUGGGUGCAUCACUUCAUUAUAUAAUCAGUAAAAAUUAAUUAUAUAAAUGGAAUCAUUCUCUAUUACAAUUAUUCGACUUCAUGAAGUAACAACUGAUGUUUUUUACCACAUUGUCAAAAGAGUUCAACUUUUAUUUGAGAAUACACCAUAUAAAAGAAAAAGAAAAAAAUAAAAACAAGAGUACACCAUAGAAAAGAAAAAAAUAAAACAAGUUUUAGAAUUAGUAGAUUAGAAUUGUUAUAAGAAAGAGUUGUCCCUAUAACUUCAAUAAGCUAGCCAUGUUUCUGAAGUUUGUUUUACUACCCUUACCAAACUUUUUCUAGUUGAUAUUAAUAACUUUAGUUUAGUAAACAGAAGCAAGAAGGUUAGAAUUAAUAACUUUAUCGUGAAUAAUUAAUAUGAUUACAGUUUAAUAAAAUUAUAUGUAAAGGCUUAUUUAAAGAGCGAAAAUUUUAUUUUUUUAUCAUUCUUUAGUGCUUAUAAUUAUAAUUUAAUCUAGAAGUAUUUUAAUUGUAAAAAUUAUUUAAAAAAAUAAGUUUGACGAAUAGUUUAGAGCUUAUAAUUAUUUUCUACUUAUAAUUAAGUUAAUAUUUAAUAGAAAGAACUAAAAUAAUAAAAGCAAAAACCUUUUCCGGCAAUUCCUUGUUAUUUACAUUUUUGGCACUGUCCUUGACAGAGGACUACACCGAGGAAUCUCAGGCCGUGGCACACGUGCGGCGGCUUCUCGACAUCGUCGCGUGCACCACACGGUUCUCCAAGUCCAGAAACUCCCGAUUGCCGCCAUCGUCAGAGUCAUGUGCCAAAAAGAACGACAGUAGGCCCCACCAACCUUCACCAAACUCUGCCGCUCUGUCUGAUGGAGCAGCAACAGCAGCAGCAGAUAACCGAAGCGGGCCCCGCGCCACGUCAUCGCCAAUUUCAUCGGCGGUUUCUCCGAGUCUGGACAUGGCAGCCAUUCACCCGACGCCGAAACUCUCCGAGUUUUACGACUUCUUCUCUUUCUCUCACCUCACUCCCCCCGUCUUAAGUAAGCCUAAUGUUCAUUUAUAUAUUUGUCUUCGUUUCUUACAUGGUUGAUCAAAAAAAAAAAAAAAAGAAAAGAAAGAGGAAAAUGAUAUAAAUAUAUGUGAUUUAUUUGAAUAUGAAAUUUGUUUAUUGAUUUUAAUUUUUAAUAAUUUUGAUUUUGAAGAUUUGAGAAAAUGUGAACGCAAAGAAGGAGACAAGCGCGACAGUGAUUAUUUUGAAAUUCAGGUGCCAUUUAAUAUAAAGUUCUGAUUAUUGUUGUUUGUUGUUUAUGGACUAAUUAAUUGUAGAGUUAUUCAACUCGUUAUUUUUGCUGAUGAAUUGGCCAAUGAGUGUUAAAGAUUUAAUAAUCAUUGUCCGCUAAUUAAUAAGAAUGCAUGGAUUAUUUUCAUGUCUUUGUAAGUAAUGUGAGUAUUUGAAAGUGCGGGAAACUGUAUUUUGUGCUUACAGAUAAAAAUCUGCAAUGGAAAGCUUAUACAAGUAGUUGCAUCAGUAAAAGGGUUCUAUACUUUGGGAAAGCAGUUUUUCCAAAGCAACUCCCUGGUGGAUCUUCUGCAAAAUCUCAGUCGAGCUUUUGCCAAUGUGGGUACUCAAUAGUUGAAUCUACAGAUUAUUUUUUUCUUUUUUAUCUGAAUGCAUCUUUUUUUCCUUUGUAAAUUCAAUUAGCUUACCCUUCAAUUGUUUUGUUAAUAAUUAUGGUCAUUAUGCGUGAUGCAGGCAUAUGAAUCCUUAAUGAAAGCUUUUGUUGAACAUAAUAAGGUUACAAUUUCUGUGCUGACAUAGUUUAUUACCAAUUCAAAUGUGAUUUUAACUUGAUUUUACUGAUAUAGUAUAUUCAUUAUCCUUCUUCAGUUUGGUAAUCUUCCCUAUGGAUUUCGAGCUAAUACAUGGCUUGUACCUCCAUCUGUUGCUGAGUCUCCAUCAAAUUUCCCUUGCCUACCGGCAGAAGAUGAGAAUUGGGGUGGCAAUGGCGGAGGCCAGGGAAGAGAUGGAGAACAUGAUUUACGACCAUGGGCGACGGAAUUUGCUAUACUGGCUAGGCUUCCUUGCAAAACUGAAGAGGAGAGGGUGGUUAGAGAUCGGAAGGCCUUUUUGCUUCAUAACCAAUUUGUUGAUGUCUCAAUUUUUAAAGCUGUUGGAGCAAUACGCCGUCUCAUUGAUUCAAAUUUACACACUCAAGAUACAAUAAAGGGGGCAAUCUUGCAUGAAGAUCGUGUGGGAGACUUGUCCAUUACAGUAAAACGUGAUACAGUAGAUGCAAACUUGAAGUCUGAGGUUACUAUUAAAGGAAAUCAGUUAUCUGGUAUGUCUACUGCAGAAGUUGCUCAAAGGAAUUUACUAAAAGGUGUUACUGCAGAUGAGAGUGUAGUUGUUCACGUAAGUCGAUUUCUCCUUUACUUCUUACGCUUACGUUCACAGACCACACACAUAAAAGACAUUCAUCAAAGCUGAAAUUACUUACGUGGGCGGAAUAAUAUAGCUCCGGAAUAAUAUAGCUCUACCUUUGUCAGGGAGUGAUUUUUCUGUCGGAUUAAGAUGUUUCACUCUUUAUCUGAUAUCUAGCAUUUGAUGAUGGCCUAAAAUACCCAUCCUCUUCAUUCUCUCUUUCUACACAUUUAUGAAUGCACAAGAAAGUCAAUUUUAGUUUCUUUCCUAAGAAUCACUACUUGUUACUAACCUUAUAUAUCUGGUUUAGCUUCAUGAAUCUUUUGUUGCCAUUCUGUUUGGUGACUCCCUAUUCUGUUGAAAUCACUUGAUAGCAGGUCUUUCUACCCAUUAUCCAUAUCCCUCUGAUUUUCUACUUGUAGUUUGCGCCAGCUUAAUGUCAUCAACCCUUUUUGGGGAAGCCUAUUAACCUUGGUUGGGCAUGCUUGUAUUAUAUCAACUAGUGAUACAAUUGCUAAAGUUUUCAGCAUGGUAGAUCUUGAAAUAAAAUUUUCUUGAAAUAUCUAGAUUUAUCUUCCUUUUCUUUUUCUCUUUCUUUUAUUUUAGUUUCAAAGAUUUUGUUAUAAAGAGAACUGAACAAUAUAGUUUUUGGCAGGAUACCUCCUCAUUGGGUACCGUCAUUGUAAGACACUGUGGAUACACCGCCGUAGUAAAGGUUGUUGGUGAUGUGACGGAGAAGUUUGGCACACAAGAUAUUGAAAUUGAAGAUCAACCUGAUGGAGGAGCUAAUUCUCUUAAUAUUAACAGGUCUGAAAUUGUAACACAAUGCUUCCUCUGUCGAUUCCUCUUAGCACACAAAGACUAGGAAAUCUACAGAUGGAGAAUGGCUGUAAGAUAUGAAAAAUUAUCUUUCAACCACUAACCGUUUUAAGCUAUUCUGCAAGAUAUCUUAGAAAUGCUAACUGGUAUGAGCUUCUUUGCUUAGUGUCUAUCACAGUUGAAUUCAUGAUGCAGAGCAUUGUUAUUCUCCUUAUUUUUACCAGAUAGAACAGGAUUGAAACGGUGGUGUUGGGGAUUCUUAAGAAAGGAUAGCACCUGCUCCUUUUUCUUUCUGUUUAGAUGGGAUCUAAUCAGUAGAUGUCUGAACUCUUAAGGGGAUUUGAUGUCAGAUUUCUAAACCAGGUUUUCUUCAAGUGUUAAGUUUAUGAAUAGGCCAAAGAAAAGAAAGCUGAUAUCUAGUUAGGGAUAUGUACUCCUCUUUCAGCAUCCUAUGGACCAGAAAAUGGCUUUUCCUCCAUUAAAAUAUGUGUGAGAUUCUUCACUGUAUGGGGAUGCUUCACCUCUGCAUAGUUGUAGACCACCUAAAAAAUAACGAGUGGUUGCAGGAAACAUUAAGUCAUGGCUUUCACAAUAAUGGUGGAGUGUUUAUAGUUAUGUGCCUUGACAUUGGUUUGUAAUUGUUAUAUUAACAAAAUAACCAACAGACAUCGUUGAUGAUGUUCAAAUAAAGGAUAAAGGAAAGUAUAAUUACAGUGGAUGCUCAGUUGCUGAAAUAGGUCAUCAGCUUUUUGGAUUGUGCUAUUUCAGAAAGUAUUUAGACCUUCUUUGGUGGAUUCUGCCUUUGUUUCAUAUACUCUUAUAUCUUUCUCCAUUUAAGUUGUUCUGACAGGGUAAACUAUUUAUUGCAGCUUAAGGCUUGUACUUCAGAAGUCUUUCAGUGCUGAAUCAGCUAGAGGAGACCAGUCACCUCUGUGCAAUUUGGAUAAUUCAGAAGCUCUUAGAAGUCUUGUACGAAGAGUUAUUAAACAGAGUUUAGCAAAGCUAGAGCUGGAGCCAACUGCGUCAGAAAGAUCUAUUAGAUGGGAACUUGGUUCUUGUUGGGUGCAACAUCUACAAAAGCAGGAAACCCCAACAGAUAUCAAGUCAACGACGUCUGGGGAUGAUAUUGAGACUGAACAUGCUGUCAAAGGUCUUGGGAAGCAAUUUAAAUUUUUGAAGAAGAGGGAGAACAGACCUAACCUUGUUGGUAGCAAUUAUGAGGCUAACGAAGAUGACAAUGGACCGUGCAGCAUGAAUGUGGGAACUAAUGGCAGACAGCAAAGCAAUGGCGAGCUCAAUUGUGAGAUGGAAUUGAAAAAACUAAUUUCUGAAGAAUCCUUCUUGCGAUUGAAAGAAACUGGCACUGGCCUUCAUUCAAAGGUUGCAAAAUCUCAAAUUUGUUUUGUAUUUCAACUGUAAAGUUUGCUACUUUUUGUGUUUUCAUUAUGGUAAAUUUGGUUUGUUUUAUUUUCAUAAGGAAUGACUGGUAAAAUCAAUUUCUUGUGCAGGCAGUGGAUGAGCUUAUGAAAAUGACAUACAAAUAUUAUGAUGACAUUGCUUUACCAAAGCUGGUACUAUUUAAUUUAUUUAGGGCCUUUGUUGCAGCCAAUUUAGACGUGUGGGGAUGGUUUAUGGACUAAUUUGCAUUCUUUAUUAGGUAACAGACUUUGGAUCACUUGAACUUUCUCCGGUUGAUGGCCGCACACUGACAGACUUUAUGCAUUUAAGGGGACUACAAAUGCGCUCUUUAGGUCGCGUGGUGAGGAAUUUCUCCCUCUCUUUCUCUCUCAGACAUGCAACCUAUUCACCCGUGGAAAUCGGAAUAAACAAAUGUUGUCUUUCUUUAUGUAAACAAAACCCCUAAGUUAUCUUUCUAUAUGUAAACAAUCUCCCCAAGUCUUCCUGGAUUGAAUUAUCAAUGUUCCUUUUUGAAAAUUGUACUACAUGAUAGAAUUUUUGACAUGGUGAACUUUUCCAAGAUAUUGAAUUAUUGUCGUCUUUAGAUAUUACUGUAUGUUGUGUGACAUACAAUAUUUUGAGAAAUUGACAUGCUAAUACUUGAAAGCCUGGUAUUCUUCUUCUGUUGGUUCUAAUCCCAUUUACAAAUUCAGGUUGAACUUGCAGAGAAGCUUCCUCACAUACAAUCACUUUGUAUUCAUGAGAUGGUUACUCGAGCGUUCAAGCAUGUACUUAAAGGAGUCAUCGCAUCCGUUGACUAUUUAUCAGACCUAUCUGCAGCUAUAGCUUCUUCCCUAAAUUUCUUAUUUGGCUGUUGUGAGAUGGAAGAUGACCAAAGCUUGAAUGAAGAUCAUAUCCUUAGAUUGCAGUGGCUACGAACAUUUCUUGGCAGAAGAUUUGGUUGGUCCCUGAAAGACGAGUUUCAGCAUUUGAGAAAGAUUUCAAUUCUACGUGGGCUUUGCCAUAAGGUAAGGUACUGUCUUUUCGGUUCCUUUGGCAGCGGAUUAUUUUCAAAGCUUGAAUUUUGCUUGUAAACUUUACCCAGGUUGGGUUGGAGUUGGUUCCAAGAGAUUAUGAUAUGGAAUGUCCAAACCCAUUCACGAGAGAUGAUAUUGUCAGCAUGGUUCCUGUGUGCAAGGUGAGACUAUUUUCUCUCUUAAUUGUGUUUUGAUUUAGUUUUUACAUUCUCAAUGAGUCACUCAUUUGUAAAUUGAAUGUAAUUGUGCUAUUUUUAUGGCAUUCUACAGCAUGUAGGUUGCACUUCAGCUGAUGGACGGACUUUAUUAGAGUCAUCCAAAAUUGCCCUUGAUAAAGGAAAACUAGAAGAUGCUGUAAAUUAUGGGACAAAGGUAAUAACCCACUCGAUCUAUACGUAAGAAUUACAUUAUUCUUUUCAUAAUAAGGCAUCUGUUGAUCUCAUAUGAUGUAUUACUUGCAUUGUAAGGCACUGGCAAGGAUGAUAGCUGUUUGUGGUCCCUACCAUCGGACUACUGCAAGUGCUUACAGUCUUCUAGCUGUAGUUCUCUACCAUACUGGAGACUUUAAUCAGGUACGACAAUCUUCAGUUGUAUUUCAGUGUUAACUUGGUGAUUCUAAGUCGAGUAUAAUUAUAACGUCCUUCUGUACGGAGAUUCUCAUUCAGUGGGACAUUUGAUUUGAAACUGUGUUAUGGCUAGUUUUUAUGGUCUUGUAUAAAGAUAUGCAUUAGAAAUUAUAAUUUUCUGGACUUAGGAAUUACAUGGACAGGCAUUAGCAUAAUUUUGAUAUCAGAUUAUAUAUUUUAACUAAAUCAAACACAUUCAUGGUUCUUAUGUUCUGGCAUUUGGUCUAAUGGCAUCUGCGUCUGAGUGUUAGAGUAGCGUUCGUAUGUACUCAAGAUAUCUUCUUCUUCAUUUUAGGCAACUAUAUAUCAGCAGAAGGCAUUGGAUAUUAAUGAGAGGGAACUUGGUCUUGACCAUCCAGAUACAAUGAAAAGCUAUGGGGAUCUUUCAGUUUUCUAUUAUCGCCUUCAACACAUUGAAUUGGCUCUUAAGUAAGUAGCACUGCUUGAUUUACCAGAGCAACUUUGUGAUUUUCAUUCUUUAACUGAUUAAGGUUUAUUUAUUCAUAAAUUAAAUUGGAAGUUUCGAAAAAUGUGACCUUUGUAUUGAAUGUGCUUCGAACGAAUGCAGUUUUUAUCUACCUACUUUAGCUUUUAUUUGUCUUUUAUUGGCUCUAGCUCCUGAUCAUACCGUACCAUUGGCAGAUAUGUAAAUCGUGCCUUAUUCCUUUUGCAUUUUACUUGUGGACUUUCACAUCCAAACACGGCUGCAACAUACAUAAAUGUGGCUAUGAUGGAAGAGGGCAUGGGAAAUGUUCAUCUUUCUCUUAGAUAUUUGCAUGAAGCCCUUAAAUGCAACCAAAGACUAUUAGGAGGUGACCAUAUACAGGUUUUUCUCUCUCUAUUUACGCAUGUAUACACACUCUUUAGAAUUAUAAAUCUUUCUGUUAACUCAGAAUUUUGUUUGAUUUCUUCACGUGACAGACAGCUGCAAGUUAUCAUGCCAUAGCCAUAGCUCUUUCUUUGAUGGAGGCAUAUUCACUAAGUGUGCAACAUGAGCAAACUACACUUAAGAUUCUCCAAGCAAAGCUUGGACUAGAAGAUCUGCGUACUCAGGUGACUACAUGUAGUCAUAUUUUAAUUGGUUCUGUUGUGCAAUUUGGCUAGUUGGCUUCUUUCUUGUCAAUCUUUUACAGGUGAUAUUAUGAUAUAAAACAAAUUGUAUUGGAGGCAUAUUUUUGGUGUCAAAUAUGGAUAUGACUCAUUCAUUAAUUGUAUCGAAAUAUCAAAAUACGGAUAUGACCCGUUUAUUAAUCGUGUUGACUUGUUUAAUAUUAAAUACAAACAAAUUAAAAAUUAAUUUUAAAAUAACAAAUGUGUCAAAAAAAUGAGUUAUAAAUAAGUUAAAAUGACAUAAGUAUGACAUGAAUAAGUUUAUAACAUAAUGUGAGUAUGACAUGAGUCAUAAAUUUAGUGUUUAGUAUAUAUUUUAGUUAUUUUUUCCAAUAAUAUUAACACAUAAUAAUUGAUAUUUGUGUUAUAAACGUAUAAUCAUAUUGAGAUGGUCCAAAACAGAUACGACAUGGUUAUUUAUCGUGUUGUGUCAACUCAUUUAUUAAUCGUGUCAAUAUUUGUCAACACGAAUAUGGGUCAUAUGUCAUAUUAUGUUGUGUAAUCGUGUCGUAAUCCAUUUUCCCACCUCUAAUCUUAACUGUCAUAAGAGAAUUUCUCAAGUUCCAUAUUAUUGAUGGGAAGAGAAUUUUGUUAUUUUGUUGUAUUUUUUUUCGUUUUACAGGAUGCUGCUGCAUGGCUGGAGUAUUUUGAAUCAAAAGCUCUAGAGCAGCAAGAAGCGGCACGGAAUGGAACUCCAAAGCCAGAUGCGUCCAUUGCGAGUAAAGGUCACCUUAGGUAUUAACAGGGUAUUCCCACAUUACUUGUUUCUAAAUUGUUGAUUAUUUCUUGUGGCACCAAGACCUAUAAUGAUCGCUUUUUGCAGUGUAUCAGAUCUCCUGGAUUACAUUAGUCCUGGUCAAGAUUCUAAAAGAAGCGAAGCACAUAGGAAACAACGACGUGCAAAGGUAGUAUAUACUUAGUGCCUGUUUAGUAUGACUUAUCUAAUAGUCAUAAAUUUUUAUUUAAUCCCAUAAGCUGUUAUCAAUUUUUUUUUGUUGUUUAAUUGUUUUUUCGUAGAGCUCUUGAAAAUUAAAUAAGUUAUUUUGCCUCUACUACCAAAAGCUCAAAUUUUGUGCUUUUAAGAGUAGAGGUUAAAAAGUUUUUUUUAAAUGUUAAAAUAUCUAAAAUAUUUUCUACUUAUUUGACAAUCUUAUUUUAUUCUUUUCAAAACAUAACUUUAAAAAAUUUGCUUAUUAAAGUAAUUUUAUAAUUUUCAAUAAAAGCUCUUAUUGACAACCAAACAACACAAAUUUUUUGGGUAAAAACUUUACUUAUAAAAUCUUUACUAACAAAAGCUCUACUCAGAUAAGAUCUAUUUGAAAAGCUAUGUCAAAUGAAGCAUUAAGCCUGCUGCUGUUCUCUGUUCCUUUUUUCUUGUGAUGUCAUCUGAAUGGAUUCUUAAACUAAUUGUAGUUAGGAUUUGGUAUUUUAGAGUACACUCUGCUGGCUGCAUAUAGUUUUGGAUUUGCUGAUGACACGAGUAAACUUGUUGGCCAUGCAAAAUGCAACUAUAUAUCUGCAGGAUAAUAGUUCUACUUUUCUGAGUGAACUCUGAAGGCACCAAUUAUAACAUCCAUUUCCAGCAUAGAAUCCCCUGCCCAACAAAAAGAAAUCUAACAUGCUUAUACAGAUCGCAGACAUGAUUGAAACUUCAGAAGUUUCUGAUCUAUUGAUGGCCAUAGAUUGGGCCAGCUGAUAGUUAGUAGGCAAUGAUGGAGGGUUGCUUGGUCAAGCUGCUAGUUCUUUGGAAAUUCAGAGAUGAUGAGCAGAACGAGUGAUAAUUUUUGUUUUCCCCCAUAAUCUUGAACAGAGUGGGAAGAAACCAUUAAUUUGAAGUGCAAUGGAUGGAUAUGACAGAUCUAUCAUUUUGGCUAGUAGAUGGAGUUCUUCCAUUCUACUGUUAUUUACUGGUUGUUUUUAUUGAUUCUAGAAAAACAUUUUUUGAUUUGGCAGUUGGAGUUUUUCCCUUUUUUUUUUCUCCCCAUUUUGUAGGCCUUAGAGAACCAAAUAAUACUACAUAUUAGAUAGACAGGAUUAUUAUGUGCUAAUUUGAAGUAUUACCUGGUUGACAAUUUAAGACACUAGUAAAGUAUUUCGCUAUGAUUAUUUUUUUUUGAGAAUUCCAUGAUUCAAAAGGCCGAAGAAUUUCAUUAGUUUAACAUAGUAUAUAUUAACAUAAUUUCUCACUGAGUGUUUUUUUCAACAUUUCAGGCAUGUACAUAUCAAAUUCCCAUUAUGUUCCACUGAAUUCUGCCUCAUGUUAUGUCCGGAUUUGUUGUAAUAAAUUUUGCUACUGUAAAAUUACAAGAUGAUUGUAACUUAAAAUGAACUAUUUCUAUUUGCUCAAUUUUUGACAUUUUAUAUGCAUACAAGUUAAAAAGGUUUUGUUUAUUUUUAUUUUUUUAUUUUUUCAGGUAAUGCAGAUUAGGGAAAAGAUUCAUGGAGCACAUCAUGAUAUGAUGGUGGAAGAUGCACUGCCCCAUGAUGGAUUGAAAAAGAGGAUGACUAUAGUGGAAAGCAAGACCGAGGAAGUAAUAGAAGACAGUGUUCAACCUGAAGAGCCAGAAGAGAAUGAUGAUAUUACUAGAUAUGGACCGGCAAUUUCAGGUGAGUUUGUGGAAGAAACAAAUUCAGAUGAGGGGUGGCAAGAAGCCAAUCCAAAAGGUAGGUCAGGAAAUGCUGCUGUUCGGAAGCUCAGCCGGAGGCGACCUGUUCUUACAAAGCUAAAUGUCAAUGGUUGUGAACAUUCAAAUCUUAGAGAAAAAGGCAAUAGACGGGAAAUUGUAUCUCCAGCACGGGAAAAAGCUUCAAGGACCACCACCACUGAGUUAACAGGCACGAAGGAUUCAAUUAAAUUGCAGGGAAAAGCUUCUGUCUCCAAAGUUUAUGCAAGUCCACCAAACCUUACUGCCAUGGCUUCCAAGUCGCUGUCUUACAAAGAAGUAGCUGUGGCACCACCAGGUACGGUUCUAAAGCCAUUACCAGAGAAACCUGACGAAGAAAUUGAAGAAAAAACUGAAACACAGAUGUGCAGUAAUGCUCCUGAGACAUCAAAGGCGGAGUUGAAUAACCAUUUCUCUCCCGUUGAAGAUGCGCCAGUUGAUGGUCAGUCUCAAGAAACUCAUGGAAGUGUAACUCAAUCUGAAACUACUGCUGCAGAUACCGAGGAAGUUCCUACUUCUUCUAAUGAGGAAAAGCCCAUGGAAACAAAUGGGAGUAAGCUUUCUGCCACAGCUGAACCAUUCAACCCAGGAGCUGUCUCCAUGACUCAUCUGCUAAACUCUGUAGCAGCCACGAGUAUUUAUGAUGCGAGAACUAGUCAAGGUAUGCUUGCAGAACCUGCUGUACCUUCGGCUGCUGCUAGAGUUCCUUGUGGGCCAAGGUCGCCUCUCUAUUAUAGAAAUAAUUAUUCUUACAUGAUGAAACAUGGAUUUCCAAAAUACCACUCUUCCAUUAUGGAAAGAAACCUGUUGGGGCCUUCAAGAAUCAUGAACCCGCAUGCACCCGAGUUUGUGCCAAUGAGAGGUUGGCAAAUAAAUCCUGGAUAUGCAGAUUCAAAUGUUUCAAAUGAGUCGAACUCUUCAAACGACACAAGUGAGGCAGACGAUGAGAAACUUGACAAAAUGUCCAGUAUUCAAGGCGAGGAUAAUACCUCAAGAAAGAGCAGUACAGAGGCGGAGAAUUCAGAGCUGGCAAGACAGAUACUACUUAGCUUCAUUGUAAAGUCAGUCCAGCAUAAUAUGGAUGCUCCAAGUCAUUCUUCAGGCUACGAAAAGAAGAUUGGGUAUUCAGAAAAUUCUUCAGAUGCAAUUGCAAAUGAUAGUGCUAUCAUAAAGAUCCUUUAUGGAAAUGAAAAGGGCAAAACAAACUUGGCAUCUCAGUCCAAUGAUCAAGAACAGCAAAAACCCAAAGAUGAAAACCAAAAAAGUGGGGAUGGUGAAGGAUUUAUAGUUGUCAGAAAACGGAGAAGAAACCGACAGCAGAUCACAAAUGGGGUCACUGAGAUGUACAAUCAUCAAUCCAUCUGUGCUUCUGUUCGUUAAAAGAGAGCAAAGCAAUAAAAUGCAAAGGUGCCGUCCUGUUUCUCCCAAUUUUAUUCGAAAAAUUUGUUAGUGAAUGUUGCUGUUGUAGAGAUGGUUAAAGUUUGGAGCAAGUUUUAAUCAAUACUUGAUUGUAUCAUUUUAGAUAUCCUCUCUGGAUGUUCUAAUAAAAUAUUUGUACAAAUCGGUUUCUUGUUUUGUUAAGAGAUUUUGUUUUGAUCAAUAAAUGAUGAUAAAUUAAUUGGGCGAUUUUCCUCAUCAAGAGAUCUGUGAUGUUGUUCUAUAAUGGAUUUUAAUGUUUUAGACUGAGAUUUGUAGUUAUGCCUCAAAUUAUUUGGUAUUUGGUUGGUGCGUGUGAACAAUACGUUCGGAAUGGAGUUGAAUUGACCCACUGAUAGAUAGCUUACAUUUGCAGCUGAAGUUGCUGCAUUGAUGAUAUUACAACUAACAUAGUAGUUGGCAAAAUUCCUUAUUCAAUUUAAAUUUGCAAUCAACAGAAACUGAAGAAGAAGCCGUAAGUUUAAUCCUAAUGGAUGCAUAGCUGUUUGGAGAAAAGCCAACGGAGACAUAACACAGCACGAUAAGUUAUACACGGCAGAACCGUAUGUGCUAGUAAGCACAGUCACCGAUGGAAAACAUAUUUGAAAAGCCAAUAGUAGCAUGUGUCAAUACAUCUAUCAAUGAAAUAGAACCACAGUCUGCGCCAGUACGAGUUUAUCCAAAGUGCUGCAAAUAAACCCAAAAUUACUGACACAUAGGAUGCUCCAAAACUCCAUCUUAAUGCCACCAUAUCAAUCACAGAAUCGCCUUCAUCUUCUCCUCCUCCUGUAGGUGUCGCUGGUGGUGCCAACGCACUGCUGCAUUUCCUCUUUAUCAUUGAGCCACAAAGAGCCGAAUUACCUUUAUAACUGCUGUCAUCAAAGGUGGCAAACUGCUCUUUGUCUGGGAUUGGGCCGGACAAAUUGUUGUAUGACACGUUGAAGUUUGAUAAAAAGUUGAGAUCAGUUAGUUGAGGAGGAAUUCGGCCACUUAAUUUGUUGCGGGAAAGGUCCAGGCUCUCUAUCAUUUUCAGAUUGGAGAAGCUCUCUGGUAUAGCACCUGAUAGUAAAUUAUUCGACAGAUUAAGUGCACGAAUAUGUUGAAGAUGCCCAAUUUCCCAUGGAAUUUCUCCACUGAACUCAUUGCUCGACAAAUCCAGUCCAGCCAUGUCGACGAGACUGCGACCGAUGAAAAAUUCAUAUCUAUACUUUGUCACAAAUUCUACACCUACUUGUCUAGCAUGUCGUUCACCUUGCGGCGGCUGAUCAAGAGUGGAAUUGUAGAAAGUAAAACUGAGAUCACGAGUUGACACAGCAAAUCCGGGUAUAAUAUUUGGAUAUAUCACUUCAUAUCUGUUUACAUGUGGAUAAUCAUCAAUCGCUUCUCUCCAGAAUGACACGUUACCCAAGCAUGAAGGUAUCGGCCCAUUAAGUCUGUUAUGUGAAAGAUCCAUGAUACCUAAUUUUCUUAAUAGGCACAACUGAUUAGGAAUACGUCCUUGUAGAGAAUUCCCUCUCAAAAGAAGAAAAUGCAAAUUCGAAAGCUCGUUGAUCUGAUGAGGAAUCCUACCAAAAAGCUUAUUGUCCCUCAAAUCUAGAGUCAAUAAUGUAGAGCUUCUAAGCAAUGCAAUUGGAAUUAACCCAUUAAUUGCAUUGUUAUGCAGAUAAAUGUGCUCCACUGAUGAAAGAUUGGAGAGAGAUACCGUGGACCCAGACAAACUAUUUUCGGAGAUGUCUAUAAACUCAAGACCUUCAAGAUUGCCGAGCUGGACCGGAAUAGUACCUUGCAAAUAAUUUUUUGACAUUAAAAGAACCCGAAGGCCUGAGAAGUUGCCAAUCCAGUGGGGAAUAUCGCUGGAUAACUUGUUGUUGGAUACAUCUAAUACCCCCAGCAAAGGGGAGUUCAACAAACCAUCUGUCAUCUUCCCACUGAAAUGAUUGUUGUCCAAAAGUAAGGAACGCAAAUGAGUCAAGUUCAUAAAAUUGGGAAAAAGUUGGCCAUAGAAAUUGUUAUUUGAUAGGUCCAACAUUUCUAAGGAGAGGCAACUAGAGAAUAUAGAUCGAGGUAAUUCUCCUGAAAAAUUAUUUCUAGAAAAAUCCAAAGUAAUUAGCUCUUUCAUCUCACUGAUUGAAUAAGGAAUAUUACCUUCAAAACUAUUUUUUGACAUAUCCAAAUAUAUCAAUUUCUGAAAGAUAAUACCCAAAUUCUCUGGUAGCUUACCAGAAAAAUUGUUACUGGAAAUAUCUAGAUAACGAAGCUUAUCGUAUUUGGCGUUGGGAAGUCGCGGAAGAAUUCCUGAGAAUGAGUUAUUCCACAAAAUCAAAACUUCUAAUCCUGUGUUGUUUUGCAACAACCAAGUUGGGAAAUUGCCAACCAACUGAUUGUGAGAGAGAUCAAGGAAUUUUAAGUUGUAUUGGUGUAAAAGAAAACUGGGAUUGACAUUUAAGUGGCAGUGAGAUAAUUGGAGAACCUUGAGAGGAUAUGUGGGGAGCCAGUUUUCGGUUUUCACUUGCAACAUAUCGUUUCCUGACGAGAGUCGCAAGACCUCAAGCUUUGAAUGAUUAGCCAAUGAAUUUAUUGAGAAUGUUCCUUGGAAAUCGAUGAAAGAGAGAUCCAAAUAUUCAAGUGAUGUGAGGUUGGUCAAGGCAGAAGGAAAGUUUCCACUUAACUGAUUGUAAGAAAUAUCAAGAACUUUGAGAUGGGUCAAGUUGUUGAGGCACUGAGGAAGGUGAACCACAAAAUUAUUUGACUUUAAAUCCAACUCAAGAAGAUUCUUCAAAUUACAUAUUCCUGAAAGUGAAAAUAAAAAGCUCAGAUUUCAUAAAACGAAAACUAAUUAUAGCGCAUUCAAUCAUAAACCCAAUAUAAGACUUAUAAAACGGACAUGAAAUCAAAUUGUCUAAGUAUUUUGGUCAACAUAAAUAAUAAUAGAAUGAUAUGAAUUUAUUUCUCAUAUAAUAUGAUGUUGAUUGCAAAAGCGUUUCAAUUAAUCUAACAAAAUAAUAAUAAUAAUAAUAUAAAAGCAGUCAGCAAUUCUUGCUCAUCAUAAUCCAUUCAAAAAGCGUUUCAGCAAUUCUCGUUGUUUAAAAUAAUGAUUUUCCGAGGAAGAGUUUGUUGACUUCGUCUUUUUCGUUGGAUAUUCGUUCUCUAAUCUCUAAAUUUGUUGGAUAAUGUAAAGAGAAACUCAUAAUAUAUUAGUUGCUUUCUUAAACUUUAUUUAUUCCUCUCAUAGCAUUAAACAAAACUAUUUGCCCUAGCAGAAAAAAAAAAAAAAAACUGGUCUUUAUAUUUAAUUUGGUGAAAGUACUUUGACCAACAAGUCACUGGGAAGUAGGAAUUGUGCAUCAGUAAUGCAAAUAUUGGGUGCGUUGGCAUUGUUUUUAUAUGCUGUUUUUUAUUUUUUGAUUUUAGAAAAUAUUAGAUACGUGUUCGGUAGAUUGUUUCUGAAAAUAUUUUUAAAAAUAUAAAAUUCAUUCUACACAUUUUAACAAAAGAAAUGAGAAACAAUUUUUUCUUAUUUUCCUUAUUUCCCAAUACAAAAUUAAGUUCCAAAAUGAAGAAUUCUCUGUACCUCCUCCUGAAAUAAUAAUAAUAUCAACAUUAUUAUUAUUAUUAUCAUUAGGUCUAAUUAUCUCUGGGUGACAGAUGUUUUAAUAAAUUUCAAAAAGAUGACACAUGUUUUGAAAACACUCGAGUGGGUGACAUUCCAUUAACUUUUGUUGUUAAUUUUAACCAGUCGAGGGUAGAAUUGAAAAAAUAAUUUUUUUUUUCAUAAAGCCAAAGAGAUGAAAAUAUUGAAUUUAUACAAUACUUUAUAAUUCAUAAGAUUUUUGCUUCUUUAUAUUCACAAAUCAGUUUGAUCAACAAGAAUUUUUUUAAAAUUUAUUUGAUUUAACAAAAAAAACUUGUUAAUUAGACUUAUGUUUAAUUUUUUUUUAUAUUUUCUAUUUAAAAAAUUAAAAAUGAGUGAGUAUGGGCAGAAACAUCAUUUUGUGGGGUAGAAACGUCAUUUAAUUUACUAUUCCCAUUAAAAUUAAUGACAAAAGUUAAUAGAAUGUCACUCGCUCGAAUAUUUUUAAAAAAUGUCAUCUUCUUAAAAUUUGUUAAAACAUAUGUCACCUAUUUGUUAAACAUAUGUCACCUAGAGAUUAUUAUUCUUAUUGUUGUUGUUGUUGUUGUUGUUGUACCCAAAGACUCAAUUUCCUUCACAAAAAUCUUUUCUUUUUAUAUACAUUAUAAUAUUUAUGUUUUUAUAUAUUAACUAAAUCAAAUAUGUAGGGUUUCUCAUUUUUCUUUGAACAAAAAAAUAGAAGGAUCACCUAAUUUAUUCUUAAAAUUAAAAUAAUCAAUAUACAUUGCUUAAUCUUAAGUUUAUGGAAAUUAUUCCAAUAAUAAUUCUUUGAGAUAUUCUUACCAAACAUAUUUAUGUUUUUCUCAUUUUUCAGAUUAUUUUUGAAAAUGAUACUGAACACAUUUUUAAAUUUUAAAAAUAAAUUUCAAAAUAGCAUUUUCAUUUUUAUUUUGUAAAAACAACAAUUAGAAAACAAUAUUGGGCUAUUAUUUAUCAUGUUUCAACAUAAAAACACAGUGUAAAUUGUUUAAUAUGGGUUUCUAGAGAAUUUUUUAUGUUACUAUUACUCAAAUUCAAUGCUUCCAAGCUUUUGAAUUUAGCUAAUCUUGCAUCAAGAAUUAAUGAACAUAAGAAAAAAAAAUUUCAUUCAGAACUAUAAAUAUUGAAAUAAAGAUAGAUAUCAUUGUUGAUCUUUUUAUAAAAAUGAUUUAGAAUUAAGAGAGAGUGAAAGAAAUGAGCGGGUUAUGUCGGAAAUUGGUGAUAGAGUAUAUCAAGUACUACACUUUGUAUAGAAAGCAGUGCUUCUAAUUUAAAUUUGAUCUAGUUUAAAGCAAUUAAAAAAUGGAAAUAUAUUAUCAUCUUGAUUAACAUCUAAAACAAUUUUAUCAUUGGAGGAAGUGAAUUGUUAUAUACCUUGAAUUGUAGUUAUCCCACAAUAACCAAGACCCAAUGUUUUCAAGUUUGGCAAAUCUGCGAAUCCUACAUGCGUCGAUAAAAAAUGAAAAUAUUACAUUUAAAGGCAUUGUAUGUGAUCCGCGUGUUUGAUGAACGUUAACUCUACAUUUAAUUUGCUUCUUAUCUCAAAUUCAGUGGCCUACCUAGCGUUGUCAGAUUUUGAUUAUCGCUUAAAUACAACACUUGCAGGUUUGUCAAAUUUGCUAAUCCUGCUAAAAAAAACAUAAAUUUUGUCAAUAACAGAUAUGUCACUCUCGUCUAAAUUGUUUAGUUAAAAUAAUAUGGUAAAUAUUGAAUGAAAAUUAACUGUGCACAUUGUUAUUUUUUUGUUUCUAUGGAUAUUUUAAUAUAUACCGUCACUUUUAGCAUUACCAAGAUUUGGAGUGUUUGAAUCAUAAUUUGUAAAUUAGUUUGCACUUUGAGUAAACUUGAAAAUGUGAAAAAAGCAAUUAAAAAAAAUGCAAAUAUAUUAUCAUCUUGAUUAACAUCUAAAACAAUUUUUGUCAUUGGAGGAAGUGAAUUGUUAUAUACCUUGAAUUGUAGUUAUCCCACAAGAACCAAGAUCCAAUGUUUUCAAGUUUGGCAAAUCUGCUAAUCCUACAUGCACCGAUAAAAAAUGAAAAUAUUACAUUUAAAGGCAUUAUAUGUGAUCCAUGCGUUUGAUGAACAUUAAUUCUACAUUUAAUUUGCUUCUUAUCUCAGAUUCAGUGGCCUACCUAGCGUUGUCAGAUUUUGAUUACCGCUUAAAUACAACACUUGCAGGUUUGUCAAAUUUGCUAAUCCUGUUAAAAAAAGGUAAAUUUUGUCAAUAACAGUUAUGUCACUCUCGUCCAAAUUGUUUAAUUAAAACAAUAUGGUAAAUAUUGAAUGAAAAUUAACUGUGCACAUUGUUAUUGUUUUUGUUUCUAUUGAUAUUUUAAUAUAUACAGUCACUUUUAGCAUUACCAAGAUUUGGAGUGUUUGAAUCAUAAUUUGUAAAUUAGUUUGCACUUGGAGUAAACUUGAAAAUGUGAAAAAAGCAAUUAAAAAAAUGCAAAUAUAUUAUCAUCUUGAUUAACAUCUAAAACAAUUUUUGUCAUUGGAGGAAGUGAAUUGUUAUAUACCUUGAAUUGUAGUUAUCCCAUAAGAACCAAGAUCCAAUGUUUUCAAGUUUGGCAAAUCUGCGAAUCCUACAUGCGCCGAUAAAAAAUGAAAAUAUUACAUUUAAAGGCAUUGUAUGUGAUCCGCGCGUUUGAUGAACAUUAAUUCUACAUUUAAUUUGCUUCUUAUCUCAGGUUCAGUGGCCUACCUAGUGUUGUCAGAUUUUGAUUACCGCUUAAAUACAACACUUGCAAGUUUGUCAAAUUUGCUAAUCCUGUUAAAAAAAGGUAAAUUUUGUCAAUAACAGUUAUGUCACUCUCGUCUAAAUUGUUUAAUUAAAAUAAUAUGGUAAAUAUUGAAUGAAAAUUAACCGUGCACAUUGUUAUUUUUUUGUUUCUAUGGAUAUUUUAAUAUAUACCGUCACUUUUAGCAUUACCAAGAUUUGGAGUGUUUGAAUCAUAAUUUGUAAAUUAGUUUGCACUUUGUGUAAACUUGAAAAUGUGAAAAAAGCAACUAAAAAAAAUGCAAAUAUAUUAUCAUCUUGAUUAACAUCUAAAACAAUUUUUGUCAUUGGAGGAAGUGAAUUGUUAUAUACCUUGAAUUGUAGUUAUCCCACAAGAACCAAGAUCCAAUGUUUUCAAGUUUGGCAAAUCUGCGAAUCCUACAUGCGUCGAUAAAAAAUGAAAAUAUUACAUUUAAAGGCAUUGUAUGUGAUCCGCGCAUUUGAUGAACAUUAAUUCUACAUUUAAUUUGCUUCUUAUCUCAGAUUCAGUGGCCUACCUAGCGUUGUCAGAUUUUGAUUAUCGCUUAAAUACAACACUUGCAGGUUUGUCAAAUUUGCUAAUCCUGUUAAAAAAAACAUAAAUUUUGUCAAUAACAGAUAUGUCACUCUUGUCUAAAUUGUUUAAUUAAAAUAAUAUGGUAAAUAUUGAAUGAAAAUUAAUUGUGCACAUUGUUUAAUUAAAAAAAUUAUUGUCUAAAGAACCGUGUAUAUAAUAAUUAGAACUCAAAUCCAACGCUUCCAAGUUUUUUAAUUUAGCUAAUCUUGCGCCAAGAAAGAAGAAAAAUCUUAGUAAUCGUCUUUGGGAAAAAAAUAAAGAAUUAAGAAAUUAGAUUAAAUAAUUGUAGUAAUAAAGCAUAUGACUCAGAUCUAAUUAAAUUGAUCAUAUACUCAAAAAUGAUUUUUUUUUAAAUUUUACUAAGAAAUUAGAAAGUAAUUUUUUGCCGUAUACCAAUUGUAGUCAAGUUUGUCAAGUUUUCCAGUCAAAAAUUGGUUUUAAUUUGACAUUAUACAUGUGUAAAAAUUAAGGGCAUAAUAAUAUCACAAGGAAUUUGGGUAGUGACUUGUUGCCGUGUGCUGACUUGGUAAUUAUCUCAGUAGCCUACCUAGCCUUGUUAAAGAGCCACUAGUUAUAUUGAAGUUCAAGCUUAGAUCCAACACUUGCAAGUAUCUCAAAUUUGCUAAUCCUGCUCAGAAAACAUUAAUUUUGAUCAAGACAAUAUAAAUAUACAUUUUAAUUAAGAAAUUAAUUAAGUUGCCUGAUAUGUAUAUCUGCUGGCCUGAAACGUAUAUGUAUACCUUGCUUGGUUCUGGAACCUUCAAUGGAAUUGGAAUUAAGAAUCAAAGUGGUAAGUGAAGUUAGUGUAUUCAAAUAUGGUAAUAUGCUGUCGUUGAAGAAAUUAAGACCAAGAUUUAACAUCUUCAGCUGCUUCAAACUCCCAAAGCUAUCGUAAGCUGCAAAUGCAUAUGAAGUGUUAUUAUUAAUUAGUCACUGACAAAAUAUUUAUGGACAAGAAAUAAAUGUAUACAUAUAUACGGACCUCUAUUCUCAUAGAUGCCUGCAAACCCAUUCCCAGAUAAGUCAAGACUUUGCAGUUCUUCAAAAGGAUGAAACAAUGACAUAUUCAGAACCAAAACUCCCUCCCAAUAAACAGAGUUAUUGAUCAGAAGCGAAGCCGAAGUACUAUCAAAAUAAUUCAAUCUGUGUGUAUGAUUGAGUGAGAGUUGCAUCACGCGUCGUGUGGUGGCGCUGCACUUAACUCCCUCCCAAUCAUCACAACAAUCAGACGGCAUUCCAUCAUCCUCACCAACCCAUGAAGGAAGAAUUUUGUCAUCAUAUCCAAUAUCACUGACUGAUGAUAUGAAGAAGCUCUUGAUUUCCAACAGAGCAGUCCUCUCUGUUUCCAAGCAUCCUUUGUAUCCAUGCAUUUCAUUCAUCAAUACAAUAAUCCAAAUUAGUGACAUUAAUGAGAACUUAAUACAGGAAGUACUUUCCAUUGCAGAGCAACUUUUCAUUUGGUUAAAAUUAAAUGUGCAAUGAGCAACUUUCCAUUGCAGAGCAAUUUAUACUAAAAGUUUAUCGCAGGUCUUGCAAUUUGAUUGGCUGAAGACUUUUUUAAGACUUUGAAGACUUGUAAGCAUUCCAUGUUUGGCAGCAUUCGACCAACGGGAAAAAGCACUUCAUUAAUACCCCGGGGAAAAUAUAGAUAAAGUGAUUAUAAACUAUAAAUUUUUCCAAUAGUUUGAUGGAGAUAAUCAUAACUAAUAAAAUAAAAGUUGACUGAGAGAAUUUAAAUAAUUUAACCGCAUGUUUGGAUUUCCAUUGCAUUAUCAGUCAAUCUAUUAAAUAAUGUGUUUUGAGAAGAAUUUGAUUGGAUGUUUGAUGAGUUUAAAUUAAUUUAUUAGAAAAUCAAUAAUUAAUCAACGUAAAUCUUCGUGUAUGUUUAGUUAGUGUGGCGUAGUCUGAAAUGACAAAACACAUAAAUGUUAUUUGAAGCUCUUGUGACCCUUUGUGUUCCUGCAUUCGGAUAAGGAAAGUUUCCAUUGCUCCAGUCUACACUCUUCACUACUAUUACAAUCACUUGAAAUGACAAAAACAGAAACUUCGUAUGAACAUGGGACCGAUGUACGGGUCCAAUUUAAAUGACCCUAGCUAAUUUUGCAUAUAUUAUUGCAACUACGUGGAAAAUUAAAGUUGACUGACUUUCAAAUUAAGCCAACAAACAAGUGGCCAUCAACUCUUUUCCCUCUAUGAUUGGUUUUUUUUUUUUUUUUAAAUUGAAUUGUAAGAUUGGGUUUGCAUUGAAUUAUCCAACAAUCUAUUCAAGCAUUGAUAUUUGAUAUUAUCAAAUAUUUAAUGGGUUUUGAAAAUUAUUUACUAGAUUUUUGAUAAAUUGAUUUUUAUUAUUUCAUGAUCAAUAAUUAAUCAAGUAAUUUUAUAUAUAUAUAUAUUUGGUAUUUGGUAAUUUACUCAUAAAAAGUGUGGAUCACAUUGAAAUGUUAUUUUAUAUGAUGCAUGACAUACGGAGAGGUGCAGUUUAAAUGCGCAAAUAAUUUAUUUAUUAUAACAUGCAAUCAUUGAGUUAAAGCGCAAGCGUGAGUUUGGAUUUGAAAUAUUCAAAUAAUUUAUUUCAUUAUUGAUUCUUAAAUAACAUGCUUUGGAAUUAAUAGUUCGAUAGGAUGUUUGAUAUAUUGAAAUUUGUGAUAAUCAAUAAUCAACUAAUUUUCAUUCAUAUUUAAAGAUUUUAAUAAAUUACUCAUAAAAUUGUGGCGUAUAUUGAAAUGACAAUCAAUCUUGAUAUUGACUGACAAUCAAUUUUUAUAGUGAUUGGCACUUAAGACAAUCAGUUUUGGUCUCCGUAAUGACUAAUGAAGAAUUGUAAGCCUGAAAUUCCACAUGUUGCAAUGUUGGACCAAUGAGGGAAAUGCUUCAUUAACAUUACAUGGAAAAUAAAUGUUGACUGACUUUCAAAUUAGGCCAACAUACAAGUAGUCGUCAAUUCUAUUUUUUCCAACAGUUGAUAAAGAUGGCAAGUUAAGAAAAAAAAAAGUUGAUUGAGAUAAUUUAAAGAAUUUAAGCGUAAGUUUGGGUUUGAAAUUAUCAAAUAAUUUAUUCCAGCAUUGAUUCUUAAAUAAUGUACUUUGGAAUUAAUAACUCAAUAGGAUGUUUGACAUAUUGAAAUUUGUGAAAAUCAAUAAUCAAUUAUUUUUCAUACAUGUUUAGACAUUUUAAUAAAUUACUCAUAAAUUUGUGGUGUACACCGAAAUAAUAAGUUAAUAAAUUGAAAUGAUAUCUAAAACUCUUGAGUCCCUUUGUAUCCUUGCAUUAAUUUGAAUUGAAGCUCGAAUUAAAAUCGAAGACCCAUAUUGAGAAUUUAUAUAAGUAACUUAAGAGUAUGAUUGGGUUUACAUUGACUUAUAUAUAUCAAACAAUAUAUUCAAGCGCUGAUAUUCUCAAAAAAAGAAAAAAAAAGACAAUCAAUCUUUGCGUCAACUGAUAUUAUUGAUUGGUAAUAAAUCUUAGUAGUGAUUGACAAAGCUUGGGAAAAUCACUCUCGGUGAUUAAUAGUCUUCGUCCUCAUCUUUGUUUUGAUCGUUGUGAUAGAGGAUGAGUGGUGCGUAAGAGAGGGUUCAUCGCUUGCGGAAUUUUCGCGGCCAUUCAAGAAUCAGGAUGGUUGUUGUAGAAUUCCACGAGAAUUGGCCUUGCAAUUAGGGAAAGUUCAAUAUUAAUUUAUACUAAAAGUUUAUCUUAGGCCAAUCACAAUGACCACCAAAACCUAUGAAUAAUUAGUCCAUCGAAACCCAAUGUAUGCUCAAUUAAUAUUUCCUAUCAAGAUCAAAUUUUUCGCUCUUCACCAAUCAUGAGCAUAAAAGCUCGAUUUAUACAAAAAUUAAGAAUUUAUGAAAAAAAGUCACAAUUAUUAUAAUUGGAAGUUUGAUUGAUUUUUAAAGAUUGAUUCAAUCAAUCUUAAUGUUACUGGACAAUCGAUCUUAAUAUUAAUUCAAAAUCAAUCUUUAUAGCAAUUGGCACAAAUAAAGAUAAUUAGUUUUGGUCUCUAUAAUGACUGACGAAGACUUGUAGGACCUGGACCAAUGAGGAAAAACGCUUCAUUAAUACUCCAUGGAAAAUAAAUGUUGACUGACUUUCAAAUUAAGCCAACAUACAAAUGGUCGUCAAUUCUAUUUUUUACAAAAAUUGAUGGAGAUAGUCAACUAAUAAAAUAAAAUUGAUUGAGAUAAUUUAAAGAAUUUAGGCAUAAGUUUGGGUUUUAAAUUAUCAAAUAAUUUAUUCCACUAUUGAUACUUAAAAAAAUGCUUUGGAAUUCAUAAUUCAAUAGGAUGUUUGAUAAAUUGGAAUUUGUGAAAAUCAAUAAUCAACUAUUUUCACAAUAAACUGAGAUUUUUUUUUUUUGAAAGCCAAUAGAAACAUGAAUUAUAGUACAUCCAUCGAUUGACGUAUAAUUAUAAUCAUAUAAUCAAACACGCACACUACAAGGCGACCUUCGAUUGACGUAUUCUGUCGACUAACCCAGGGACAUGGAGGAUGUUUUAACGUUAUAUAAAAAAAAAAUGAUGAAUAAUAUAGUUCCCGGCAGUGCUAAAAAAUGAUCAAUAAUCGGAUGAGGAAAUUUACGAAAGAUUUAUUAAAUGAUCAGAGACUUUCUGCAAUUUCAUUGACUUAUUCUACGAUAAUUAUAAUCAAACACGCACACUGCAAGGCGACCUUCGAUUGACGUACUCUGUCAACUAACCAAGGGACAGGGAGGAUGUGUGUUGACGUUAACCAAUAGCCAAGUUUAUAAACACAAUCAAGCAAUCAUAUGAUCAAUCAGAGCCACAUUCGACGCACGACUAGUAAAUAUCAUAAUUGAGUUUGAGGACCACAGCCUUACGGUGAAAGAAUUUGAAUGGAGAUCACUGCCAAAUCGUUUUUUGUCUGGGAUCAGACCAGACAAGUUCUUGUAUGACUCGUUAAAGUUGGAUAAAUAGUUGAUGAGUGAUCUGAAGAUCACUGAUAAGAAAUUUUGUCAUUUUUGUUUGGUAAAUUAUUCGUAAAAUUAUGGUCUACUCUGAAAUUACAAAAAUAAGCAUAAUUAAUUUGGAUAAAGGAAAAGCAAAGGAAAUUGAGAAGGAAACCAGAGGAAGGCUAAAGAAAAAUAAGCCGAUUCAUCAGUAACUCAAGAUCACAACUUUGGAUUUUUUUAGCAUCUGAAAUUUCAACAACUAUUCAAGUGAUGCGAGGUUGGUCAAGGUGGAAGGAAAGUUUCCACUUAAUUGAUUAUUAGAAAUAUCAAGAACUUUGAGAUUGGUCAAGUUGUUGAGACACUGAGGAAGGUGACCCUCAAAGUUAUUUGAGCUUAGAUCCAACUCAAAAAGAUUCUUAAAAUUACAUAGUCCUGAACUUGAAAAUAAAAGAUCAAAAUUUUAUAGAAUGAAAACUAAUUAUAGCAAAUUCGAUCAAAAUCCAGUACAAGACUUAAAAAACAGACAAAAAUCGAAUUGCCUAAUUAUUUUGGUCAGCACAAAUAAUAAUAGAGUAAUGUGAACUUAUUUCUCAUAUAAUAUGAUGUUGAUUGCAAAAGCGUUUCAAUAAUCUGGAAAAAGGGGAAAAAAAAAUAAGCCCUCAGCACUUUUUGUUUAUCAUAGCCCGGAGUCCUUCUUGUUUAACAUUAUGAUUUUCUGAGGAAGAAUUUGUUCACUUGAUGUUGUUCAUUGGACAAUGGUUCUGUAACCUCUAAACCUAUUGGAUAAUGUAAAGAGAAAUUCAUAAUAUUUUAGUUGUCUUCUUAAAUAAUAAAUUGUCUUAAAAUACAAUUAAUUUGUCUUAAAUUUAAUCUAUUUCUCAGUAUUUAAAGAAAAACAAAAAGAAAAAAAGAAAAAGAAAAACGAACUGGUCUUCAUAUAUAAUUUUGUCCAAGUACUUUGAUCAACAAAUCAUUAGGAAGGUGGUGUAUCAGUGAUGCAAAUAUUUAAUUAUCAUGUUUCAACAUAACAAUUCUGUGUAAAUUGUUCACUUUAUGUUUCUAGAGAACUGUUUAUAUUAUUAUUACUACUCAAAUUCAAUGCUUCCAAGUAUUUGAAUUUAAUUAGCUAAUCCUGUAUCAAGAAUUAAUUAAUGAACAUAAGAUAAAUGUCAUAUUAGUUAGAUUUAGAUUUUUUUUUCCAGUUUUGAUGUAUAGAUAAUGUUUUCAACUGGUUUUGGGGUAAGAAAAGCCAAACCAAUCUAGAACAAUAAAUUUGUUAUUUUGAGGGGAGAUGGGGUACCUCACUGGUUUAUUGUGUGUUGGGCGGUGUAUCUAAGAUUUUGGGGAGGUGAGAAAGGGAGAGAGAGUGGUAACAAUGGUGGAAGAUCAGAAACAAGAGAGGUAUCCUUCAAAAUGAGCUUCACGCCUGCAAAACAAUGAAAUAGAGGUUAGAGGUGAAGCCGGGGGUACCCCGGCGUUCACACUCCGACGCUCAAGUUAGCAAACUCAAGCUUUUAUUGCAAAGAGAGCUAGCUAGCCCUCUGUAAAUUAGGGUUUAAGGUUGAAGAAAACCUCUUUUUUGGAGUGUGAGUGUUUUUGGGCGAAUGAGAGCAUGAUGGAGAAUGAAACCUAGGCGCCUUUAUAUAUGGAGUACCUUAGCUGCCACGUGGCAUACCCUUUUUGGCUAACGUCCUUUUACCGCUUUUAUGAUUCUUGGGGCCGUUAUGUGCAUGUUCGCGGCGUAUCUCAUCUUUUGGAAACGUGGCGCGCGCUGGAGAGUGGUCCAGGGUACCUCUGCAGUAGCUGUCGGGUAGGCGGCUAGGGACCACUGUCCUUGGGACAGUGUCCUUCACUUUUGGCAGAGGUAGCAGACGGCUGUCCCUCCUUUUAGCACGUCGCUUUUGAUUCCUAAUUCUGACAAAAUCAAAUGAUAUCUUUUAGGAGGCGGAGACGUUUCUCAUGGCGGAUAUUUUCGGUGGAUUCUCUUGCAUCCGCUUUGCCGGGUACCUCGAAUUACAUGGGGUACCCCCUAUUACGCAGGGUACCCCUAUCUGUAUGGGAUACCUCUAUUUGUAUGGGGUACCUCUAUUUGUAUGGGGGUACCUCUAUUUGUGUGGGAUACCUCUAAUUGUGCAGGGUACCUCUAUUUAUACGGGGUACCUCAAGUCAUGUCGGGCACCUCGGAUUAUGUAGGGUACCUCCGAUUGUGCUGAUAUCAUUCCAUUGGCUGACACGUGGCGCUCUAUUACCUUUCCCAUCUUUCCCUCAAACAACAUCCCCCUAGUUUCUUUUUGGCGAGAAGUAUUGGAGGCAAAAGAAACUUAUUGUAUGAGUGACACGUGGCGAUGCGGCUGGAUCGGAGGGUACCUUGCUUAGCUUCUUCCCUUGACUAAACUUUGUGUACUUCAAACUAAAAAUCUUCUCUUUGUCUUUUCCUUUUCCCGCUUUUUUUUUUUUUUUUUUUACACGAUGAGAACGAACAGUUGUCUUCAUAUGUCUCUCUCCUUUUUCUUGGGAAGUGGCAGCCGUCUGACACGCAGUUUGAAUUUUGAAAAUACAAAUCUCACUCAAACAUCCUUGAACUCCUUUCUUGAGCAACGUGUUCUGUCAGGUUGAAUUUAAAACUCCUGACGUGUGUCAAAGUUUUGAAAAUCCCCAAACGAACUCCCAAAAAUUGAUUAUUUCCAGUAGCCUUUUUCUUCCAUAAUUUCGUCUCUUCUUCUAACUGGAUCAACAUUUCCAGUAGCCUUUUUUUUUUUUUUUUUUUUUUUUUUUUUUUUUUUUUUUAGCCUUGUUCAUCUUCCCUAGGCUUUACUCUCCCUUUACUCUUUUUCUUUUAUUUCUUUCCCAUUUUCUUUCUCCCUUUUCUUUCUCACGUUUCUCUUUCCUUUUUCUCUCUUUUCCUUCUUCCUUUUCUUUCUUUCUUCUUUCUCUUUCUCUCUCGGCCGGCGUUGAUCUGGUACGUUUUCCGGCGUGGAUCUCGGCUGCUGCAGUGGCGGUUUUGGGCUCCAGAUCUGGUCGGUUCAAGGCGAUUUCCGGCGGCUCACGGCGAGAUCUCAGUCCGGCGAUACACACGGUAACCCCUCCUUCAUCGUUUCUUUAUUUUUCCCUUGGUGCUUUCUCUCUUCCUUCCCUUUUCUUCUCUUUUUCGUUUCGGCUUGGUGUUUUUCUCUGUGAUUUCCGGCGUCGGUUUGGUGUGGUUGCAGCCGGCGUCGGUUCGGUGCUUGCAGCCACGACAGCCGGCGUCGGUUUGGUGGCUGCUGUCCCUUCUUCCGUGUUGUCUUCUCUGUUCUUCGUUUUCUUUUUUUUUUUUUUUUUUUUGGCUGGCGUCCUCCUUUGGCGGUUUCCGGCAUCCUUCUCGUGAUCUCCGGCGUCGGUUCUCGGUGGUUGCAGCCAUGACAUCUGACGCCGGUUGCUGCAGCUUCUUCGUUCUUCAUUUUAUUUAUUCAUUUAUUUAUAAAUAACUAUAUAUAUUUAAGCUUAUUUUUGUUUUUAUACUUGCAUAUUUUUACCCACUAUUUUUGGUUGCCUGCAGCUUCAUUUCGCCGCGAUUAUCAAUCCCGAUCUGUUGAAUUGGUGAAUCACAGGUAUCCCUCCUCGCUUCUCCUCCUUUGGCGCAUUCACAGUGGCGCUAUUUUGCAUACUCUGAGAAAAUUUUGUUUUUGGUUUUUGUUGUUUUUUUUUUUUUUGUUUUGUUGGUUGGUGUUUGCAUUUGGUGGUUGAUGUGUGGUGGAUGGUGCUUGGUAUGGAUAUAUUGCUGUUUGGAAAACAUGUGGCUUGUUGGAUGUGUUGUUGGGGGCUUGUGGAUAUGUUGUUGGGUGUAUCGUUGGGUGUAUUGUUGGGGAACUUGUGGAUGUGCUGUUAGGGGCUUGUGGAUGUGCUGUUGGGGAACUUGUGGGUGUGUUGUUGGGGAAAAGUAGAUGGGCAAAAAGCACACGGGACCCCCGAUGAAGCGACGUAAAGUUGGGGCUAGUAGGGUUGACAACCCUCCUGCGGGUUCCCCUUCCCACAUCUCCAUCAGCGAGGGGGAUCGGUCCCCUCCUAAUUCCUCUAUGAGUUGCAAUUCUCGUUCUGAGCCCCCUCCUCCUAGGAGUACCCCUCGUGUCAGCCCACGCUUUCCUAGUAGACGGCCUACCCCUCAUCCUCGAAAGAAGGGUAAGCCAACCAAGCCUAAGGUUCCAGCUCGUUCCUCGGACCAGCCGCCUAAAUCUCCCCCUGCCACACCUUCAAAAUCUAGCAACCCUUUUUCCCUAGGCAUUAGGAGGGCUACUUUGGGGGAGUUGGAGCAAAUUAGAGCCAAAUACAAUAUUCCUCCGUCUGUCCAGCUUAGGGUACCCCAUGUGAAUGAGCGACCCGAGUGUCCAAAGUCUGAUGGGAUUGCUCUCCAUAUCGAUCUCUUCGAUCUAGGACUCCGCCUGCCCCUCCAACCAUUCUUUAUGAAAAUGUUUAGUUACUUGGGGGUAGCUCCUGGGCAGCUGUCCCUUCCAGGGUGGAGGACACUGACGGGCUUACAUGUGUUAUGGUUGGAGGUCGUGAAGCGCGACAUUUCUGUUCGGGAGUUGAGGGGCCUUUACCAAUUCAAGAAGCCUAAGGGUCCCGGCAUUGCUUACUUCUCUCCCUGGGGUGAUCAUGGCCACAUCGUUGAGGGGAACCCCGCCUUGAAGAAGGGUUACCGAAAGGGAUGAUUUGUCGCUGAGGGUACCUCCCACAGCGGGUCAAAGGGUACCCCUCGCUCGAAGAAGAGAAAAUUCGGGCUGGUUUCUACUUUUCCCGAUGAGUUACGUGAGGGUGACUUAGACCCGGCUUCUAACAAGGAGGUUUCGCACUUGGCUCGCCACUUUUACUACUCUGCUGAAAAUGUUACCUCCGAGGUUGCUGAAGAGGUUGACAAGAUGAGCUUGAGCCAGCGUUAUGGUCAAGCACUUAGGGCUACCCAAGAGGUAGGCUUUCUUGGGGUACCCCGGGUGUACUCUUCAUCAUUUUCUUUUUACUUAUUUGAUCUUUUCGCCAUACACAUAUAUUUAACAUGUCUUGCAUGACCCGCAGGCAUCCUUUCUCCUUAGCCACUGCCUUCCGGAUCUCGACUCCCUUGUUGCCGCACAGUCAGAGGUCGACAAGUUAAGGAGUGAGCUUCAAAGCCGUCAAUCUCGUGAGGAUCAGCUCGCUCGAGAAGUUAAAACUCUGCAAGAACGCAUUGCUGGCCUAUCGGGAGAGAAAGCUAGGGUGGAGAAGGAUUGUGAGGAGUUGAGGGCCACCAACGGGGAUCUGCUAUCUCGGCAAAAGACGAUGGCGGAGGAUGCAUUCUCACUCAUCAUGACAGAGGUGUGGAGUGUGGAUCCGGCGUUGGAGGUACCCCGCGUGCAGAAAUUUGUCAACAAGGCUGCCAUUCUGAAGACAAUUGCAGAGCGGAAGAAGUCUUCCCAGGCACGGUCGGGUACCCCUUCUGGGUCGCCUGGGGUACCCCAUCAGCCUCAGUCGUUGCCCGCCUCGGAUGCCCCUAUUUCGGCGGCUCAUAUUCCGGGUACCUCGGAGUCUUCUGCCGAUCGCCCUCUAGAGACGGAUGUUGGGGAUCGCGUUCCCCCCUCGGUGUAGCCUUCUCACUGUGCUCUUGUUUAUCGGAUCUAUCCACAUUUUGCUAUUUGGACCUUGUUUAUUUCUUUUUGGUUUCUCGGGAUAUUUUGUUUUAUUGAGACUUCUCUUUUGUUAUGAUACCAUACCAUCUAGUCCUCUUGUACUUUGCAUUAUUCUGCAAAUGAAUGCUUGGCUAAACUGUUAUCUUACAAAUUCCUAGGGUACCUCUCAUUUCAUCAUUUUUUUUAAAAUGGGGUACCCCUGGUACCUUAACAAGUAUUCAACAUCAGGCGCCUGCUGGUUUACACUGAGCGGCGAAUUUGGUGCAUGCCCUCCUCGGCAACCAUGGCGGAUUUUCCACAAAUAGGUAAUCAAAACAUCGUCGCGACAUCUCGAUCAAAAAUUGAAAGUGCGCAAUUGGUCCAACCAAUCAAUUUCUUAUUCUUUCGAAGUGCUCUCCGAAUUUUUGAAUAGCUUACCCCAUACUUUGCAAAAGUACGAGGAUGGAGGUGUGGGUGUUCUCAUACCUAAGCCGAACUUCGUGCCGCUAGGGUAUGCCGGUUUUUCUUCACCCUCGGGUCCUCUUUGACCCUCCCUCUCUUUGUCUAGGUAGCUUUGUCAUGCUUCCGCAGAAAGGCUACCCCUGGGCUGUUCACUCCAUUGCCUAUCUUGGCUUUACACAGAUCGUCACGAUCUAGGCAUAUCAAGUACCUUGGCUGGUCCUGUGAUAGGUUAGUCAUAACUGACAAGCGUAUGGCGAGAAUUGCAUAUAACCAGAUGCGAGGGUAUAUUAAUGGCGAUAAAUGAAUGUAAUCUGCAUUCUAAGAUCGAAGUGGCGAAAAAUAAAGAAAGAACUCACAUCAUAUUUGUUGAGAAAGAAAAUGCAUUUAUAGAUAACGAAAGCGUUGAUCAAUACAUGACUUAGCUUUGUUACCCUGAGGAGAAUGGGAGACCGCAAGACCUCCUAUUCUUUUCAUUUGAAAAUUAAAGAAACUCUAAAGUUGUAACUGACCAACAUAGGGCAUUUGGGGUACCCUAUUUGGCAUACCACACAAAAACAUUAAAGAAAGCAAAUAACAGCAAAAGACUAAAGGUUGAGACACUGUCCUUUAGUAAUAUUUCCGUAGCAUUGCAGCGUUCCAGGGGUGCCUCACAAUUGUGCCAUCCAUGUGGAGUAGCCUGUAUGCACCUGUCCCAACGGGUUUGUCGAUGCGGUAAGGUCCUUCCCAAUUUGCCCCGAAAGCACCUUCGUAGGGUACCCUAGUGUUCUGAGUUACCAUUCUCAAGACUAAGUCUCCUUUCUUGAAGGAUCGAGGGCGUACCCUUUUUUCAUAUAGACCCGAAAUGCGAUGCUGAUAUAUGGAUGUCCUCAGUUCUGCUCUAGCCCUUUUUUCAGCUACCAAAUCAAGGUUUGAAGCAACCAAGGAGGUGUUCUCGGCCUCAUCGAAGUAUUCAACCCUGUGAGAGGGUACCCCGAUUUCUGCUGGAAUCACUGCGUCAACACCGAAUGCGAGGGAAAACGGGGUCUCCCUGGUGGAGGUGUUUUGAGUAGUCCGGUAUGCCCACAGUACGCCAGGUAGCUCGUCUACCCAUGCUCCAUUUCUUUCCUCUAGCUUCUUCUUCAGGAUACCUUUGAUAAUCUUGUUAACGGCUUCGACUUGCCCAUUAGAUUGGGGGUGGGCAGGUGUAGCAAAUCGGUUGGCUAUCCCCAACUCCGAACAAAAUCUUCAGAAUUUUUCAUUAUCGAAUUGCUUGCCGUUAUCACUGACAAUUGCAUAGGGGAUUCCAAAUCUGCAAAUGAGGUUCUUCCAAAUGAAUUCGGUGGUUUUCCUUUCUGUGAUGCUUGUUAGUGGCUCCACUUCCGCCCAUUUUGUAAAAUAAUCUACCGCCACGAUUGCAUGUUUUGCUUGCCCCUUUCCGGUAGGCAAUGGGCCAAUGAGGUCCACUCCCCACAUAGCGAAGGGCCAAGGGGAAGAUAUAACUGUUAGCUUCUCUGGGGGUAGAUGGGGUACCCUAGCGAACCUCUGGCAUUUGUCACAGCUUCGUACCAUAUUCUUGGCAUCCUCCCGCAUGGUUGGCCAAUAGUACCCCUGACGGAGAGCUUUUUGCGCCAGUGAUUGUGCUCCAUAGUGAUUGCCACAAAUCCCCUCAUGUAUCUCCCUCAUGACAUACUUGGCCUCGUCGCUUCCCAAGCAUCUAAGGUAAGGAAGAGUGAACCCUCUUCUAUAUAGGGUAUCCUGGAUCAAGCAAUACCGGGCAGCUUUAUACUUUAGUCUUCUCGCUUCACUUUUAUCUGAGGGGAGGUCUCCGUCCUUGAGGUGCCUUAUGAUAGGCUCCAUCCAAAGUACCUCGUUGGACAGUGAUCCUACUUCCAACGGCUCUAGGAGAUCAAUGCUGGGGGUGGGUAUGUGUUCUGUUGUGAUGGGGCCAGCUGACUGAGCUACACCAAGGGACGCCAUUUUUGCUAGGGUAUCGGCUUCGCUGUUCUCCAGUCGGGGUACCCUUUCCACUUUAACCUCGCAAAAUUGGGACAUUAAUUCUCUGGUUUUUUCGAGGUACCCCUUCAUGUUUUCCUCUUUCGCCUGAUAUUGUGCGGUAAUCUGGCUUACCACCAACUGUGAGUCACUCUUGACGUGUACCCUUUUUGCUCCCAAAGCCUUUGACAUCCUCAACCCCGCUAUGAUUGCCUCAUACUCGGCUUCGUUGUUUGAAGCCUUGAAUCCGAAUUGCAGGGCGUAGUAUAUUUUCACCUUGUUCGGGUUGAUGAUAAUAACUCCUGCGCCACUUCCGUGUGAGUUAGAGGAACCAUCCACAUAUAUUUCCCAGACCUGCUCCUCUUCAUUGGUGGGUAGGGUAUCUAACAGGUAUCUCAGAUCACAUUCACCACUUGAGUCAUUGGCGAAUUCCGCAAUGAAAUCAGCAAUGGCCUGAGCUUUAAUCGCCGAACGAAGCUUGAAGAUGAUGUCGAACUCGCUUAAUUCGAGGGACCAUCGGAGAAGCCUUCCGGACAUGUCUAACUUCUGAAGGAUUUGCCGGAGGGGAAGGUUGGUGACGACUGCAAUGGUGUGAGCCUGAAAAUAUGGUCUGAGCUUCCGUGCGGAGAUAACCAAUGCCAAAAUGAUCUUCUCAGAGGUGGGGUACCUUUUUUCGGCAUCAACCAUAGCCUUACUAGUGUAGUAAAUAGGUCGUUGUACCCCAUUAUCAUCCUCUCGGAGUAACACAGAGCUGGUGGCAUGCUCGGAUACGGCGAGAUAUAGCAGCAGCACCUCUCCCGGCUCAGGUUUGGCAAGUAGUGGAGCAUUCACGAGGUACCCCUUCAGUUCUUGGAAAGCCUCUUCGCAAUCGGGUGUCCAUUGGAGCUUUUUACCGGUCUUCAAAGCUUUGAAAAAGGGCUUACACCGAUCGGUAGCCUUGGAGAUAAAACGGCUCAGAGCAGCUACCCGACCUGUUGUACCAUGAACCCGAGAAACUUUCCCGAGGUUACCCCAAAUGCACAUUUUUCAGGGUUUAGCCGCAUCUGAUGUUUUCUCAAAACGGUAAAGGUAUCUCUGAGGUGCCCCAGGUGUUACCCCAAAUGCACAUUUUUCAGGGUUUAGCCGCAUCUGAUGUUUUCUCAAAACGGUAAAGGUAUCUCUGAGGUGCCCCAGGUGUUACCCCAAAUGCACAUUUUUCAGGGUUUAGCCGCAUCUGAUGUUUUCUCAAAACGGUAAAGGUAUCUCUGAGGUGCCCCAGGUGUUCCCCCGCAUGCACCGAUUUGGUGAUCAUGUCGUCUAUGUACACCUCCAUGGUGCGCCCGAUUUGUUCUUUGAAAAUUUUGUUCACUAGCCGCUGGUAGGUAGCCCCGGCAUUCUUCAAACCAAACGGCAGGCGUCCAUAAAACUAAGCAUUUCAUGCCUCGCUGUUGCAUCAACCAGCUGGUCCACCCGAGGAAGCGGGAAGCUAUCCUUGGGGCAGGACUUAUUCAAGUCGGUGAAGUCCACGCACAUGCGCCACUUUCCGUUUGAUUUCUUGACAAGAACAACGUUGGACACCCAAUCGGGGUACACUGCUUCCCGAAUAAACCGUGCUGCUGAUAGGCGGUCUACCUCUUGUUCAAUUGCAUCGUACCUCUCUUGAUUGAAGGCGCGAUGCUUCUGUUUGACCGGUUUAUUAUGCGGGCUGACAUUGAGUUUGUGACAUGAGAGAGAAUGUGGGAUACCCGGCAUAUCCGAGUAGGUCCAAGCAAAUACAUCGAGGUGCUCACAUAGGAAGGUGAUGAGUUUCUCCCUUUGUUCCUCCGAGAGGUUGGAGCCUACUUUCACUGUCUUUGUUGGGUCGGUGGCGCAAAUCGAGACUGAAAUAAGAUCUUCAACUGGGGUACCCCGCAUUUCAUCUUUCAAUAUCCGGGGAUCCAAAGGUGCCUCAACUUCACAUCUGGGCUCCUCCUGGUCCCCGUGGGGUACCCUCGAGCUAUCCCCCGUAACUGCUUCCAUCUCCCUUGGUGAAAACUCCAACUUUUCUCGUGGGUGGGCUACUUGAGGAGAUUUUUUCAGUACUGUUCUCCGCUGUCUAGCAAGUGCUCGCUUUGAGGGGGAAGGUGUGGGCUGGCUGCCACUAGGGUACCCCUUCAUUGGCGGAUCUGAAGCUAUUUGGUAAGUGACUUUGGAGGCCACGGAAUAACAUCCACGAGCCGAUUGCUGGUCCCCUUUAAUGGUGAUAACUUCUUGGGCGGCCGGGACUUUCAUGGCGAGAUAGUGCAUGGAUACCACCGCUUUAGUUGCUACUAAGAACGGCCUACCCAAUAUAAUAUUGUAGGCACCCGGGUGAUCUACAAUAAGAAAAUCAAUCAUAUGAACAACACGGUGAGGUACCUUACCAAGUGUAACGGGCAGCGUAAUGAUGCCUUUUGGUAUAACCAUAUCUCCGGCGAACCCAAUAAGAGGCGUAGCAUAUGGGGUGAUCUUUGGCGACUCAAUCAAUAGCUGAUCCAAGGCGCUUUUGAAAAUGAUGUCAACGGAGCUACCGGUAUCUACGAGAGUUUUUGCUACCUUACCAGUGGCAACCUUCAACGUAAUUACGAAGGCAUCAUCGUGGGGGUACGAGAUGCCCUCCGCAUCUUUUUCUGUAAAAAGGAUAGGCGGGGGAUGGUGGGGUACCUUCGGUGUACCCCAUUCAUUAAGGUUGACUUCUCUGCCCAUAUUGGUGGUUAUCGACAACGAUCUACCAUAGCCUUUGAUAGCCCUCCUAGAUUGGCCUGCUAAAGUCGGUCCGCCCAUGAUCAUUCGGACAUACACGCCUUUCUUGUGUCCAGGGGGUACCUCUCGUUCCGGACUGCCAUCAGCUACCCGCUUGCCUUUAUCCUGUUCCGCAGAUUUCCGAGCUUCUCUCAUGCCAGCAACAAAUUCUUUGAGGUACCCGCUAAGAAUCAAAGAUUCAAUUUCUUCUCGCAAGGUGAAGCACUCGGCUGUGCUGUGACCAAAGUCCUCAUGGAACUCGCAAUACUUCAGGCUACGCUUCAUGUUGGGGUACUUCUUCAUUGGCUUAGGAGGACGGAGGAGGCCGCUAUCCCGAAUAUGGUAGAAGAUCUGCUCUGGGGAUCGAUUCAGUGGGUGGUAAGAUUCAUACCGAGGCCUCGGCGGUGGCUCUCGUUGAUCCGGUGGUGGCGAUCUUGGAGGUUGGGGUACCCUUGAGGCACCCUGAGGGUUAUACCCUUGUCCCCGCAAGGCAGCCCGUGGAGGGCUCCGUGCUCGGGGUACCCGCGGUAUUGGGGCCUCCACCCUCUUGGGCUUCUCCUUGUUCUUUGUAACAUCGGCCUUAUCUUCUUGGCGCUUCAAUUGGCAUUUUUCGUCCAUCUCCAAUUGUUGCAACGCCCGAGAACGGGCUUCCCCAUAUGAAAGUGGACGCUUCUUUUGAAAAGAACGCCAUAACUUGCCCAACCGCAAAUUUUUCUCAAAAUGGGUCAAUGUGUAUUGGUUUCCAAAUGCUCCGGUUCGCAGCACCUCUUGGUGGAAACGACUUACAUACUCCGCCAAAGGCUCGGCUUCCCCUUGCUUGAUAAAGGCAAGUUUGGAGGCUACCCUAUCUUGAGUGGAAGCAUAGGAAAACUCUUUAGUAAAUUCAGAUAACAAUUGGUGUAAGGAAGAUAUGCUACCCGCUUUCAAAGAUCGAAACCAUGACUUCGCGGGGCCCGUGAGUGUGUGUGUAAACAUCCUACACAUGGCGCUCUCAUCUACACCCUUAAUGAGCAUUUGGUCACGGUAUAGCUCAGCAUGCUCCGAGGGAUCAGUGGUACCCGAGUAUUGGGGUAUCUGAGGCAUGGCGAACGCCUCGGGGAGAGCUGCUGUCCUAAUCUCCCUAGUGAAUGGUGAUUGGUAGGUCAUUGGCGUUGGUGCAGCUGUGAUGUUUUGCUUCUCGGAGAGGAGCUUCACUUGGGCUUCCAGGUUCUCCAUCUUUUCCACAAGUUCGAGGGGUACCCUCGGUGUACCUGAUGAUGUCGCCGCCAUUUGAGAAGCCCUUUUGGCGUUUAACUUCUCACGGAGAUCAUCGUGGGUACGCUUUGCACGCCUCGUACCCUGGCUACUGCGGGAAUUGCAAGAGGCAGUGGAACGCUCGUCGCGGGAGCCCAUGGUUUGAAACUUAGAACGGGUACCCGAUGGCCUAGGCUUUGGCUUGCUGGCCUCGGGUACCCCUCUUCUGACCAUAGCUUGGUCGUCCGUUUGAGGUGGUGGAGCUUCUAGCGUCACUGGUGGAAGUGAACUUUCGGGUGCCCGAGAUCCAACCGCCCUAAGUAUUGCGUGAGCAAGAUCCUCAAAACGCUUGUGCGAAAUAGGUUCUUCUUCUUGGCGAACACCCGUCGACUGCUUGACACCCUUGCCCUUACUGAUGCGGGCUACCCUUCUCGCGGGAUCACUGCCUUCACUGCUGCUGUCCUCUCUCAUCCUUGUAGGAUCCCCCAUUAAACCUUUAGGAGGUACGUCGGGUGCCAUGUAUUGGAGUACACACAACAACUAGUUUGGUAACCGUGGAGGAGGCUUUUUGUGCGUCUCCCCACAGACGGUGCCAAUUGUUUUCAACUGGUUUUGGGGUAAGAAAAGCCAAACCAAUCUAGAACAAUAAAUUUGUUAUUUUGAGGGGAGAUGGGGUACCUCACUGGUUUAUUGUGUGUUGGGCGGUGUAUCUAAGAUUUUGGGGAGGUGAGAAAGGGAGAGAGAGUGGUAACAAUGGUGGAAGAUCAGAAACAAGAGAGGUAUCCUUCAAAAUGAGCUUCACGCCUGCAAAACAAUGAAAUAGAGGUUAGAGGUGAAGCCGGGGGUACCCCGGCGUUCACACUCCGACGCUCAAGUUAGCAAACUCAAGCUUUUAUUGCAAAGAGAGCUAGCUAGCCCUCUGUAAAUUAGGGUUUAAGGUUGAAGAAAACCUCUUUUUUGGAGUGUGAGUGUUUUUGGGCGAAUGAGAGCAUGAUGGAGAAUGAAACCUAGGCGCCUUUAUAUAUGGAGUACCUUAGCUGCCACGUGGCAUACCCUUUUUGGCUAACGUCCUUUUACCGCUUUUAUGAUUCUUGGGGCCGUUAUGUGCAUGUUCGCGGCGUAUCUCAUCUUUUGGAAACGUGGCGCGCGCUGGAGAGUGGUCCAGGGUACCUCUGCAGUAGCUGUCGGGUAGGCGGCUAGGGACCACUGUCCUUGGGACAGUGUCCUUCACUUUUGGCAGAGGUAGCAGACGGCUGUCCCUCCUUUUAGCACGUCGCUUUUGAUUCCUAAUUCUGACAAAAUCAAAUGAUAUCUUUUAGGAGGCGGAGACGUUUCUCAUGGCGGAUAUUUUCGGUGGAUUCUCUUGCAUCCGCUUUGCCGGGUACCUCGAAUUACAUGGGGUACCCCCUAUUACGCAGGGUACCCCUAUCUGUAUGGGAUACCUCUAUUUGUAUGGGGUACCUCUAUUUGUAUGGGGGUACCUCUAUUUGUGUGGGAUACCUCUAAUUGUGCAGGGUACCUCUAUUUAUACGGGGUACCUCAAGUCAUGUCGGGCACCUCGGAUUAUGUAGGGUACCUCCGAUUGUGCUGAUAUCAUUCCAUUGGCUGACACAUGGCGCUCUAUUACCUUUCCCAUCUUUCCCUCAAACAGAUAAAAAUAAUACUUCAAAAGCAUUGAAAUGUAAGUGCUAUUAAAAAAACGUUUUUCAUUCAAAGCUAUAAGUAAUGAAAUGAAGAUAGAUAUCAUUGUUGAUUAAAAAAAAUUCAGAAAAAAAGAAAGAGUGAAAGAAAAGAGCUUGUUAUGUUAGAAAAUAGUGAUAGAGUAUGUUAAGGACUAAAAUUUAUUAAAGAAAGCAGUGGUUCUAUUUGAAAUUUGAUCAAGUUAGAAUUAGUCAAUUAUGCAUCGAGAAUGAAAAGAAUGAAGAAAGGGAAUUCAAAUUAGACUUACAAAAUUAUAAUAAAGUGAUUAGUUAAGAUCCAAUUAAGCUGAUUUACUAAAAAAAAAUAUUGAAAAAUAAAGGGCCAUAACAUUGCCAAAAGGACUAGGAAACUAAGUAGGAAGGGGUGAUUGUUGCGGAAUACCUUGAAGUGUAGUUAUUCCACAACCACGAAGACCAAUUGCUUUCGAGUUUUGUCAAAUAUAUAUGCCAAUCCUACAACAAUAUAAAGCAAAAUGUUACUAUCAAAUUAUUGUAGAAGACUGUGAUCGUUGUGAUAGAUCGGUAAUUUUAGUAGCUUACCUAGCCUUCUUAAAGAGCCACUUGUUAGAUUGAGGUUCCAGGUUAGAUCCAACACUUUCAAGUUUCUCAGUAAACAUUAAUUUUGAUCAAAACAAUAGACAUAAAUAGACAUAAAUGAAGUUAGUGUAUUAAAAAAUGUUGUCGUUGAAAUUACCACCAAGAUUCAAGAUCUUCAGCUGUUUCAAACUCCCAAAGCUGUCGUAAGCUGCAAGUGCAUAUAAAUUAUUAUCAUUAAUUAGUCACUGGCAAAAUAAUUAUGAAUGAGUAAUAUGAGUCAAGGCACUGCAAUUCUUCAAAAGGGUGAAACAAUGACAUACUCAGAAGGGAAACUCCAUAAGAAUAAGAGUUAUAAUCAGAGUAGUGGAUUUUUGUUUUCUGAUUGAGUGACAGUUGCGUCACCCGUCGGGUGGUGGCGUUGCACUUAACUCCCUCGCAAUUGUUACAACAAUCAGACGACAUUCCAUCAUCAUCAAACCAUGAAGAAAGAAUGUUGUCAUCAUAUCCAACAUCACUGGCUGAUAUGAAGAAGCUCUUGAUUUCCAACAGAGCAAUCCUCUCUGUUUCCAAUCAUGCUUUGUAUCCAUGUAACUGAAUCAGAGCUAUGCCAAUCCACAAUGACAACUUCAUCAAAAGCAUUUUCAUUAUUAAUAUUAACUGCAAGAGAAACACUCACAAGAUUGACCUGUCAAUUGUUGCUCUCUUGAAGUUUUUCUGGUUGUCUGGCAAAUAUAUGAUUUGUAUAUACACACAUGGAAAUGUUAGAAAACUAAGUCUUUGAUACAUGAUAUCUUCUUGUGACCCUAGUACCGUCCAAAGACAUUGAAACAAAGAGAAAUUAACAGCUGACUUACCUGCAUCAUGUGCAAAUCACGUGACAUCAAAAGUUACCAUGUAAUUUGUCUUUAUAAGUGUUUUCUGCUUCUGAAAAUGAAAAAUAACAAAAUGGAAAUGCUUUUAGCUUUUGGCUAGACAUUUUCAGGUCACUCUCUUAUCGUGGCCUGCGGCUUGCAGUCAUCAACAAUCCUCAUCUGGCCUCUUUAUAAUCCACUUUUAACAAAAUAUAGAUAGAAACAGAUAUAUUACUGAUAUUCAAAUUACACUUAAUAUUAAUAAAUCUUUGGACUGAGCUUUAAAUCUAUAAACUAAAACUUCCAGCAUACCACAAAUUAUUUUUAGAGCCCGCAUGUUGGAAUAUCUCCUUCAAGUUUCGCUUUGCUUUCUAGCACAUCAUUCAAAUGAGUUGCUAUACUAUAUCUAGCUAGUUUUGAACAAAGUAAGUGAGAAUAUUACAUCUGCUUUAGCAAGAUACGAGUGAAUUAAAACCUUUGACCAGAUUCAAGAGAGAAAAGAAUGUUGAAAUAUUGACUUGAAUAUUAUGGCAAAAUGAGUUUGACUUUAGUACCGACCAAAGAAAUAAUUGAAGAUGCAAAUUGGUUAGUUUGAGGUGCAUGGCUAUUGGCACAACAACAUUUGCUGCAUAACGAAAUUGCGGCGUCUCAGCCGGAUUGUGAGAGUUGUUUUCAAAUCCCAUUUCUCUUCUUUGUAUUUAUUCAUUGCCACAACAUUUGAUGCAUAUUUUGAUGACUACUCAAACGCGUUUCCACAAUAACUAACGAAAGGAAAAGUGAACGAAUAAGCAAAAGACACUGAUGACUAUAAUCAUGUAAAUGAAGUACAAGGCUUCACAAUAGAUUAGACCACCAAUUUGUGCCUUUUGAAUGCAUGUGCUUGAACAAGAUACGAGUGAAUUGAGGCAUAUCUUUCUUUCACAAUGUAAACUUCCCAAAAUACAUGUAAUCUGCUGGUGAAAUAAUUUUUAUAAAACAAAGGCUUAAAGUUAAAGCUGACUAAAAAUAUUGGCGUACGUCAAGAACGCUACGGGGAAAAUUCAACCGUGAGCUGCAGUCUGCAGUCCCCAACAAUCCGGGAAAAGGCUGAAGAGGUGCGCGCCUGCGCAUACUAAUUUGGCAGGUCUGAUAGGAUUUAUAAAUUAAAAUAAUGUAAUUUUAUAUAUUUUUUAAAUGAAAAAUUUGUUGAUGCCGCUGUGAGAUCCAUUGGAUCCUCGCGUGCCUGCCCCACAAAACAAUCUCCAUCAAAUCUCUUUACAAUCCAUUUUUGAUAAAAUAUGAAUAAGGAUACAUAUAUUUAUUCAAAUAUUAGUAAAAAUAGAUAUAUUGCUGAUUUUUUUUUGGUGUAAGCCAUUCGGUAUUUGGCGAACGCAAUUGGAUCCCGACUAAUCCGAAUUUGGGGUGUAGUCACAGUUAAAGCUCUUUACUCCUCCCACGUAAUUGGAUCCCGACUAAUCCGAAGCGAACGCAAUUAGAUCCCGACUAAUCCGAAUUUAGGGUGUAGUCACAGCUAAAGCUCUUUACCCCUCCCAAAUAACUUAUUUAGUGGGGAUUGAACCCAAGAGCUCUUCCCACAAACUCAGCCUGCGUUGCUAACUGAGCCACAACCAUUUGGUUAUAAUGCUCAUUUUUAAAUUAUACUUAAUGAACAUUUAGACCGAGCUGUAAGUCUAUGAAUUCAAACUUCCACAACACCACCAAUUAUUUUUAGCCUGCAUGUUGGAUUGUCUCCUUUAAGGCUGUGUUUACUAAACUGGAAUGAGAAUUGAAAUGGAGAAAUCCGAAUGAAUGACUUGUUUAGUCAUUAAAUUGAUGAUAGGAAUGGGAAUAAGGUGAGUAGGCUCCAAGUUCUUGAAGAGGAAAGAUCACUAUGGCACCAAUCUCCGGAAGAGGCAAGUCCAAUAAAGCCAAGGCUGACAAGAAGAAGAAAGAAGAGAAAGGCUUCAAUUGUUAAUCUUUUUUAUUCACUGCUUUCAUUGGAAAGUGCUUUUUGUAAAGUGCUUCCGCUUUCUAGCUUCCUUAUGUUCAUUGAUUUUUUUGUUGUGCAGUAGUGCCCAGUGUUCUUGAUAUCACAAUCAUCACCCCAUAUGAAUCACAAGUUGUUCUCAAGGUAUAAAUUUAUACUUAUCAUCAAUACUUUCUUGUUUUGCCCUCACCAGCUAUGAUUAGGAUAUUAUUUUGUAAAACUUUAUAAAUAUAAAUGAAUUAUUAAUUAAUCAUCUUUUUUUUUUUUUUUGGUUUGAUUGAAAUUUGCUCAAAGGGCAUCUCCACUGACAAGAUAUUUGAUGUGAAGAAAUUGUUGGCUUCCAAUGUAGAAACUUGCCACCUCACAAAUUAUUCUCUCUCUCACGAGGUGUCUAUAUUUUAUUAUCUCUUUUUUUUUUUCAUUAUAUAUGAUUAUGAAUUUUUUUCUGAUAAUAUUAAACACUAGAUACUAUUUUUUCCCACCUUAUUUUUAUGUGUUUAUUUCUUUAUUAUUAUUAUUAUUAUUAUUAUUAUUAUUAUCUGGUCAAGGGGCAGAGAUUGAAUGAUAGAGUAGAGGUUACUCUGAAACCAUGUUUGCUCAGAAUGGUUGAAGGCAGGUGAACCUCUCGCAUGUCCAAUUUUCUGAAUUAAAAAAUCUCAUUCAUGUGGAUGUGGGUCUCAUUUUAUUUGUUAUUUUUAAUUAUCAACAUUUAGAUCUUUUUAGUUGUUCAUCGCCAUACUAUUUUAGUAAACUAUAUUGAUUUGAUGGGGGAACCUUAGGUGCAACUGUGGCACCGUGCCACAAUUGCAUCUUAACCGUUGGAUGCCUGUGGACCUCAACACUCUAACUGCAUCCAACGGCUAGAUGCAACUGUGGCACGGUGCCACAGUUGCACCGUAGCCUGAUCCUGAUUUGAUUGUAUGUUUUUUAAGAAUUUUUUAAUAUUAUUGAAAAAAACAGAUUAAAGUGAAAAAAUUAUUGACUAUAUUAAUUGACUAAAUAAAUAAAUAAAUGACAAUAUUUUAUUUUUUAACAUUAAAAAAAACCAAUUUGAUGCAGUCCGCUUAGUCCUGCACACUUGGAACGUUACCAUGCUUUUUUGUGCUGUACAUUUUGGACUUAACUUUCCUUGUCAUUUCAAGUCAAAGUUUUUUUUUUUUUUUAAACUGAUUAAGUGUCAGGUUACUGUAUUACACAGAGAUAUUUACAAAUAAUAACAUAUCACUGAUAUUUACAAUCCGAUAUAUACUUAGGACUUACAUUAUUAUAUUUUUAUUCUAUAAAGUACGUGCCCAGCCAAAUAUCACUCAUAGGAGAGGGAUGUCUCUACUCCACUAGCAUUUCGCAAUGGAAAAAGACGUUAUAAAUAAUCUCUAAACAAUUAUAAUUAAUUGAGGGAGUUUGAGUCAGUAAAAAUUCGAACUAUUAAUAGUCAUUCUUAAUUUUAAGGGCAAUGAUUCACCUCUGGGCUACAAGCCCAAAUGGCAUUUCAAGUCAAAGUUGAAGCUGUUUCAAAAGUACAAUAAUAAGGUGCAUUUAAGUAACUGGCCUAAACUUUAGAAAUUUCAGAAGUUACAGAAUACGCAGUUCAUAUCUAGGAGCAUUAUUAGUUUAAUCAUUAAAUGACAAAAUUUUGCCAAUCUUUUUACGAGCCUUAACAAACUUUUUCUAGUUGAUAUUCAAAGUUUUAUUGAUUUUUUUUUAUAGUCAACUGUACUAAUUGAACAGUCAAUUUAAUAUAAAAACGACUUUAUCGCUUUGUGAUCCUAAUUUUCAACCAGGCGUUAAAAUCUAUUACCCUUAAAAGAAUAUUAGUUGGCAGAAAUGUAAACAGAAGUAAGAAGGUUUGUAGAAGUGUAUUAUUUCAGAAUUACUAAUUUUAUUGUGAAUAAUUAAUAUGAUUAGAAUUUAACAAAAUUUUAUUUAAAGACUUGUUUAAAGAGCAAAAAAUUUAUUUUUUAUUAUUUUUAAUACUUAUAAUUGUAAUUUAAUUUAGAAAUAUUUUAAUUAUAAAAAAUUAUUUUCAAAAAUAAAUUCGACGAAUAGUUUAGGGCUUUCAAAUAACUCUACUUAUAUUUAAAUUAAUAUUUAAAAGAAAGAAAUAAAAUAAUAAAAGUAAAAAACUUUGCCCGGCAAUUCCUUGUUAUUUACAUUUUUGGCACUGUCCUUGGCAGUGGACUACACAGAGGAAUCUCAGGCCGUGGCACACGUGCGGCGGCUUCUCGACAUCGUCGCGUGCACCACACGUUUCUCCAAGUCCAGAAACUCCCGAUCGCCGCCAUCAUCAGAGUCAUGUGCCAAAAAGAACGGCAGUAGGCCCCACCGACCUUCACUAAACCCUGCCACUCUGUCUGAUGGGGCAGCAACAGCAGCAGCAGAUAACCGAAGCGGGCCCCGCGCCACGUCAUCGCCAGUUUCGUCGGCGGUUUCUCCGAGUCUGGACAUGGCGGCCAUUCACCCGACGCCGAAACUCUCCGAGUUUUAUGACUUCUUCUCUUUCUCUCACCUCACUUCCCCCAUCUUAAGUAAGCCUAAUGUUCACUUAUUUAUUUGUCUUCGUUUUUUACAUGGUUGAUCCAAAAAAGGUUGACGUCUCUAUUUUUUAAGCUGUUGGAGCAAUACGCCGUCUCAUUGAUUCAAAUUUACACACUCAAGAUACAAUCAAUGUCCAAAAGGGGGCAAUCUUGCAUGAAGAUCGGGUGGGAGACUUGUCCAUUACAGUAAAAUGUGAUACAGUAGAUGCAAGCUUGAAAUAUGAGGUUACUGUUAAAGGAAAUCAGUCAUCUAGUGUGUCUGCUGCAGAAGUUGCUCAAAGGAAUUUACUAAACGGUGUUACUGCAGAUGAGAGUGUAGUUGUUCACGUAAGUCGAUUUUUCCUUUACUUUUUAUGCUUACUUUCACAGAACACACACAUAAAAGACAUUCAUCAAAGCUGAAAUUACUUACGUGGGCGGAAUAAUAUAGCUCUACCUUUGUCAGGGAGUGGUUUUUCAGUCGGAUUAAGAUGUUUCACUCUUUAUCUGAUAUCUGGCAUUUGAUGAUGGCCUAAAAUACCCAUCCUCUUCACUCUCUCUUUCUACACAUUUAUGAAUGCACAAGAAAGUCAAUUUUAGGUUCUUUCCUAAGAAUCACUACUCGUUACUAACCUUAUAUAUCUGGUUUAGCUUCAUGAAUCUUAUGUUGCCAUUCUGUUUGGUGACUCCCUAUUCUGUUGAAAUCACUGGAUAGCUGGUCUUUCUACUGAUUUUAUCCAUAUCCCUCUGAUUUUCUGCUUGUGGUUUGUUCCAACUUAAUGUCAUCAACCCUUUUUGGGGAAGCCUAUUAACCUUGGUUGGGCAUGCUUGUAUUAUAUCAACUAGUGAUACAAUUGCUAAAGUUUUCAGCAUGGUAGAUCUUGAAAUAAAAUUUUCUUGAAAUAUCUAGAUUUAUUUUUCUCAAAAUAUCUAGAUUUAUCUUCCUAUUCUUUUUCCCUUUCUUUUAUUUUAGUUUCAAAGAUUUGUGAUAAAGAGAACUGAAACAAUAUAGUUUUUGGCAGGAUACCUCCUCAUUGGGUACCGUCAUUGUAUGACAUUGUGGAUACACCGCUGUAGUAAAAGUUGUUGGUGAUGUGAAGGAGAAGUUUGGCACACAAGAUAUUGAAAUUGAAGAUCAACCUGGUGGAGGAGCUAAUUCUCUUAAUAUUAACAGGUCUGAAAUUGUAACACAAUGCUUCCUCUGUCGAUUCCUCUUAGCACACAAAGACUAGGAAAUCUACAGAUGGAGAAUGGCUGUAAGAUAUGAAAAAUUAUCUUUCAACCAAUAACAGUUUUAAGCUAUUCUGCAAGAUAUCUUAGAAAUGCUAACUGUUAUGAGCUUCUUUGCUUAGUGUCUAUCACAGUUGAAUUCAUGAUGCAGAGCAUUGUUAUUCUCUUUAGUUUUACCAGAUAGAACAGGAUUGAAAUGCUGGUGUUGGGGAUUCUUAAGAAAGGAUAGCACCUGUUCCUUUUUCUUCCUGUUUAGAUGGGAUCUAAUCAGUAGAUGUCUGAACUCUUAAGGGGAGUUGAUGUCAGAUUUCUAAACCAGGUUUUCUUCAAGUGUUAAGUUUAUGAAUAGGCCAAAGAAAAGAGAGCUGAUAUCUAGUUAUGGCUUUCACAAUAAUGGUUGAGUGUUUAUAGUUAUGUGCUCUGACAUUGGUUUGUAAUUGUUAUAUUAACAAAAUAACCAACAGACAUCGUUGACGAUGUUCAAAUAAAGGAUAAAGGAAAGUAUAAUUACAGUGGAUGCUCAGUUGCUGCAAUAGGUCAUCGGCUUUUUAGAUUGUGCUAUUUCAGAAAGUAUUUAGGCCUUCUUUGGUGGAUUCUGCCUUUGUUUCAUAUACUCUUAUGUCUUUCUCCAUUUAAGUUGUUCUGACAGGGUAAACUAUUUAUUGCAGCUUAAGGCUUGUACUUCAGAAGUCUUUCAGUGCUGAAUCAGCUAGAGGAGACCAAUUACCUCUGUGCAAUUUGGAUAAUUCGGAAGCUUUUAGAAAUCUUGUAAGAAGAGUUAUUAAACAGAGUUUAGCAAAGUUAGAGCUGGAGCCAACUGCUUCAGAAAGAUCUAUUAGAUGGGAACUUGGUUCUUGUUGGGUGCAGCAUCUACAAAAGCAGGAAACUCCAACAGAUACCAAGUCAACGAGGUCUGGGGAUGAUAUUAAGACUGAAAAUGACAAUGGACCGUGCAGCAUGAAUGUGGGAGGUAAUGGUAGACAGCAAAGCAAUGGCGAGCUCAAUUGUGAGAUGGAAUUGAAAAAACUAAUUUCGGAAGAAUCCUUCUUGCGAUUGAAAGAAACUGGCACUGGCCUUCAUUCAAAAGUUUCAGAAUCUCAAAUUUGUUUUGCAUUUCAACUGUAAAGUUUGCUACUUUUUGUGUUUUCAUUAUGCUAAAUUUGGUUUGUUUUAUUUUCAUAUGGAAUGGCUGGUAAAAUUAAUUUCUUGUGCAGGCAGUGGAUGAGCUUAUGAAAAUGGCAUACAAGUAUUAUGAUGACAUUGCUUUACCAAAGCUGGUACUAUUUAAUUUAUUUAGGGCCUUUGUUGCAGCCAAUUAAGACGUGUGGGGAUGGUUUAUGGACUAAUUUCCAUUCUUUAUUAGGUAACAGACUUUGGAUCACUUGAACUUUCUCCAGUUGAUGGCCGCACACUGACAGACUUUAUGCAUUUAAGGGGACUACAAAUGCGCUCUUUAGGUUGUGUGGUGAGGAAUUUCUCCCUCUCUUUCUCUCUCAGACAUGCAACCUAUUCACCCAUGGAAAUCGGAAUAAACAAAUGUUGUCUUUCUUUAUGUAAACAAAGCCCCCAACUUAUCUUUCUAUAUGUAAACAAUCCCCCAAGUCUUCCUGGAUUGAAUUAUCAAUGUUCCUUUUUGAAAAUUGUACUACAUGAUAGAAUUUUUGACAAUGUUGACCUUUUCCAAGACAUUGAAUUAUUGUCGUCUUUAGAUAUUACUGUAUGUUGUAUGACAUACAAUAUUUUGAGAAAUUGACAUGCUAAUACUUGGAAGCCUGGUAUUCUUCUUCUGUUGGUUCUAAUCCCAUUUACAAAUUCAGGUUGAACUUGCAGAGAAGCUUCCUCACAUACAAUCACUUUGUAUUCAUGAGAUGGUUACUCAAGCGUUCAAGCAUGUACUCAACGGAGUCAUCGCAUCUGUUGACUAUUUAUCAGACCUAUCUGCAGCUAUAGCUUCUUCCCUAAAUUUCUUAUUUGGCUGUUGUGAGAUGGAAGAUGAGCAAAGCUGGAAUGAAGAUCAUAUCCUCAGAUUGCAGUGGCUACGAACAUUUCUUGGCAGAAGAUUUGGUUGGUCCCUGAAAGAUGAAUUUCAGCAUUUGAGAAAGAUUUCAAUUCUACGAGGGCUUUGCCAUAAGGUAAGGUAUUGUCUUUUCGGUUCCUUUGGCAGCCGAUUAUUUUCAAAGCUUGAAUUUUGCUUGUAAACUUCACCCAGGUUGGGUUGGAGUUGGUUCCAAGAGAUUAUGAUAUGGAUUGCCCAAACCCAUUCACGAGAGAUGAUAUUGUCAGCAUGGUUCCUGUGUGCAAGGUGAGACUAUUUUCUCUCUUAAUUGUGUUUUGAUUUAGUUUUUACAUUCUCAGCGAGUCACUCAUUUGUAAAUUGAAUGUAAUUGUGCUAUUUUUAUGGCAUUCUACAGCAUGUAGGUUGCACUUCAGCCGAUGGACGGACCUUAUUAGAGUCAUCCAAAAUUGCCCUUGAUAAAGGAAAACUAGAAGAUGCUGUAAAUUAUGGGACAAAGGUAAUAACCCACUCGAUCUAUAUGUAAGAAUUACAUUAUUCUUUUCAAAAUAAGGCAUCUCUUGAUCUCAUAUGAUGUAUUACUUGCAUUGUAAGGCACUGGCAAGGAUGAUAGCUGUUUGUGGUCCCUACCAUCGGACUACUGCAAGUACUUACAGUCUUCUAGCUGUAGUUCUCUACCACACUGGAGACUUUAAUCAGGUACGACAAUCUUCAGUUGUAUUUCAGUGUCAACUUGGUGAUUCUAAGUCGAGUAUAAUUAUAACGUCCUUCUGUACGGAGGUUCUCAUUCAGCGGGACAUUUGAUUUGAAACUUUGUGUUAUGGUUACUUUUUAUGGUCUUGUAUAAAGAUAUGCAUUAGGAAUUAUAAUUUUCUGGAUUUGGGAAUUACAUGUACAGGCAUUAGCAUAAUUUUGAUAUCAGAUUAUAUAUUUUAACUAAAUCAAACACGUUCAUGGUUCUUAUGUUCAGGCAUUUCGUCUAAUGGCAUCUGCGUCUGAGUGUUAGAGUAGCGUUCGUAUGUGCUCAAGAUAUCUUCUUCUUCAUUUUAGGCAACUAUAUAUCAGCAGAAGGCAUUGGAUAUUAAUGAGAGGGAACUUGGUCUUGACCAUCCAGAUACAAUGAAAAGCUUUGGGGUGUCAAAGGAAUUAGCAGAUUCUAUGGCAAAUUCUAUGCCUGUACAGCUGUAACAAUUAUCUUUAUGAUUGUAAAUCUUUUAUGUUUUCCUUAUUUAGGAUAUACUAGCUGUAAGCUAAUUUAGAUAGUUUUGUAUAUGAUAGUUUAGCGAUGUUUAGGGCUAAACAUAAGCUUGUAUUCAUAGUAUAUAAUGGGAAUUCUCCUCCAAGAGAAAAACAACUUUUGCUCAAAAUUCUCUUAGUUUAUCAUGGUAUCAGAGUCUCAGUUCUGAAUUCUCUUCUUCCUAGUUCAUUCUCUUAUUCUUAGUUAUUUUUUAUCAAGUUAUCUCAGCCUCAUGUCUUCAGACAAGUAUGAUGCCUUUUUGAUCCGUUUUAAUGGCACAAACUACUCAGCCAGGGCAUUUCAUUUCGAGAUAUUUGUCAAAGGCAAAGAUCUAUAGGGACAUGUUGAUGGCAAGAAACCUGCCCCUGACAAAGACAUAGACCAGGAUGGGCACGCCAAGUGGGAAGUCAAGGAUGCUCAAAUCAUGGCAUGGAUUCUAGGAUAUGUGGAAUCCAACUUCAUCUUGAAUCUUCGACCCUUCAAGACCGUAGCAGGAAUGUGGAAUCAUCUGAAGAAACUCUAUAGUCAAACCAACACUGCUCGUCGAUUUCAACUUGAACAUGAGCUAGCCAAUCUCCAACAGGGCAGUCUCGCUAUUUCUGAUUUUUAUUCUAGCUUCAUGAAUCUUUGGGCUGAAUAUACUGAUAUAAUCUAUGCUACCUUACCUCCCAAAGGUCUUAGUUCUGUUCAAUCUGUACAUGAAACUACUAAGAGGGAUCAGUUUCUGAUGAAAUUGAGAUCUGAAUUUGAAAGCACUAGGUCUAAUCUUAUGAACCGAGAAUCUGUCCCUUCCUUGGAUACAUGCCUCAAUGACUUAUUUCGUGAGGAGCAACGACUUCUUACUCAAAACACCAUGGAACAACAAAAAUCCACUUCUGUUCUUAUAGCUUAUGCAGCUCAAGGCAAGCCAAAAGGUAGGGACAUAAGUACAGUUCAAUGUUUUUGUUGCAAAGGAUUUGGACAUUACGCUUCAAAUUGUUCAAAAAAAUUCUGCAACUAUUGUAAAAAGGAUGACCAUAUCAUCAAGGAAUGCCCUACUCGACCCCCCAAGAAAUCUGAAACAGCAUAUGCUACCGCAGUUGGUUCUUUUAGUGCUGGUAGUUCUGUCGAUACAGCACAUUUGACACAAAAUGCUCCUGCUCCUGUUCAGUCUGUGACCCCAGAAAUGAUUCAACAAAUGAUUAUUACUGCAUUCUCCUCAUUAGGACUCUCAGGUAAAUCACCCACUACAUCUCCUUGGUACUUUGAUUCUGGGGCUUCCCAUCACAUGACAAACAAUGAUAAAUUCCUCACCAAUGUAAGUAAAUACCCUGGAAAUCUAAAAAUUCAUACAGCUGAUGGCAACUCUUUACCUAUCACAGCCACUAGUGAUGUUUCUUCUUCUAUAACCAAUGUCUUUGUCUCUCCUGGUCUUACCACUAAUCUUGUUUCAGUCGGUCAGUUAGUUGACAAUAAUUGUAAAGUAGAAUUCUCUAAAUCUGGUUGUGUUGUGCAGGAUCAGCAGUCAGGGAAGAUGAUUGCCAGGGGGCCUAAAAUAGGACGUCUUUUCCCUCUCCAAUUUGCUGAGUCUCCAUGUUUCUCUUUGCCCAUCAUCACUUGUAAUUUUACUAAUGUUAAUUAUCGAGCAUGGCAUAAGCGUCUAGGACACCCAAACUCUAAUGUACUUCAUGCUUUGCUAAAUUCUGGUUUACUUGGGAAUAAAAGAUCACACACCAAAUGUUGUCCAGCCUUUUGAUUUGAUACAUAGUGAUGUGUGGGGUAUGACGCCCGUUACAUCUCAUGCUAAUUACAAGUACUUUGUCACUUUUAUUGAUGACUAUAGUUGCUUCACAUGGAUUUAUUUUCUACAUUCUAAAGAUGAAGGGUUCUCUGUUUUCAAGCUUUUUCAUGCGCAUAUUCAGACCCAAUUUUCAACUAAUAUCAAAAUUCUUCGCUCUGAUAAUGGGGGUGAGUAUAUGUCUCAUUUAUUUCAAGAAUUUUUGCACACCAAUGGUAUAAUUUCUCAAAGAUCUUGUCCUUCAACCCCCCAACAAAAUGGGGUGGCUGAAAGAAAGAACCGUCACCUUCUCGAUGUUGUUCGCACUCUUCUAUUAGAGUCAUUUGUACCCUCUCGUUUUUGGUGUGAAGCUCUCUCCAUUGCUGUCUAUCUCAUCAACAGAUUGCCCUCUCCUUCCUUGAACCAUGUCUCCGCUUUCUUUCGAUUAUUUGGCUAUACACCAAAUUACUCCCAUCUCCGUACCUUCGGUUGUGUGUGCUAUGUUCAUCUUCCUCCACAUGAACGCACAAAACUCACAACCCAAGCUGUGAAAUGUGCUUUUCUAGGAUAUUCUAUGCACCAAAAAGGUUUUCUUUGCUAUGAUCCAAAUUUGCGUCGUAUAAGGGUUUCUCGAAAUGUGAUUUUUUUUUUAAAUCAGUAUUUCUUUUUCGCACAUCAGGACGAUUUUUCCCCUUCAUUUUCUGUUUUGCCAAAGUUUACUAACCCUUCUGCAGAUUCUGUACCUUCUAAACCUCUCAUAGUCUAUCAGCGACGCAAGAAUUCAGUACCUCUCAGGCCCCCUCCAGCAACUUCCCUAAAUGCUGAUCCAGUUCCAGCAACUGCACCUGAACCUCUCAGACACAAUACUCGGGUUCAUAGACCACCGGAUAGGUAUGGUUUCACCUAUCCAUUAUCUUUGACAGCCACUUUGUCUUCUAUUCAUAUUCCUUCAUCAUAUAAACAGGCAAUGGAGCAUGAAUGUUGGCGAAAAGCUGUUGAAUCAGAACUUCUUGCACUUGAGGAAAACUAGACUUGGGAUAUUGUUUCAUGUCCUCCAUUUGUGAAACCCCUUAGUAGUAAAUUAGUGUUUUCUAUCAAGCUGCGUUCUAAUGGAUCCAUAGAUCGUUACAAGGCUCGGUUGGUGGUUCUUGGCAACAAGCAAGAAUAUGGCCUAGACUACGAUGAGACCUUCGCACCGGUAGCCAAAAUGACCACUGUUCGAACAAUAUUAGCUCUUGCUGCAUCACAAUCAUGGUCUUUACAUCAAAUGGAUGUAAAGAACGCUUUCCUACAUGGUGAUCUCAAGGAGGAAAUUUACAUGAAACUUCCCUACGUUAUGACUACUUCCUCACCUAAUGAUGUUUGCAAACUAAAAUGUUCUUUGUAUGGGUUGAAGCAGGCACCGCGAGUAUGGUUUGAGAAGUUUCGAUCAACUCUUUUCGGUUUUUCAUUCACUCAAAGUUAGUAUGACUCCUCCUUUUUUUUUCCAACAGACAUCUAAGGGCAUCGUUGUUCUCCUUGUUUAUGUGGACGACAUCGUUAUCACUGGUUCUGAUAUGGAGGCAAUUUCUAAACUUCAGAAUUUGUUGCACUCAACUUUUCACAUGAAAGACCUCGGUCAACUCACCUAUUUUUUGGGGUUAGAGGUGCAUCAUCGGACUCAAGGUAUCUUCUUGAAUCAGCACAAGUAUAUUCAGGGUUUAAUUCAAUUAGCUGGACUUAUGGACACAAAUUCUGUUGACACCCCAACGGAACUUAAUGUGAAAUAUCGACGAGACGAAGGGGAACUACUUCAAGAUCCUACUUUAUAUCGGAAGCUGGUUGGUAGUCUUAUCUAUCUAACUAUCACCGCCCAGACAUCUCUUAUGCUGUCCACACCGUCAGCAAGUUCAUGCAAGCCCCUCGACAUCUCCACCUAUCCGCAGUCCGCCGCAUCAUUAGAUAUAUUCUUGGCACUCCUAGCAGCGGUUUAUUCUUCCCUACUGGUUCUUCACCCCAACUACAAGCCUACAGUGAAGCAGAUUGGGCUGGCUGCCCGGACACGAGAAAAUCUACUAUGGGAUGGUGCAUGUUUCUUGGUGAUGCCCUUAUCUCUUGGAAAUGCAAAAAGCAAGACUCAAUCUCCAAAUCAUCCACUGAGGCAGAAUAUCGGGCCAUGUCUGCAGCCUGCUCCGAGAUCAUUUGGUUGCGUGGUCUCUUAACAGAGCUUGGUUUCUCAUAACAUCAACCUACUCCCCUACAUGCUGACAACACUAGCGCCAUCCAAAUUGCAGCCAACCCUGUCUACCACGAGCGCACGAAACACAUAGAGGUUGACUGCCACUCUAUUCGAGAGGCCUAUGACCGCCAAGUUAUCACCCUCCCGCAUAUCUCCACUACUCUACAUAUUGCGGAUAUCUUCACCAAAUCCAUGACACGUCAGCGACAUAACUUUCUUGUUAGCAAAUUGAUGCUUGUAGAUUUACCAGCAUCAAUUUGAGGGGGGAUGUCAAAGGAAUUAGCAGAUUCUAUGCCUGUACAGCUGUAACAAUUAUCUUUAUGAUUGUAAAUCUUUUAUGUUUUCCUUAUUUAGGAUAUACUAGCUGUAGGCUAAUUUAGAUAGUUCUGUAUAUGGUAGUUUAGCUAUGUUUAGGGCUAAACAUAAGCUUGUAUUCAUAGUAUAUAAUGGGAAUUCUCCUCCAAGAGAAAAACAACUUUUGCUCAAAAUUCUCUUAGUUUAUCAUGGGGAUCUUUCAGUUUUCUAUUAUCGCCUUCAACACAUUGAAUUGGCUCUUAAGUAAGUAGAUCUACUUGAUUUACCGGAGCAACUUUGUGAUUUUCAUUCUCUAACUGAUUAAGGUUUAUUUAUUCAUAUGUGACCUUUGUAUACCUUUGUAUUGAGUCUGCUUCGAACUAAUGCAGUUUUUAUCUACCUACUUUAGCUUUUAUUUGUCUUUUAUUGGCUCUAGCUCCUGAUCAUACCACACUAUUGGCAGAUAUGUAAAUCAUGCCUUAUUCCUUUUGCAUUUUACUUGUGGACUUUCACAUCCAAAAACAGCUGCAACAUACAUAAAUGUGGCUAUAAUGGAAGAGGGCAUGGGAAAUGUUCAUCUUUCUCUUAGAUAUUUGUAUGAGGCCCUUAAAUGCAACCAAAGACUAUUAGGAGAUGACCAUAUACAGGUUUUUCUCUCUCUAUUUACGCAUGUAUACACACUCUUUAGACUUAUAAAUCUUUCUGUAAACUCAGCAUUUUUUUGAUUUCUUCACGUGACAGACAGCUGCAAGUUAUCAUGCCAUAGCCAUAGCUCUUUCUUUGAUGGAGGCAUAUUCACUAAGUGUGCAACAUGAGCAAACUACACUGAAGAUUCUCCAAGCAAAGCUUGGACUAGAAGAUCUGCGUACUCAGGUGACUACAUGUAGUCAUAUUUUAAUUGGUUCUGUUGUGCAAUUUGGCUAGUUGGCUUUUCUCUUGUCAAUCUUUUACAGGUGAUAUUAUGAUAUAAAACAAAUUGUAUCGGCGGCCUAUUUUGGUGUCAAAUAUGGAUAUGACCCAUUCAUUAAUCGUAUCGAAAUAUCAAAAUACAGAUAUGACCUGUUUAUUAAUAGUGUUGACUUGUUUAGUAUUGAAUACAAACAAAUUAAAAAUUAAUUUAAAAAUAACAAAUGUGUCAAAAAAAUAAGUUAUAAAUAAGUUAAAAUGACAUAAGUAUGACAUGAAUAAGUUUAUAACAUAAUAUGAGUAUGACAUGAGUCGUUAAUUUAGUGUUUAGUAUAUAUUUUAGUUUUUUUUUCCAAUAAUAUUAACACAUAAUAAUUGAUAUUUGUGUUAUAAAUGUAUAAUCAUGUUGAGAUGGACCAAAACAUAUAUGACAUGGUUAUUUAUCAUGUCGUGUCAAUUCAUUUAUUGAUCGUGUCAAUAUUUGUCAACAAAAAUAGGGGUCAUAUGUCAUAUUAUGUUGUGUAAUCGUGUCAUAAUCCCUUUUGCCACCUCUAAUCUUAACUGUCAUGAGAGAAUUUCUCAAGUUCCAUAUUAUUGAUGGGAAGAGAUUUUUUUUAUUUUGUUGUUUUUUUUUUCGUUUUACAGGAUGCUGCUGCAUGGCUGGAGUAUUUUGAAUCAAAAGCUCUAGAGCAGCAAGAAGCGGCACGGAAUGGAACUCCAAAGCCAGAUGCGUCCAUUGUGAGUAAAGGUCACCUUAGGUAUUAAUAGGGUAUUCCCACAUUACUUGUUUCUAAAUUGUUGAUUAUUUCUUGUGGCACCAAGAUCUAUAAUGAUCGCUUUUUGCAGUGUAUCAGAUCUCCUGGAUUACAUAAGUCCUGGUCAAGAUUCUAAAAGAAGCGAAGCACAUAGGAAACAACGACGUGCAAAGAUAGUACAUAUUUAGUGCAUGUUUGGUAUGAUUUAUCUAAUGAUCAUAAAUUUUUAUUUAAUCCUAUAAGCUCUUAUCAAAAAUUUUUUUGUUGUUUAAUUUUUUUUUAGUAGAGCUCUUGAAAAUGAAAUAAGCUAUUUUGCCUCUACUACCAAAACCUCAAAUUUUGUGCUUUUGAGAGUAGAGGUUAAAAAGUUUUUUUUUAAUAUUAAAAUAUCUAAAAUAUUCUCUACUUAUUUGACAAUCUUAUUUUAUUCUUUUCAAAACAUAACUUUAAAAAUUUGCUUAUUAAAGUAAUUUUAUAAUUUUUAAUAAAAGCCCUUAUUGACAACCAAACAACACAAAUUUUUUGAGUAAAAACUUUACUUAUAAAAUCUUUACUAGCAAAACUCUACUCAAAUAAGAUCUAUUUGAAAAGCUAUGUGAAAUGAAGCAUUAAGCAUGCUGCUGUUCUCUGUUCCUUUUUCCUUGUGAUGUCAUCUGAAUGGAUUCUUAAACUAAUUGUAGUUAGGAUUUGGUAUUUUAGGGUACACUCUGCUGGCUGCAUAUAGUUUUGGAUUUGCUGAUUACACGAGUAAACUUGUUGUCCAUGCAAAUGCAACUAACUAUUGCAGGAUAAUAGUUCUACUUUUCUGAGUGAACUCUGAAGGCACCAAUUAUAAACAUCCAUUUCUGGCAUAGAAUCACACUUAUCUAACAUGCUUAUACAGAUCGCAGACAUGAUUGAAACUUUAGAAGGUUCUGAUCUAUUGAUGGCCAUAGAUUGGGCCAGCUGAUAGUUAGUAGCCAAUGAUGAAGGGUUGCUUGGUCAAGCAGCUAGUUCUUUGGAAAUUCAGAGAUGAUGAGCAGAACGAGUGAUGUUUUUGUUUUCCCCCGUAAUCUUGAACAGAGUGGGAAGAAACCGUUAAUUUGAAGUGCAAUGGAUGGAUAUGACAGAUCUAUCAUUUUGGCUAGUAGAUGGAGUUCUUCCAUUCUACUCUUAUUUAAUGGUUGUUAUUAUUGAUUCUAGAAAAACAUUUUUCGAUUUGGCAGUUGGAGUUUUUCCCUUUUUUUUCCCCCAUCUUGUAGGCCUUAGAGAACCAAAUAAUACUCCACAUUAGAUAGACAGGAUUAUUGUGUGCUAAUUUGAAGUAUUACAUGGUUGACAAUUUAAGACACUAAUAAAGUAUUUCGCUUUGAUUAUUUUUUUUGAGAAUUCCAUGAUUCAAAAGGCCGAAGAAUUUCGUUAGUUUAACAUAAUAUAUAUUAGCAUAAUUUCUCACUGAGUGUUUUUUUCAACAUUUCAGGCAUGUGCAUAUCAAAUUCCCAUUUAUGUUCCACUGAAUUCUGCCUCAUGUUAUGAUUGUAACUUAAAAUGAAAUAUUUCUAUGUGCUCAAUUUUUGACAUUUUAUAUGCAUACAAGUUAAAAAGCUUUUGUUUAUUUUUGUUUAUUUAUUUAUUUUAGGUAAUGCAGAUUAGGGAAAAGAUUCAUGGAGCACAUCAUGAUAUGAUGGUGGAAGAUGCACUGCCCCAUGAUGGAUUGAAAAAAAGUAUGACUAUAGUGGAAAGCAAGACCGAGGAAGUAAUGGAAGACAGUGUUCAACCUGAAGAGCCAGAAGAGAAUGAUAAUAUUACUAGAUAUGGACCGGCAAUUUCAGGUGAGUUUGUCUAUGAAACAAAUUCAGAUGAGGGGUGGCAAGAAGCCAAUCCAAAAGGUAGGUCAGGAAAUGCUGCUGUUCGGAAGCUCAGCCGGAGGCGACCUUUUCUUACAAAGCUAAAUGUCAAUGGUUGUGAACAUUCAAAUCUUAGAGAAAAGGGCAAUAGACGGGAAAUUUUAUCUCCAGCACGGGAAAAAGCUUCAAGGACCACCACCACUGAGUUAACAGGCAUGAAGGAUUCAAUUAAACUGCAGGCAAAAGCUUCCGUCUCCAAAGUUUAUGCAAGUCUACCAAACCUUACUGCCAUGACUUCCAAGUCGCUGUCUUACAAAGAAGUAGCUGUGGCACCACCAGGUACGGUUCUAAGGCCAUUACCAGAGAAACCUGAUGAAGAAAUUGAAUAAAAAACUGAAACACAGAUGUGCGGUAAUGCUCCUGAGACAUCAAAGGCGGAGUUGAAUAACCAUUUCUCUCCAGUUGAAGAUGUGCCAGUUGAUGGUCGUUCUCAAGAAACUCAUGGAAGUGCAACUCAAUCUGAAACUACUGCUGCAGAUACCGAGGAAGUUCCUUCUUCUUCUAAUGAGGAAAAGCCCAUGGAAACAAAUGGGAGUAAGCUUUCUGCUGCAGCUGAACCAUUCAACUCCAUGACUCAUCUGCUGAACUCUGUAGCAGCCACGAGUAUUUAUGAUGCGCGAACUAGUCAAGGUAUGCUUGCUGAACCUGCUGUACCUUCGGCUGCUGCUAGAGUUCCUUGUAGGCCAAGGUCGCCUCUCUAUUAUAGAAAUAAUUAUUCUUACAUGAUGAAAUAUGGAUUUCCAAAAUACCACUCUUCCAUUAUGGAAAGAAACCUGUUGGGGCCUUCAAGAAUCAUGAACCCGCAUGCACCUGAGUUUGUGCCAGUGAGAGGUUGGCAAAUAAAUCCUGGAUAUGCAGAUUCAAAUGUUUCAAAUGAGUCGAACUCUUCAAUGACACAAGUGAGGCAGAAGAUGAUAAACUUGACAAAAUGUCCAGUAUCCAAGGCGAAGAUAAUACCUCAAGAAAGAGCAGUACAGAGGCCGAGAAGUCAGAGCUGGCAAGACAGAUACUACUUAGCUUCAUUGUAAAGUCAAAUUGAGAAUUUGAACAAACACAAACAUGGAUACAUAGCUGUUUGGAGAAAAGCCAACGGAUACAUAAUACAGCACGAUAAGUUAUACACGGCCGAACCGUAUGUGCUAGUAAGCACAAACAUAUUUGAAAAGCCAAUAAUAGCAUGUGUCAAUACAUCUAUCAACGAAAUAGAACCACAGUUUGCGCCAGUACGAGUUUAUCCAAAGUGCUGCAAAUAAACCCAAACUCACCGAUGCAUAGGAUGCUCCAAAACUCCAUCUUAAUGCCACCAUGUCAAUCACAGAAUCGCUUUCAUCUUCUCCUCCUCCUGUAGGUGUCGCUGGUGGUGUCAAAGCACUGCUGCAUUUCCUCUUUAUCAUUGAGCCACAAAGAGCCGAAUUACCUUUAUAACUGCAGUCAUCAAAGGUGGCAAACUGCUCUUUGUCUGGGAUUGGGCCGGACAAAUUGUUGUAUGACACAUUGAAGUUUGAUAAAAAGUUGAGCUCAGUUAGUUGAGGAGGAAUUUGGCUACUUAAUUUGUUGCGGGAAAGGUCAAGGCUCUCUAUCAUUUUUAGAUUGGAGAAGCUCUCUGGUAUAGCACCUGAUAGUAAAUUAUUGGACAGAUUAAGUGCACGAAUAUUUUGAAGUUGCCCAAUUUUCCAUGGAAUUUCUCCACUGAACUCAUUGCCUGACAAAUCUAGUCCAGCCAUGUAGUUGAGGUUGCUACCGAUGAAAAAUUCAUAUCUAUUCUUUGUCACAAAUUUUGCACCUACUUGUUGAUCUUGUCUAAAAUGUAGUUCAACUGGCAGUUGCAGCUCAAGAGAGGAAUUGUAGUAGGCAACAGGGGAAUCAACAUUAUUUGCAUAAAAAAAUUCUGACGAAUCAUCAUCAGUCGCUUCUCUCCAGAAUGGCACGUUACCCAAACAUGAAGGUAUCGGCCCAUUAAGUCUGUUACGUGAAAGAUCCAUGAUACUUAAUUUCCUUAAUUGGCACAAUUGAUUAGGAAUACGUCCUUGUAGAUAGUUCCCUCUCAAAAGAAGAACAUGCAAAUUCGAACGCUCAUUGAUCUGAUGAGGAAUCCUACCAAAAAGUUUAUUGUCCCUCAAAUCGAGGGUCAAUAAUGUAGAGCUUCUAAGCAAUGCAAUUGGAAUUAACCCCUUAAUUGCAUUGUUUUGCAGAUAAAUGUGCUUCACGAAUGAAAGAUUGGAGAGAGAUAUCAAACUAUUUUCGGAGAGGUCUAUAAACUCAAGACUUUUAAGAUUGUUGAGCUGGACCGGAAUAUUACCUUGCAAAUAGUUUUCUGACAUUAAAAGAACCGAAAGGACUGAGAAGUUCCCAAUCCAGUGGGGAAUAUCGCCGGAUAACAUGUUGUUGGAUACAUUUAAUACUCUUAGCAAAGUGGAGCUCAACAAACCAUCUGUCAUCUUCCCACUGAAAUGAUUGUUGUCCAAAUAUAACGAACCCAAAUCAGUCAAGUUCAUAUAAUUGGGAAAAAGUUGGCCAUAGAAAUUGUUAUUUGAUAGGUCCAACCAAUCUAAGGAGAGGCAACUAGAGACUAUAGGUCGAGGUAAUUUUCCCGUAAAAUUAUUUCUAGACAAAUCCAAAAUAGUUAGCUCUUUCAUCUCACCAACUGAAUAAGGAAUAUUACCUUCAAAAUUAUUUUUUGACAUAUCCAAAUAUAUCAAUUUCUGAAAGAUAAUACCCAAAUUCUCUGGUAGCUUACCAGAGAAAUUGUUACUGGAAAUAUCUAGAUGACGAAGCUUAUCGUAUUUGGCAUUGGGAAGUCGUGGAAGAAUUCCUGAGAAUGAGUUAUUCCACAGAAACAGAACUUCUAAUCCUGUGUUGUUUUGCAACAACCAAGUUGGAAAAUUGCCAACCAAUUGAUUGUGAGAGAGAUCAAGGAAUUUUAAGUUGGAUUGGUGUAAAAGAAAACUGGGAUUGACAUUUAAGCGGCAGUGAGGUAAUUGGAGAACCUUGAGAGGAUAUGUGGGGAGCCAGUUUUCGGUUUUCACUUGCAACAUAUCGUUUUGUGGCGAGAGUAGCAAGACCUCAAGCUUUGAAUGAUUAGCCAAUGAAUUUAUUGAGAAUGUUCCUUGGAAAUCGAUGAAAGAGAGAUCCAAAUAUUCAAGUGAUGUGAGGUUGGCUACUAUAGAAGGUAAGUUUCCACUUAACCGAUUGGAAGAAAUAUCAAGAACUUUGAGAUGAGUCAAGUUGAUAAGACAUUGAGGGAGCUGACCCUCAAAGUUAUUUGAGCUUAGAUCCAACUCAAAAAGAUUCUUCAAAUUACAUAUUCCUAAACCUGAAAAUAAAAAGCUCAAAUUUCAUAAAACGAAAACCAAUUAUAGCGCAUUCAAUCAUAAAACCAAUAUAAGACUUAUAAAACCGACAUGAAAUUAAAUUGUCUAAGUAUUUUGGUCAACAUAAAUAAUAAUAGAAUGAUAUGAAUUUAUUUCUCAUAUAAUAUGAUGUUGAUUGCAAAAGCGUUUCAAUUAAUCUAACAAAAAUAAUAAUAAAAAUAAAAAAGCGCUCAAUAAUUCUUGCUCAUCAUAAUCAAUUCAAAAAGCGUUCCAGCAAUUCUUGUUGUUUAAAAUUAUGAUUUUCUGCGGAAGAGUUUGUUGACCUCAUCUUUUUGUUGGAUAUUGAUUCUCUAAUCUCUAAAUUUGUUGGAUAAUGUAGAGAGAAACUCGUAAUAUUUUAGUUGCCUGGCAUUCAACAAGAAUUUUUUUUUAAAAAAAAAAUUGUUUAAUUUAACCAAAAAAACCUUGUUAAUUAGACUUAGAUUUAAUUUUUUUUUAUAUAUUUUUCUAUUUAAAAAAUUAAAAAUGAGUGAGUAGGGGUAGAAACAUCAUUUUGUAACUAGUUGUGGGGGCAAAAAUGUUAUUUUGUAACUAAUUGUAGGAGUAAGAAUGGCGUUUUUUAUAGUUAAUUGUAGGGUAGAAACGUCAUUUUGUAACUAAUUUAUUAUUCUUAUUAAAAUUAACAACAAAAGUUAACAGAAUAUUGCACGCUCAAAUAUUUUUAAAAAAUAUGUCAUCUUCUUAAAAUUUGUUAAAAUACGUGUCAUCCAAAGGUAAUUGACCAUUUAUAUUAUUAUUAUUAUUAUUAUUAUUCCCAAAAAAUCAAUUUCCCUCACAAUAAUCUUUUCUUUUCGUAUACAUUAUACUAUUUAUGUUUUUAUAUAUUUACUAAAUCAAAUAUGUAGAAUUUAUCAUUUUCUUUGAACAAAAAAAUAGCAAGGUCACCUAAUUUAUUCUUAAAAUUAAAAUAAUCAAUAUCCAUUGCUUAAUCUUAAGUUUUAUGGAAAUUAUUCCAAUAAUAAUUCUUUAAAAUAUUCUUACCAAACACAUUUUUCUUUUUCUCAUUUUUGAGAUUAUUUUUGAAAAUGAUACCGAACACAUUUAUAAAUUUUAAAAAUAAAUUUAAAAAUAGCAUUUUUAUUUUCAUUUUUUGGGGUGAAAACAACGAUUAGAAAACAAUAAUGGGUUCUUGUUUAUCAUCCUUCAACAUAAAAACACAGUGUAAAUUGUUUAAUUUGGGUUUCUAGAGAAUUUUUUAUAUUACUAUUACUCAAAUUUUAUGCUUCCAAGCUUUUGAAUUUAUCUAAUCCUGCAGGCUGCAUCAAGAAUUAAUGAACAUAUGAUAAAAAAAUAUUUUUUUAUUCAGAACUAUAAAUAUUGAAAUAAAAAUAAAUAUCAUGUGAANNNNNNNNNNNNNNNNNNNNNNNNNNNNNNNNNNNNNNNNNNNNNNNNNNNNNNNNNNNNNNNNNNNNNNNNNNNNNNNNNNNNNNNNNNNNNNNNNNNNNNNNNNNNNNNNNNNNNNNNNNNNNNNNNNNNNNNNNNNNNNNNNNNNNNNNNNNNNNNNNNNNNNNNNNNNNNNNNNNNNNNNNNNNNNNNNNNNNNNNNNNNNNNNNNNNNNNNNNNNNNNNNNNNNNNNNNNNNNNNNNNNNNNNNNNNNNNNNNNNNNNNNNNNNNNNNNNNNNNNNNNNNNNNNNNNNNNNNNNNNNNNNNNNNNNNNNNNNNNNNNNNNNNNNNNNNNNNNNNNNNNNNNNNNNNNNNNNNNNNNNNNNNNNNNNNNNNNNNNNNNNNNNNNNNNNNNNNNNNNNNNNNNNNNNNNNNNNNNNNNNNNNNNNNNNNNNNNNNNNNNNNNNNNNNNNNNNNNNNNNNNNNNNNNNNNNNNNNNNNNNNNNNNNNNNNNNNNNNNNNNNNNNNNNNNNNNNNNNNNNNNNNNNNNNNNNNNNNNNNNNNNNNNNNNNNNNNNNNNNNNNNNNNNNNNNNNNNNNNNNNNNNNNNNNNNNNNNNNNNNNNNNNNNNNNNNNNNNNNNNNNNNNNNNNNNNNNNNNNNNNNNNNNNNNNNNNNNNNNNNNNNNNNNNNNNNNNNNNNNNNNNNNNNNNNNNNNNNNNNNNNNNNNNNNNNNNNNNNNNNNNNNNNNNNNNNNNNNNNNNNNNNNNNNNNNNNNNNNNNNNNNNNNNNNNNNNNNNNNNNNNNNNNNNNNNNNNNNNNNNNNNNNNNNNNNNNNNNNNNNNNNNNNNNNNNNNNNNNNNNNNNNNNNNNNNNNNNNNNNNNNNNNNNNNNNNNNNNNNNNNNNNNNNNNNNNNNNNNNNNNNNNNNNNNNNNNNNNNNNNNNNNNNNNNNNNNNNNNNNNNNNNNNNNNNNNNNNNNNNNNNNUAAUAAAUAUACUUCAAAAUUAUUAUAGAAAGGCCCGGAUCCAGUGGGGUUGUUUUGUAAAUUAUCCCAAUAAGAUUGCCUAGCCUUGUUAAAAAGCCACUUGUUAGAUUGAGGUUCCCGCCUAGAAACAACGCUUCCAUGUGUCUCAAAUUUGCUAAUCCUGCUCAGAAAACAUUAAAUUUUGAUCAAGACAAUUUACGUAUAUAUUUUAAGAGAUUAACGAGCCUAACAUGCAUUUCUGCUGGCAUGAAAUGUAUAUACCUUGCUUGAUUCUGGAACCUUCAAUGCAAUUGUAAUAAAGAUUCAAAGUGGUAAGUGAAGUUAGCGUAUUCAAAUAUGGUAAUAUGCUGUCGUCGAAGAAAUUGUCACAAAGAUUUAAGAUCUUCAGCUGCUUCAAGCUCCCAUUGCUAUCGUAAGCUGCAAAUGCAUAUGAAGUAUUAAUAUUAUAAUAUGCACGAGAAAUAUAUACAUAUACAUGUACCUUUGUUCUCAUAGAGGCCUUUAAGCCAAUUAUCAGAUAAGUCGAGGCUCUGCAAUUCUUUGAAAGAAUGAAACAGUGACAUAUUCAGAAGGGAAACUCCAUAAGAAUAAGAGUUAUAAUCAGAGAAGUUGAACAUUCUUGUCCCAUUGAGUGAGAGUUGCAUCACCCGGCGUGUGGUGGCGUUGCACUUAACUCCCUCCCAAUCAUCACAACAAUCAGACGACAUUCCAUCAUCAACCCAUGAAGUAAGAAUAGAGCCUUCAUAUUCCCUAUCACUGAUUGAUAUAAAGAAGCUCUUGAGUUCCAACAGAGUAGUCCUCUCUGUUUGCAAGCAUGCUUUGUAUCCAUGCAUUUCAUUCAUCAAAACAAUAAUCCAAAUUAGUGAAAUUAACGAGAACUUAACGAAGGAAGUACUUUCCAUUGCAAAGCAACUUUUCAAUUGGUCAAUAUAAAAUUUGCAAGGAGGAAACUUCAAUAUUUAUACUAAACAUUUAUCAUCGUGGACCUUGCAAUUUGAUUGGGUGAAGAUUACCAACCACCACCUAACGAAAAUGAAACAUCUCAGAGAUAUCAAGUAAUAAAAAUACUUGAUUAUCUUAUUUUUGUUUUAGAGGGUUAUUAAAGACAAAACGUUGUCAAUACAUUAUAACAUCGCUAUCUUGAAGUCUUUGUCUUUAGUGAAGACUUGUAAGCUUGAAAUUACAUAUAUAUUGCAGCAUCGACCCAGGAGAAAAAGAACUUCACUAAUACUCCGUGAAAAAUAAAAUUAAAGUUCACUGACUCUUGAAUUAAGCCAACAAACAAGCGAGUGCAAACUAUAUUUUCUCCAACAGUUUGAUGGAGAUAGUCGUAACUAAUAAAAUAAAAGUUGUGUGAAAGAGUGUAAAUAAUUUAUCCGUAUAUUUGGGUUUACAUUGGAUUAUCAGUUAAUCUAUUAAAUAAUAUGUUUUGUAAAGAAUUUGAUUGGAUGUUUGAUAAGUUUAAUUUAGUAGUUUAAUUACUCAUAAAAGUGUGAUGUACUCUAAAAUGACAAAUACAUAAAUGUUAUUUGAAGCUUUUGUGACCCUUCAUGUUCAUGCAUUUGAAUCAAAGCCAUUAAAAUCAAAUAUAUUGAUAAACCUUAAUAAGGAAAUUAAGUUUUGAUUGCUCUCAAUCUGCAACUCGACUACUAUUACAAUCACUUGAAAUGACAAAAACAGAAAUUUCAUAUGAACUUGGGACAGAUGUACACGGGUUCAAUUUAGCUAAUUUCCCAUAUAUUUACAACUACGGGGAAAAUUAAAGCUGAUUGACUUUCAAAUUAAGCAACAAACAAGCGGCUGUCCUACUAUUUUUCCUCUACCAAUUGACGGAGACCGCCGAUGCUAUAAAACAAAAAUUGAUUAAGAAUUCAGAUAAGGAAAAUUAUCAACUGUCCGUCCUAAGUUUAUCAUUUAUUCAUUUUUCGCCUUAAGUUUACAAUUCGUAUUAGUCAUCUACUAAAAAGAUAGAAUUACACUUAUGAAAUGACAAUACAUAAACAAAUAUAAAUGGCAAUAGUGGUAAUUUUGUAUGAAUUUUUCUGUUCUUUUGGUGGUUGGUUGAUACAAAUUAAAAACAUAAGAAGAAAAAUAAAUAAAUUCAAACUUUUAGUAUUUCUGAUAGCAGGUUAAACCAAAGGAGGAGGGCUUUACAAUUUCCCUUUAAAUAAUUUAAGGGUGUGAUUGCGUUUCUAUUGAACUGUAUGCUUGGAUUUGCAUUGAAUUAUCAAAAAAUCUAUGCAAGCAUCGAAUUGUAAUGACUGACGAAGACUUAUAAGGCUUGGACCAAUGAAGAAAAAUGCUUCAUUAAUGCUCCGUGGAAAACAAGCCAGUUUGGAAGCAGUUGAUCGGAUAGUCAACAGUUGAUUGAGAUAGUCAACUAAUAAAAUAAGCGUCGUUUGGGUUUGAAAUAAUCAAAUAAUUUAUUGAGAAGAGUUGAAUUCCGUUAUUUUAUUGAGAAGAGAUCCAUCACUCCCUCGCAAUUAUCACAGCAAUCAGACGACAUUCCUUCAUCAUCGUCAAACCAUGAACUAAGAGCUUCGUCAUCGUAUCCAAUAUCACUGGCUGAUAUGAAGAAGCUUUUGAUUUCUAACAGAGCAGUCCUCUCAGUUUCCAAGCAAGCUUUGCAUCCAUGCAUUUCAUCCAAAACGACAACCCAAAGUAGUGAGGUUAAUGAGAACUUAAUGAAGGAAGUACUUCCAUUGCAAAACAGCUUUUUAUUUGGCUAAAGUUAAAUGUGAAUUAAAUAUCUUUGACUGGUGAUAUACAUAUAUUCAGAGAUUUGAAGUGCUCAAACCAAAAAAAAAAUAAAAAAAUAAAAAAAUUAUUAUAAAAAAAUUGAUGAAUAAUAUAGUUCCAGGAAGUGCUAAUGUUUGAGGGAAGUACAUCGAGGAGACCAGACGUGAUGAGCAGGUGGUUGGUGGCAGGGUUCUGCGAGCAGGUGUAUCCUGCAAGAGCCAAAUAGCAGGGGAAUAGGAGCAGGAGUAUUCUGCUUGUCCACGAAUAUGCCAUUCGGGAGGCCGAACUCCUGUCAGAGGCAUAAGGUCACUCCUGCUAGGCAUGGAGGCGAGGAGACGCAAUCAACGACAGUUGGCAGGACGUGCAUUCGUAUCCGAGAGUUAAGGCACGAGGGUCAUCUCCAUUCGCCGACAAUGGCGGUAAUGGGGCGUCCACACCCGAGAGUGGGGAGAAUGACGGGCGUGGACUGCGGAAGAUCUGGAUUCAGAGGAAGCCUAUAAAAAGGUAACCAACGAAGGUAAAAGGGUUAGAAUUUUGGCUAUUUGAACUAAGAAAAGAGAACUCUAAGAACGGAGAUUACAGAAAAGCCAUAAGAUCUGUGGCAAGCGUUCCCAGAACCUUCACAUCUGACUUGAGCGUCGGAGGGUUUACGCCGGGAAAACAACCGGCGUGCUCUGACUCGUUUCUGUGAACGCAGGGAUACUUGGAGAAGAAAGCAUACGAGGAGAGAUCCUGAUCGAGGUGAGGUUGAUCGAGCAGAUAUCCUGGUCGUAGGACGAGCAUAACCAGAAUCUCGCAUCAACAUUUUGGCGCCGUCUGUGGGGAGCUGAGCAAAAAACUUCUGUUGAUAGCAAGAAGAGGAGUGAAGCAAGUGAAAAGUAAUGGAGACAGGAGGAAGUAGUGCACAAGGGGGUGAUAUGAGGCUGAACGAUUCCGUGACGCUGAGGGAGAUAGCCAGCGAAGCCAGGGAAAAAGCCAUGUUCGACCGGAUGGGACGGAUGGAAAAACAGAUGGAGACCCUGACAACCAUCCUGCAUGAGUUGCGGAGUGAACGAAGGGUAACCCAGAAGGAAAUGGUGAGAGGUGGUGGAGUGGCACCAGGUCCCGAUGGUACAAGGAGAAGUCAAACCGCCGAGAGACUUGGUGGUGAGAGAGGUAACAUACCUUUGCGGGGAGAAUUCCAUAGAGACGAAGAGCAAUCCCCGGCAAGACAGAUUUUUUACGAGGACGAUGGGGUGGCGAAUGCAGAAGAAACAGAGUUGAGGCAACACUUGCAUGAUGUAGAGCAAGAGAGGGAUCAAGUUGCAGCACGUGACCCUGGUCGUGCAGUGCAGCUGGAGGAGGAAGUGCGCAGACUAGCGCAGAUAAUUGACGAUAUGCAAGGAAGGAGCAGAGCUCCUGGUUGGAGGAUAAUGCUGGACGGAGAAUCACCGCUCGCAGCAGAUAUCAUGAGGGCAGUUAUUCCGAGAGAUUUUCCUCUCCCGGACCUUAGAUAUUCGGGACGAACUGAUCCGCUGGUGCACAUAGAUCGCUUCAAUGACAUAACGGGGGUACAAGGAUUAUCUCAGCCCCAAAGGUGCAGGGUGUUCCCACUAUCCCUGGAGGGACGUGCACGCGAGUGGUACAAGAAACUUCCUCGGGGCAGCAUUAAAACCUUCGAGCAGAUGUGCCAGGAAUUCGCAGAGCAGUUUAGUGGGGCAAUGGCACCAGAAGAUGACAUGAUGGAGCUGAAAAGCAUGAAACAGGGGGAGCAAGAAACCUUUCGGGAAUUCAUCAAGAGGUUUCAUCGUGCUGUCCUCGACUUGGGAGCCUUCAACCACCCUCAGGCAUUAAGGGGAUUGAAAGAAGGAGUGAAGAUAGGAAGGCUGUGGUACAACUUGAGAAGCCCAGCUAUCCAGACGUAUGCGGCCGCAUACGAGCAGGCUAAGAGAGAUAUUGAGAUUGAAGAGGAGAAGGCAGCACGAAUUAAGAUAGACCAGUUAGAAGGGUUGGGGAGGAAAGAGAAGAAAGCAUUACCGGGGAAUGGGCCGAUCAGGAGGAGGAACCACCAGGCCUCGGAUAGUGGAGCAGGAGGCCGGGUAAUUGCUUACCAGCCUCAUCAGAGGCCACCACAGUAUCAGCGCAGCAGGGCGCAGCCUCCUCGCUCCCCAGCUAGGGAGCCUUGGAGAGGGCAUGGUUCAUCAUAUGGUGGUCAUCAACACUCCCACGGUGGCAGAGGGAGCAGACCAGAGGUACUGCCACCGCACCCAACUCAGAACGGAGCAAACAGAGAAAGAGCAGUGAACCUGAUUGACCAGAACCGGGACUAUGGGCGGUACACUUCAUUGAAGAUGUCCCUGGCCGAGGUGUACGAGGCCAUAAAGGAUCGAGGGUUGCUAUACCUCCCGGCUCCAAUAACUAAGCUACCCAGCAGGAGGGACAGGGGACGCUAUUGUAAGUUCCAUGGCACUCAUGGCCACACCACAGCAGAUUGUAGAGAUCUUAAGACCCAGGUUGAAGAUUUGGUGAGAAAUCGGUAUCUGGACGAGUUUAUAGAUGGGACCAUCCCAAUGGUAGCCUCAACAAGUGAAGGGGAGCAGAGUGACAGGAACUUGAGACGCGAGCAGCCCGCAGUGAGGGUUAUAGCGGGGGGUCCGACAUUGGCCGGAGACUCCAAUAGGUCAAGGAAGAAUUAUGCUAGAUACGCCAUGACCAGCAAAGAGGUAUUCUUCAACACCCCAGCAGCCAAACAUGCAAGAGUCAGGCAAGUGCCAAUCAUGUGGACAGAUGAGGAUGAAGAAGGGAUCCUAUACCCCCACGAGGAUGCUUUGGUCAUCAAGGCCACUGUCGCUAGCAAGAAGUUUGACAGGAUACUGGCUGACACAGGGAGUUCAGUUGAUGUGUUGUUUAAGUCAACCCUGGAGGAGAUGGGAAUAGCAGACCUGAAGUUGGAUUACACCAAUACCUCCUUGAAGGGGUUUGGAGGAGGAAGGCUGGUCCCUCUGGGCGUGGUCGAGCUGCCUAUCACGAUUGGGAGCUCCCCGACAGAAAGGACAAUGAUACUGGACUUUGUGGUAGUGGAUGAGGAAGGUCCUUACCAGGUAAUCCUAGGUCGGCCAUUUCUGAGGAUGAGCAAAGCGGUGCUGUCCAACCAUUAUCUGGCUCUGAAGUACCGGGUGAAUGGGGUAGUUGGAGUGGUACGAGGAGACCAGAGGAUCGCAAGAAGCUGCUACUCCUCGGCGGCAAGGGAAACAAUGCAGAUAACAUCCCUCGAUACCCGAGUGGAAAACAAGAAUGGCAGACAAGAACCUGUAGAGGAUCUGGAAAUAGUAAGCCUGGGACCAGAGAAUCCAGGAAAGACGAUCAGAAUCAGGUCGAGACUUAAGGGAGAGCAAAAGCGGGAGUUGGUGAAAUGCUUACAGACUCAUGCAGAUGUGUUUGCUUGGACACAUGAAGACAUGCCAGGGAUUGACCCGGAGGUGGCAUGUCAUAAGCUGGCAGUAAAGAAAGGUGCUCAGGUAGUAAGGCAAAAGAGGAGGUGCUUCAACCAGGAGAGGUAUGAGGUUAUAAAUGGCGAGGUGGAGAAGCUCUUGAGAGCAGGGUUCAUUCGGGAAGUCAAUUACCCUGAAUGGAUAUCGAAUGUGGUGUUGGUAAGGAAGGCAAAUGGCAAAUGGAGGAUGUGUGUGGAUUUCACGGACCUUAAUAAGGCGUGCCCAAAAGACAGUUUCCCUUUACCGAAGAUCGAUCAGCUAGUAGAUUCAACGGCUGGACAUGGUCUGCUUAGCUUCAUGGACGCGUUCUCGGGAUACAACCAGAUUCCCAUGUACGAGCAGGAUGAGGAGAGUACGGCUUUCAUCACUAACCAGGGUUUGUUCUGUUACAGGGUAAUGCCAUUUGGUCUAAAAAAUGCUGGGGCCACCUAUCAGAGGCUGGUGAACAAAGUCUUUAAGCCGUUGAUUGGGAAAACUAUGGAGGUGUAAGUGGAUGACAUGAUCACCAAGUCCAAAAUCCCGAAGGAACACGUCAGACACCUCGAGGAGACAUUCGAGCUUUUGAGGUAGUAUAAGAUGAAGCUCAACCCGGAGAAGUGUGCCUUUGGGGUCGAGUCAGGGAAAUUCCUUGGAUUCAUGGUGAGCCAUAGGGGGAUUGAAGCAAAUCCCGAGAAAAUCCAGGCAAUUGUGCAGAUGAGGUCUCCCCGUAACCUGAAGGAGAUGCAGAGCCUCACGGGUAGGUUGGCGGCGUUGAGCAGAUUCAUAUGCAGGGCUACAGAUAAGUGUCAGCCAUUUUUUCAAGUGAUAAGGAGGGGAAAGAAAACAGAAUGGACACCAGAAUGCGAGGAAGCCUUUCAGAACUUGAAGCAAUACUUGCAGCAAGCUCCACUGCUGUCCACACCGAGGGAUGGGGACAAGUUAUAUCUGUAUUUGGCGGUAUCGGAUCGGACCGCCAGUUCCGUUCUAGUGAGGGAGGAAGAAGGAGUUCAGUAUCCGAUAUAUUACACCAGCAAGGCCCUGCUCGAUGCUGAGACCAGAUACCCACCGUUGGAGAAAUGGGCACUUGCCCUUGUGGUUGCUGCUCGGAAGUUGAGGCCAUAUUUUCAAGCAUUCCUAGUCUCGGUAAUAACAAACCAGCCGUUGCGUCAAACUCUGCACAAGCCAGAUGCUUCAGGUCGGCUCGUCAAGUGGGCUAUAGAGCUGAGCGAGUUCGACAUAGACUACAAACCCCGAGCAGCGAUAAAGGCUCAGGCAAUGGCCGAUUUCGUAGCAGAAUUUACAGAGCCUGAAGUAUGUUUAGACCAACGAGAUGUAGUUGCAGACAGUGGCGAAGCUCAAGUAUGGCAAAUGUCUGUAGAUGGGUCAUCAGGGGAGCAGGGAUCAGGAGCAGGGAUUGUAUUGGAAGGCCCGGAGGGGGAGGAGAUCUCUUAUGCUGUAAAGUUAGAGUUCGCAGCAACGAAUAACCAGGCAGAGUAUGAAGCCUUGAUAGCAGGGUUGGAACUGGCUAAGGCCGUGAGAGCAGAUAGAGUGAAAAUCAGAACUGAUUCCCAGCUGGUUGCGAAUCAUGUCAGUGAAAGAUUCCAACCGAGAGAGGAAAAGAUGGAGCAGUACCUGAAGAUAGUCAGGCAGAUGAUGGGAAAAUUCGAAGCGGUGGAGGUGGUACAAAUCCCUAGGGAGCAGAAUAGUCGAGCAGAUAUUUUGGCCAGGAUGGCAGCGGUAGCAGAUCCAAAGAUGCCAAAGUCGGUCCCUCUGGAGGUGAAGUCCAUCCCAAGCAUCGAGCAGAAUUUGGAGGUGCUGCGAAUAGAACAAAAAUGCUCGUGGAUGGAGCCGAUAGUUUCAUACCUUAGAGAUGGGGUACUACCACCAGAUAAGCUGCGAGCUCGGAAGAUUAGAGCCCAGGCCUCGAGAUACACGAUGAUUGAUGGGAUACUGUAUCGGCGAGGAUAUACACUGCCGUUCCUUCGAUGUUUGGACGAGGACGACGCGGAUUAUGUACUGAGAGAAGUACAUGAAGGAAUUUGCGGGAACCAUUCUGGUGGGAGAUCCCUGGCCCAUAAGGUUUGAAGGUAGGGAUAUUUCUGGCCGACAAUGCACCAGGAUGCACAGGAGAAGACCAGGAGCUGUGUAAGCUGCCAGAGUUUUGCAAAUUUCCCCAGCCAACCACCAGAGAAGCUCACUUCUAUGGUCUCCCCUUGGCCAUUUGCUCAAUGGGGAAUUGAUCUGAUUGGUCCACUGCCAAAGGGACGAGGAGCAGCAACGCAUGCCAUAAUUGCUAUAGAUUACUUCACAAAGUGGAUAGAGGUCGAAGCCCUUAGCAGAAUCAUAGAGAAGAAAACGACAGACUUUGUGUGGAGAAACCUGGUCUGUCGAUACGGGAUCCCAUAUGCCCUAAUAACGGAUAAUGGCAGGCAGUUCGAUAAUCACAGCUUCAGGGAUUUCUGCCAAAACCUCGGGAUAGAGCUGAAGUAUUGCUCGCCUGCUCACCCGCAAUCGAAUGGACAAGUAGAAGCAGCCAACAAGACCAUCAAGAGGCUUUUGAAAACCAGGCUUGGAGCAAAAAAGGGUGCAUGGGUUGAUGAGCUGUCAGGUGUGCUAUGGGCAUACAGAACAACCCACAAAACAGCAACUGGGGAGACACCGUUCGCCUUGGCUUUUGGACAUGAAGCGGUCGUGCCAGCUGAGAUAGGAACGACCACACAUCGGACAGACCAUUUUAAUGAGCAGGAGAACGACGAGCAGAUAUGUUUGAAUCUUGACCUGCUAACGGAAAAGAGGGAGCAAGCAGCCGAGCGAUCAGUCAUAUACCAGCAGAGGGUUGCCCGGUAUUAUAACCAGAAGGUGAACAUACGACAGUUCAAGGUCGGAGAUUGGGUGUUAAGGAGAGUGAAUCAUAACACCAAAGACUCGACUCAAGGAGUGCUCGGUCCGAAUUGGGAAGGGCCAUAUAGAGUCAAGCAGCUAGUUGGUCCGGGAGCUUACAAGCUGGUUCGCAUGGAUGGCCACGAGGUGAAGCGCCAAUGGAACGCAGCACAUCUCAGGAAAUAUUUCUAGUAAGAGUCAUUAAUAUUUUCAAGUUCUUUCUGUUCGUAUUUGCCGUUAUUUAUUUUAUGACCAAGCAAUUUCAUGUAAGUUGAAUAUUCCAAUUAAUGGAACGUCGAGGAAUUUCAGUCACUUGCAACCGACAAAAUUUCUAAGGCAUGCAAAGGCUCUUCAAGUCUCAAAGCCUGUUUAUGGCGAGACAGAAGCCAAGCGUGCCAGGGUCUGCUCGACCACGCGAAGGCGAGCAGAAUCCCCAAGCAUCGAAAAAAUUUCUAAGGCAUGUAAAGGCUCGUCAAGUCUCAAAGCCUGUUUAUGGCGAGACAGAAGCCAAGCGUGCCAGGGUCUGCUCGACCACGCAAAGGCGAGCAGAAUCCCCAAGCAUCGAAAAAAAAAAAUUUUUUUUAAGGCACGCAAAGGCUCGUAAAGUCUCAAAGUCUGUUUACGGCGAGACAGAAGCCAAGUGUACCAGGGUCUGCUCGACCGCGCGAAGGCGAGCAGAAUCUCAAGCAUCGAAGAAUUUUCCAAGGUAUGUGGCAAAACCACAUGCCAAGACGAGCAGAUUCUCAAACGGAAAAUAAGUCAUGAUUACAACACAAGAAAGUAAUCAAAAACAUCUUUGUUAAUUGUUAGUAAUUAAUAGAAGAGAUAAUCGUCACAAAAAUUGUUCAUUACAGUACAAGAUAUAUAUUAAGAAGAUGGUGGAUCAGUAAGCCGAGCAUCAUCGGUUGGCUGGACCUCCUCAGGUGCAGGGGGGGUAUCACCAGUAGCAUCCAGGGGGGUGCUCGCCUCGCCAACGGCAGCAGGGACUGCACGAGGAGGAGAGUUCUCCUCCUCAAUCACGAUCGGCUCUACCCCUUCAGCAUCUUCCUUGGCCGCUUCCUCAUCCAUAUGUUGAGCAACACCAGCUGCAAGGUCAUCCAUCUUCAGAUCAGGGUGUUGCUUCCCGAGGACGGCCAUGAUGCAACGAUAAGAAUGCCGAAGUCCCUGGUCGUACUGAUUGUCGGCCUCCUUCUCCAAGUUCUCGACCUGAGCUCGGUGGGAGUCGCGGAGAGAUUCGAGCUGGGCCUCAUACGUAGCCUUCUGCCUUUCCAGAUCCUCCUUGACCUUCGUAAGCUCCUCCUCGAGGGUAAUGGCCUUUGCUUGAGCAAGUGAUUCUUGCUCUAUCAGCUUCAGAUUCUCGAGAUUCAACUCCCUUGCUUUCUUCUCGGCCACGUCAGCUCUGGUCGUCGCCGAUUGAAUAUCUUCCUUCAUCUUCCGGUCGUAGCGGCUAACCUUAGCCUUGAAAUAGGUAGUCAUGCAACUGAGGUGGAAAGCGCUAUACUGCAUGGCCCCCACCAGCUCACCCAAGGUGCAGCCGUCAAAGUCCUCCAGGUCCUUUUUGCUCACGAGUUUAGAUAACUCAUUGAGGUAGGGGACCAAGUGUUCUGCUCGGCUGUCAGGUAAACGAGAUCGAGGCCCGACAGGAGGAGAAGAGGAAGCAGGAUCCGUGGCUGCUCCACUAGUCUCCCCAAUUUGGGCAGGAGCAGGAGGUAAAGUCUUCAAGGGAGAGACUUGCUGCACGAUGUUGGCCCGCUUUGCAGAAGGGGCGUCCUUGUUCUGGUCCUUCUUCGUGGUUUGAGGUCGAGAACGUUUCCUGUUCAGAGCCCCAAUCACAGCGUCCUCCAUCUUAUGGCCAGGUAGUAUCAAGCGAGACUCGAGCAAGUUGUAAGUAGUUAACAGCUCUCGGCUCGGGCAGGAAUUGACUAGCACAGCCUCAACCUGUUUGAGCUGACCAGGUUGGAGCGGGAAAUGAACACCCCAGGAAACUACAACACAAACGAGCAGAUUGGAAAUGGACACUUGGUUAGAGACAAGCCAAUAAAGCAAGAACAAUUAUGGAUACAAGACAUCUAAAGCGAGCAGGCAACCUGGGACCGUGAAACGGGGGGGGACCCGAUAAUCCUUCCCGUCCAUUUGUGCAACCUGACCCCAAGGACCCCCAGCAAAAAAGAACUUUCUCUUCCAAUUCCCUCCACCACCAGUAGGGAGGUCGGUUAUAGGUUUCCUAGUCUUGGUACUAGAUUAGAAAUAGUACCAGCCGGCAUCUUUGGGGCUGCUCUUUAGCUGGUACAGAUGCUUCACCUCAUCAAUUGUGGGCUCGCUUUGGCAACAUCUGUCCCACAAUAUGAACAGACCAGAGAGUACUCUCCAUCCGUUUGGGUUCAACUGACCAGGAGAUAGAUUCAGCCCGUUAAGUAUUCGGGCAAAGUAAGGUUGCAAGGGACACCUCAGCCCAUACUUAAAGCUAUCCAGAUACAGGGUAACGUAUCCCCUAGGAGGCCGGCUAGGAGCAUCCUUCUUUCCUGGGAUCUUAAGAGGUAUUUCACUAGGAAUACUAUACCUAAGCCGGAGGUCAUCGAGCUCAUCAAACGUGGUCGUGCACGUCAUAUAAUCAAUAGCGUAAUCCCGCGAUAGGGCUCUACCUCCUAUUGUACUCCUCUCUUCUGGUCGCGACGCUCCUGAUGGGGACACCUCACCAGAAUCAUCUCCUCGACCCUCACUCAAGGUGUUCUCCGACCUAGAAGAUCCCUCUUCAUCGCUAUUUCCGCUCGAGGAGGUUGUUUGGGGAGACAUCCUCCUAGCGCUAGGACCAACACUGGAUCUAAUGGGCUCUAAGGGGAUCCCGGGGUCAAAAGCAGGGUCGGUGAGCAAACUAGGCAGGAAGUCCAACUCAUCGUCGUCAACCUCAAUGACCUUCUCUUUACCUUUCGACAUUCCCUAAGCGCUAACCACAACACCACCACCAACUACUACCCGAACAAAAGAGAAGAGAAAUUAUCUACAACUAUCCGAAACCAAGGAGAUAGAAGAAGUACCUGAAGUAAUGUUUCAGUCGGUGAAAGACAGAGAUGGAGGCCUUUAUGCCGGAACUUCUUUGCCGGAGAGACAGAGACGGAGACGGAGUGGAUGAUGAGUUUUCUGUACGAAAGGAUUUGGGUUUCAUAAAAGGGAUGGACUUUUAGGUUGCCAGCAUUUAACAGUACCAAAUCCCAAGGGCCUCGUAACCGUUGGUUUAAAAUUCAAAUAAAGGGGCAGAUUUCUGCCACAUCACCUCGUCCGCAAUUAAAUGUGACAUGACUCCUGGCAGCCUUUUCCAGCCCCACGCGAACGAGAACCGUUGAGUUUCUACUGUUGGUCCAUUACAUUACCCAACACCUGAAACUGGGGGACCUGUGUUUGAGGGAAGUACAUCGAGGAGACCAGACGUGAUGAGCAGGUGGUUGGUGGCAGGGUUCUGCGAGCAGGUGUAUCCUGCAAGAGCCAAGUAGCAGGGGAAUAGGAGCAGGAGUAUUCUGCUUGUCCACGAAUAUGCCAUUCGGGAGGCCGAACUCCUGUCAGAGGCAUAAGGUCACUCCUGCUAGGCAUGGAGGCGAGGAGACGCAAUCAACGACAGUUGGCAGGACGUGCAUUCGUAUCCGAGAGUUAAGGCACGAGGGUCAUCUCCAUUCGCCGACAAUGGCGGUAAUGGGGCGUCCACACCCGAGAGUGGGGAGAAUGACGGGCGUGGACUGCGGAAGAUCUGGAUUCAGAGGAAGCCUAUAAAAAGGUAACCAACGAAGGUAAAAGGGUUAGAAUUUUGGCUAUUUGAACUAAGAAAAGAGAACUCUAAGAACGGAGAUUACAGAAAAGCCAUAAGAUCUGUGGCAAGCGUUCCCAGAACCUUCACAUCUGACUUGAGGGUCGGAGGGUUUACGCCGGGAAAACAACCGGCGUGCUCUGACUCGUUUCUGUGAACGCAGGGAUACUUGGAGAAGAAAGCAUACGAGGAGAGAUCCUGAUCGAGGUGAGGUUGAUCGAGCAGAUAUCCUGGUCGUAGGACGAGCAUAACCAGAAUCUCGCAUCAACAGCUAAUAUGGCUCUUUGAACUCUCUUUACAGUAUUGGUAGAAAUUUAUCCGAUGUGUACAAGGGCUUGUAUAUUUUGCAAUAAAAUAUACAAGCCAAUAUGAAUUUCUUUCUUUCUUUCUCUCUCUUUUUUUUUUUAAGAAACAUGAAUUGGUUCGUCCAUCAAUUAAUAAUAAAACCAUAAUGUACACCGGUAUGAGUUUAUCUAAAAUCACCGGCUACACCAAUAUCAUUGUGACAUAGGAAGCGAUGAGGAAAUUUACGAGAUAUUUAUUAAACCAUAGUCUACGCCAGUAAGAUGGAAUUAGCAUUCAAUGAUCAUAGACUUUCUGCAAUUUCAUUGACUUGUGAUCAGGGAGUCCUUAUUCUACGAUGAUUAUAAUCAAACACGCACACUGCAAGGCAACCUUCAAUUGACGUAUUCUGUCAACUAACUGGGGACAAGGGUCAUAAAAGGGUACGGGAGAGAAAGCAUGAGUCUAUGCACAGUUCCGGUUUUGCUAGUUGAUGGAACAUGGAGGAUGUGUGUUAAUGUUAACCAAUAGUCAAGUUUAUUGAAAAAAGUAAGUGAGAGAAUAUUACAUGUUGAUACAUGUUAUCUGAUUGUGACUUUAGUACCGUCCAAAGAAAUUGAAAUGUGAAAUAAUUGAAGAUGCAAAAUGGUUGAUUUCACGGGCCUGGCCUUUGGCAAAGUGAAAUGUUAGCCACACACUUUACCAGUCAAGUGUCAACAUUUGUAGCAUAAGGAAAUUGCGGCAUCUUAGCUGGAUUUUGAGGGUCGCUAUAGUGGGCUCACAAAUAUUUAACAUAAUUUUGAUAAUUACUUAAACCUCGUUUCCUUGAUAAUUAAAGAAAAAGAGAAGUGAAUGAAGUAAAAGAUAUUGAUGACCGUAAUUAUGCAAAUAAAUACAAGACUUUACAGUAGAUUAGACCACCAAUUGUGCUUUUUCGUCUAAUAAUAAUGCAUCUGCUUUAACAAGAUACGAGUGAACUCAGGCUUAUCUUUCUUUCGCAAUGUAAAUUCUUGCCAAAAAAUACAUGUUAUCUACUGGUGAAUUAGUUUGAUAAAAUAAAGGCUUAAAGUUUAGUUGAGUAAAAUGUUGACGUAAAGAAAUUAGCUACUGGAAAAUCACCAAAUGCUUGUUAAGGUAAUAUACAAUUGCAAUUGAACAUCAAGUGAUGGAAACAUCAAAAACCCCAUAAAAAAUUAAACAAAACCAGUUGCAAUGCGAAUAAACAAGUUUUCAGUUGAGAUGGCAGAACUAAUUCCUUCACAAUCAAGUGUGAUUUCUCAAUUUGUUCUAUUUGCCCAAAAAGACAUGGUCAAGUAUUUGAAAGCAUUUUUAUUUAGUUGACUAUUCGAGUUUGAAUUUAGAAUAAGAGGUUAAAAAAUAAGUUUUGUCUUUACUCACCCCCUUUAGAAAAAAAAUUUUAAUUUUUUAUCAAGCUGCCUUAAAUGCAUCAUGUGCAAAUCACGUGACAUCCUGAGUUACCAUAUAAUUUGGCUUUAUAAGUGUUUUCUGUUUCUGAAAACGAAAAAUAAUAAAAUGGAAAUGCCUUUAGCUUUUGGCUAGACAUUUUCAGAUACGUUUUUCGUGAUUAUUUCAAACUUCCAACAUACCACAAAUUAUUUUUAGAGCCCGCAUGUUGGAUUGUCUCAUUUAAGUUUCGCUUGGAUUUUUAGCACAUCAUUCAAAUAAGUUGCUAUCGUAUAUCUAGCUAGUUUUGAACAAAGUCAGUGAGAAUAUUACAUCUGCUUUAGCAAGAAAUGAGUGAAUUAAAACAUUUGACCAGAUUCAAGAGAGAAAAGAAUGUUGAAAUAUUGACUUGAAUAUUAUGGUAAAAUGAGUUUGACUUUAGUACCGACCAAAGAAAUAACUGAAGAUGCAAAUUAAUUGGUUAGUUUGAGGUGCAUGGCUAUUGGCAAAGUGAAAUGUUAGCUUCACACUUCACUUGUGAACGUACAACAACAUUUGCUGCAUAACGAAAUUGCAGCGUCUCAGCCGGAUUAUGAGAGUUGUUUUCAAAUCCCAUUUCUUUUCUUUGUAACCUUUUUUUUUUUUCCGCAGCUCACGUGAUCACCAUAAUUUUGAUAACUACUCAAACGCGUUUCCGCAAUAACUAACGAAAGGAAAAGCGAAUGAAUAAGCAAGAGAUACUGAUGACAGUAAUCAUGUAAAUGAAUACAAGGCUUUACAAUAGAUUAGACCGCCAAUUUGUGCCUUUUGAAUGCAUCUGCUUCAACAAGAUACCAGUGAAUUGAGGCAUAUCUUUCUUUCACAUGUAAUCUGCUGGUGAAAUAAUUUUUAUAAAACAUAGGCUUAAAGUUAAAGCUGAUUAAAAUAUUGGCGUACGUCAAGAACGCUACAGGGAACAUUCAACCGUGAGCUGCAGUCUGCAGUCCCCAACAAUCCGGGAAAAGGUUGAGGAGGCGCGCGCCUGCACAUUAAUUUGGGAGGUCUGAUGGGAUUUAUAAAUUAAAAUAAUGUAAUUUUAUAUAUUUUUUAAAUGAAAAAUUUGUUGAUGCCGCUGUGCGAUCCAUUGGAUCCUCGCGUGCUGGCCCCACAGAAGUUUCUCCCUAACAAUCUCCAUAAAAGCUCUUUAUAAUCCAUUUUUGAUAAAAGUAUACAUAUAUUUAUUCAAAUAUUAGUAAAAAUAUCUAUAAUGCUGAUUUUUAAAUUAUACUUAAUAGACAUUUAGACCGAGCUGUAAAUCUAUGAAUUCAAACUUCGACAAAUAAACCACAAAUUAUUUUGAUCCCGUAUGUUGGAUUGUCUCCUUUAAGGCUAUGUUUACUAAAGCGGAAUGAGAAUCGAAAUAGAGAAAUCAGAAUGAAUAACUUGUUUACUUAUUAAAUUGAUGAUAGGAAUGGGAAUAAGGUGAGUAGGCUCCAAGGUCUUGAAGAGGAAAGACCUUCCUUAUGUUCAAAAUUAACCCAAUUUGCUUUCUAACUUCCUUAUGUUCAUUGAUUCUUUUGUUGUGCAGUAGUGCCCAGUGUUCUUGAUAUCACAAUCAUCACCCCAUAUGAAUGACAAGUUGUUCUCAAGGUAUACAUUUAUACUUAUUAUUAAUACUUUCCUGUUUUGCCCUCACCAGCUAUGAUUAGCAUAUUGUUUUUUAAAACAUUAUAAAUAUAAAUGAAUUAUUAAUUAAUUAUCCUUUUUUUAUGUUUGAUUGAAAUUUGCUCAAAGGGCAUCUCCACUGACAAGAUACUUGAGUAAUCAAAGUCCUUGUUUAAUAAUAAUUAGCAUAGAAUUACUACUAACAGUGGGCACGAGUUGCAUUGGUUCAGAAUCAAAUUGAACCGAUAAUUUUUACAUAAAAUGUAAAAUUCAACGACUAAGUUUUAUUUUUUUCAAUUUUAAACCGUAAAUUCCUUUCUAUUUUGUGGGUUUUUUUUUUUUAGUUUUUGAUUGUUUUUAUACAAGCCAUUUGAUUAUUUUAAUUUUUUAAAACUGAAUCUAACCGCCGAUCCGAUUCAAAAUUUUCAAGAGUAACGGUUUUGCUCCAUCCAAAUUACCACGUACUUACUUACCAUCUGCCUCAGCGACGUGCUUGAGCGCCUGUGUCCGACACUUUUGAUAAUUCAUCUGUACCUUCAUCACAAUCUUCUGCUGCAAUAUUAUAUAUAAUUAUUAAAUCAGUUAAUAAUUAGUGCAUACAUGCAUUGACAUUACAUUAACUACAGCGAUCAAACAAUUAAAGAAAUUAAGAAGACGUACCUUCAUUUUCUUAAUUAAUUUCCGAUCGAUCAAGUAAGGAGCAAUUUUAUAAUCUGGAAUGAUGUUUACAAUUUGGAAAUUUGAAAAAAAAAAAAAAAACACUAACAGCAGAACUACACAUAUCAAAGACCAAUUGAGGACCGAGAUUGAAUGAUAGAGUAGAGGUUGUUACUCUAUCAUAGUAUAAGCAUUUUGGUAAUCCUUAACAUACGUGUUUUGCAGUAAUAAAAAGAAUAAUAUGUUAUCUAUUGCCGGUAUUGAUUUUAUGAUUGCAAAUUUGUCAUUUCCUGACGUCGGUGGCCGAAGUCUCAGCAUACAUCACUCGAGACAGAAGCUGAUUAUGAAGGAAUUAAAUGCCCAAGAUCUUGCGAUAUUGCAUCUUGUUCCUCCAACCCUGUGAUCAUCAUUCAUCAUAUGGCCGUAUUCAAGAUCUCAUUACUUUAGUACGAAAUUAAUAUAUUUCUCCAUGAUAGCAACUUCUUAAUUGUUAGCUGGACAGCUUCGGUAUUGUUUGUGCCACUGAUAAUUAGCAAAUUAAUCAAUACAUUAACAGUAACGUGGGAGUGUUCAUUGGCUUAUGUUUUACAAGAAAAAAGUAAUUAGAGCCUCGUUACAUCACAUCACCGAAAGAUGAUUUACUUAGCUUUGACUAACAAAAUGGAUUAACAAUGAUUCAUCUUCAGCCCCGUGUUUGCUCUACAAAUCGAUGUACGUAGUGACAGAUCUACUGUACGAAUUCAUCAAUAAUAUAUGAUUUCUUUUUGAUACCGACGUAUACCCAUAAGUGGUGUACUCUUAUUUAGAUGAAAAAUUUACUAAAAUAAAUCUGGGUUAAUGUAAUUUGGGUGACACAUUUUUCGAUAAAAUAUAAAAGAAGUGAUAAUUUUUUUUAAAAAAAAGGUAAUGGGAUGACAAAUUAUUAGUUUUAAUGAAAUUGGUUGUCUUAUGAUGAAAAUACGUUUUUGUCCCUGUAACCUUCUUUUAAUAUUACGAUAAUGUUCUUAAUUGCUUAUUUAUUUACAUCCCAUAUGAAAAAAAAAAAGAGAACAAAAUUCAACUCAUACAAAAAUAAUAUUAUUAAAAUAAAUUUAACAAUGUAUACAUUUUAAAAUAAUUUCCAUAUGCAUAUAUGCUUGGUGAUGUUACAAACAAUUAGUAUGAAGAAAUUCAAUUUGCAGCCGAAGUACACAGUUGGUUUGGAAUAGCCUGUCGGGGCUUAGUUGAUUGUUUUUCAAGUAAUUUUUUUUUUCGGUUGACCAUAGAAUUUAAAUCUAGGAGAGAGAGAAGACAAAAGUAUCAAUUUAGAUUUUACCUACUCACUCAUUUUAAAGAAAUAUUUGGGGAAAAAGAAAAUAAUGCAGUUGCUUCCACUAGAAAAAUUAGUAAAAUAAAUGGUGAUACAGAAUGUGCCAAAAUAAAAACAGAUGCAACAUGAUGCAUAUAUUUACACAUAUAAGCAAAAAUGCUCAUCAAGGCUAUCAUAACAUGAAGCAAUUUUGCCAAUUGACAUAUAAAAUAAAAACAGAUGCAACAUGAUACAUAUAUUUACAAUUUUGAGGCGAACAAACAAUAUAUGUAUUACAAAAUAUAUAUACUGAAACCAUGUUUGCUCAGAAUGGUUGAAGGUAGGUGAAGCUCUCUCGUGUCAAAUUUUCUGAAUUAGAAAAUCUCGGGGUUUUUAAUUAAAUACCCUUUAAUAGUUUCAAAAUUAUUUAAAUACCCCCUUCUUUUUUUAUUUUCAUGGAUACCCUAACAAAUGUGAGCAAAGUCGGAAAUACCCUUAAUGAAUGCAUCAAAUUCACUCAAUGAAUUGUCUUCAUAUUUCUUUCCUCAUUUCUUUUACCCAAAUCUAUUUUUGCUGCCGAUUCUUUCAAAAUCUCUUAAAAUCUCUCAAAAUCUCUCAUAACUUCUUACACAAAUACAAUUAUGUAUUCAUUUCUUUAACACCCACUCUUUCUUUAAAGGUGCAUUGCUUAUUAAACAACCCAAUAAGGUAUGUUAAUGUUGUUGGGUUUUAAAUUUUUUAUUUUUAGGAAAAUUUAAAAAUUUUCCUCACAUUACAAUGUUUUAUUUUCACCAUUUUUUCUUAUACGUAGAAAUAUAUGCAAUGUAGGUUGUUUAAUUAUUUUUUUCAGCAAUAUAACUUAUUUAUGGUGAAAAUGUUUCGAGUCAUGCAUUCUUUUGAUACCGUGUACGUCAUAUAGUUAGUCAUGUAGGUCGUGUAAGUAAUAUAGUCGUGUAAGUCGUGUAGGUCAUGUAAGAAAUAUAGUCGUGUAGGUCAUGUAAGAAAUAUAGUCGUGUAGGUCAUGUAAGAAAUAUAGUCGUGUAAGUAGUGUAAGUAAUAUAGUCGUGUAGGUCAUGUAGGUCAUGUAGUUACUUGUAUAUGAAAUUUAAUAUUAUUGUUUUUAUUGUAUCAUCAGAUAUGAUUUUGGUACGUGUGCCUAUUCUCUUCAAUGGUGAAUGGAUUGAGCAAAAUAACGAGUAUAAGUUCAAAGGUUCAAAGGCUAAAGGGAUAAUGAUACCACGAUCGACAACAUAUGCCGAAUUGGUGGAGAAGAUAGCUGAAGUUAUUGAUAUAGAUACUUCGGAAUUUGAAAUCACAAUGAAGUUCAAACUUAAGACAUCUGAUCCUAUGCCACCAGUUACAAUUCAAACCAAUGAUGAUGUGGAAUUUUUUUAUAUUCCAAUUUAAUUUCACUUCUUUUUUUUAAUAAUUUUCGUUGACAUUUUCUACAUAGCAGCAAAUAUAAAUUCUUAGCACAAAUUAAGUCUUUAAAGAACUAAAUUAAUCUAAUGAUUAAUGGAAAAAUUCGUGUAAUUUUAAAGUCGCAAUUAAACAUAUUACAGCCAUUUAAAAAGUUUUUUUUUUUUUUUAUCUUCAAAGUGCUUUCUUCCUUUGGCUAAGCAUACAAGCAUACAUGAGGAAUGCCUGCAUAUAAUUAAUCCAUGAAAUCAAUUAAGAAAAAAAAAAUAUCAACUAUAGGAAAUUAAUGUAAUGUUAUACACAUAAGAACACCAUUCGCAGUGAUAAAAUAUUUCCACUCAUAACUAGACAUAUCAUGACUUACCAUGGCUUAUAAUUGGAAAUUAAGAAUCUCUCUAACUAAUGACAUUUCACAAGGUAAAGGUAUAUGCACCAUUCCAAUUUAUUGUGAGCCUUAUUAAACUAAAUGUAAUGUGUAGAUUCUAUUGACAAGAAACAAAAUGUGGAAUUGAAGGUCGUGUAAUUGUGUAAUACAAGAAGAUCGUGUAAUUGUAUAAUACAUGAAGGUCGUAUAAAUGUGUAAUACAUGAAGGUCGUGUAAUCGUGCAAUACAUGAAUGUCGUGUAAUCGUGCAAUACAUGAAGGUCGUGUAAUACAUAACCUUACACGACCAAAUCUUGUGUUACAUAACAAAAUUAUAAUCAGCACAAUUCAUUAAUUUUUCACAAUUUGCAUGCAGCAAAACAACUAGAAAUUUGUUUUCGAACAUGUUAUGAGAGACCUACAACUAAUUAAUCUAUUUUUUCAAUAUAAAACCCUAACUUUUUAUUUUUUUCCCUUGAAUAUUAACUAGAAAACUAAUUACAUGGAAUUACUUGUCUCAACUAGUUAUAUUCUGACAAUUUUGUAGUAAAUGAUCAACUCUCUCCGGCGAUUAUGUAGUGACGAACUAUGCUUCACUUUCUCAGUUGUGGCAGCUUCCCCUUCUCAGGCUUAGUUUGCUCGUGUUGAAGUUCGAUUUACCAUGUAUGGAGAAUGAAUGUUUGUUUCAGUAGAGGUGAUGCCAGUGAGGGAAUUGCAGAGGUGAUGCCGGUGAGGGAAUUGCAGUGUUUGUUUGUUUGAGUUUGAUAAUGGAGGGAAUUGCAACAGAUGAGUGUUUGUUUGCUUCACUAGAGAAGGGAGAGGUGCUGUCCGUUGAGUUGAAAUGUUUUAAAAUGAGGAUAGCUUAGUAAUUUUCUAUCAGUUUUUAAAGGAUAUCGAUAAAAAUUUUGGCAAAAACAGAUUUUAGGGUAUUGAGAUAAUUUUUGAAGUAUGGAGGUGUACCGGGCGCAAUUGGCACGAAAAUCUCAUGCAUGUGGAUGUGGGUCUCAUUUUAUUUGUUAUUUUUAAAUAUUAACAUUUAGAUCUUUUUAGUUGUGCAUUCAUUGCCAUACUAUUUUAGUAAACUAUAUUCAUUUUAUUGUAUUUUUUUAAGAAUUUUUUAAUUCGAAAUAAUUUUUUUAAUAUUGUUGAAAAAGACAGGUUAAAGUAAAAAAAUUAUUGACUAAAUAAAUAAAUAAAUGACAUUAUUUUAUUUUUUAACAUUAAAAAAAAACCAAUUUGUUGUAGUCCACUUAGGAUGUGUUUGAGAAUGAGGUGUUAUAUUUUAAGCUGCUAAAGUAAAAAUUAUAGCUGUGGAGUAAAAAUUAAAAAAAAAAUCUGUUAAACUACCAAAAUCCAACUACAAAUAUUACCAAACACCGUAAAACCCAAUUAACUCACCACAUUACCAAACGUACCAAACGGCCUUAGUCCUGCAACACUUGGAACGUUACCAAGCUUUUUAGAGCUGUACAUUUUGGACUCAGCUGUCCUUGUCAUUUCAAGUAAAAGUUGAAGCUGUCUCAAAAGUAAAAUAAUAACGUGCAUUUAAGUAACUGGCCUAAACUUCAGAAAUUUCAGAAGUUACAGUAUACGCAGGUCACAUCUAGGGCCAUUAUUAUUUAUUAGUUUAAUCAUUAAAUGACAAAAUUUUGCCAAUCUUGAGGGGGCUACUUAAAAAUGCAAGCAUCUCGUCCCUUGCCUGCUUCAUAGAUGCUCUUACUCACCCCCCCCCCCCCGUCAUCUCACUUGUGCAAACCAAAGAAAAAAGAAAGAUUAUUAUUUUCCAUUUAUUACACAAAAAACAAUAAUUCCUUUUUAUUGCUCCAUGUUUAUUAUUUUAUUCUAUUUCUCCAGAAUCUCUCUUUAUCAAUUAAAUUUAUGAUAUAGAUAUUGAAGAUUUGCUUCAAUCAGAAAACUUGUUCAUAUUUCUGGUCAAUAUAAUACAUCCCUUAAAAGGUAAAAAUAGGGAAAAAAAAAAACAAGAAUGAUGAUUUUUUUUUUUUUGGUUUUGACUGUUCUAGACAAUAAAGAAAUAUUUUGAAAGGGUCGGAGAUUACAAUGAAUCUAUACACUUGUGGAAAUUUUUUUAAGGCAUAAAUAAGUGCAACUUGAGAGCAUUUUGUUUUUUGUUCCACUAUAUAUUUUUAUACAACUGCCGCCUUAGAUUGGGUGCAUCACUUCAUUAUAUAAUCAAUAAAAAUUAAUUAUAUAAAUGGAAUCAUUCUCUAUUAUAAUUAUUCGACUUCAUGAAGUAACAACUGAUGUUUUUUACCACAUUGUCAAAAGAGUUCAACUUUUAUUUGAGAAUACACCAUAUAAAAGAACAAAUAAAAAUAAAACAAGAGUACAACAUAGAAAAGAAAAAAAUAAAACAAGUUUUAGAAUUAGUAGAUUAGAAUUGUUAUAAGAAAGAGUUGUCCCUAUAACUUCAAUAAGCUAGCCAUGUUUCUUAAACUUGUUUUACUAGCCUUACCAAACUUUUUCUAGUUGAUAUUCAAUUUUUUUUAAUUUUUUUUUUCUAGUCAAGCAUACUUAAUUGAACAGUCAAUUCAACAUGAAAACGAUUUGUCGCUUUACGAUCCUAAUUUUUAACCAGCCGUAAAUUUUAAUCUAUUAAAAAAAAUUAGUUGGUGGAAAUGUAAACAGAAGCAAGAAGGUUAGAAUUAAUAACUUUAUCAUGAAUAAUUAAUAUAAUUAGAAUUUAAUAAAACUAUAUGUAAAAGCUUAUUUCAAGAGCGAAAAUUUUAUUUUUUAUCAUUUUUUAGUGCUUAUAAUUAUAAUUUAAUCUAGAAGUAUUUUAAUUAUAAAAAAUAUUUUUAAAAAUAAGUUUGACGAAUAGUUUAGUGCUUAUAAUUAUUUUCUACUUAUAAUUAAGUUAAUAUUUAAUAGAAAGAACUAAAAUAAUAAAAGCAAAAACCUUUGCCCGGCAAUUCCUUGUUAUUUACAUUUUUGGCGCUGUCCUUGACAGAGGACUACACCGAGGAAUCUCAGGCCGCGGCACACGUGCGGCGGCUUCUCGACAUCGUCGCGUGCACCACACGGUUCGCCAAGUCCAGAAACUCCCGAUUGCCGCCAUCGUCAGAGUCAUGUGCCAAAAAGAACGGCAGUAGGCCCCACCAGCCUUCACCAAACUCUGCCGCUCUGUCUGAUGGAGCAGCAACAGCAGCAGCAGAUAACCGAAGCGGGCCCCGCGCCACGUCAUCGCCAGUUUCAUCGGCGGUUUCUCCGAGUCUGGACAUGGCGGCCAUUCACCCGACGCCGAAACUCUCCGAGUUUUAUGACUUCUUCUCUUUCUCUCACCUCACUCCCCCCGUCUUAAGUAAGCGUAAUGUUCAUUUAUUUAUUUGUCUUCGUUUCUUACAUGGUUGAUCAAAAAAAAAGAAAAAAAAAGAAAGAGGAAAAUGAUAUAAAUAUAUGUGAUUUAUUUGAAUAUGAAAUUUGUUUAUUGAUUUUAAUUUUUAAUAAUUUUGAUUUUGAAGAUUUGAGAAAAUGUGAACGCAAAGAAGGAGACAAGUGCGACGGUGAUUAUUUUGAAAUUCAGGUGCCAUUUAAUAUAAAGUUCUGAUUAUUGUUGUUUGUUGUUUAUGGACUAAUUAAUUGUAGAGUUAUUCAACUUGUUAUUUUUGCUGAUGAAUUGGCCAAUGAGUGUUAAAGAUUUAAUAAUCAUUGUCUGCUAAUUAAUAAGAAUGCAUGGAUUAUUUUCAUGUCUUUGUAAGUAAUGUGAGUAUUUGAAAGUGCGGGAAACUGUAUUUUGUGCUUACAGAUAAAAAUCUGCAAUGGAAAGCUUAUACAAGUAGUUGCAUCAGUAAAAGGGUUCUAUACUUUGGGAAAGCAGUUUUUCCAAAGCAACUCCCUGGUGGAUCUUCUGCAAAAUCUCAGUCGAGCUUUUGCCAAUGUGGGUACUCAAUAGUUGAAUCUACAGAUUAUUUUUUUCUUUUUUAUCUGAAUGCAUCUUUUUUUCCUCCGUAAAUUCAAUUAGCUUACCCAUCAAUUGUUUUGUUAAUAAUUAUGGUCAUUAUGCGUGAUGCAGGCAUAUGAAUCCCUAAUGAAAGCUUUUGUUGAACAUAAUAAGGUAACAAUUUCUGUGCUGACAUAGUUUAUUACCAAUUCAAAUGUGAUUUUAACUUGAUUUUACUGAUAUAGUAUAUUCAAUAUCCUUCUUCAGUUUGGUAAUCUUCCCUAUGGAUUUCGAGCUAAUACAUGGCUUGUACCUCCAUCUGUUGCUGAGUCUCCAUCAAAUUUCCCUUGCCUACCGGCAGAAGAUGAGAAUUGGGGUGGCAAUGGCGGAGGCCAGGGAAGAGAUGGAGAACAUGAUUUACGACCAUGGGCGACGGAAUUUGCUAUACUGGCUAGGCUUCCUUGCAAAACUGAAGAGGAGAGGGUGGUUAGAGAUCGGAAGGCCUUUUUGCUUCAUAACCAAUUUGUUGAUGUCUCAAUUUUUAAAGCUGUUGGAGCAAUACGCCGUCUCAUUGGUUCAAAUUUACACACUCAAGAUACAAUCAAUGUCCAAAAGGGGGCAAUCUUGCAUGAAGAUCGUGUGGGAGACUUGUCCAUUACAGUAAAACGUGAUACAGUAGAUGCAAGCUUGAUGUCUGAGGUUACUAUUAAAGGAAAUCAGUCAUCUGGUAUGUCUGCUGCAGAAGUUGCUCAAAAGAAUUUACUAAAAGGUGUUACUGCAGAUGAGAGUGUAGUUGUUCACGUAAGUCGAUUUCUCCUUUACUUUUUAUGCUUAUGUUCACAGAACACACAUAAAAGACAUUCAUCAAAGCCGAAAUUACUUGCGUGGGCGGAAUAAUAUAGCUCUACCUUUGUCAGGGAGUGAUUUUUCAGUCGGAUUAGGAUGUUUCCCUCUUUAUCUGAUAUCUGGCAUUUGAUGAUGGCCUAAAAUACCCAUCCUCUUCACUCUCUCUUUCUACACAUUUAUGAAUGCACAAGAAAGUCAAUUUUAGGUUCUUUCGUGAGAAUCACUACUCAUUACUAACCUUAUAUAUCUGGUUUAGCUUCAUGAAUCUUAUGUUGCCUUUCUGUUUGGUGACUCCCUAUUCUGUUGAAAUCACUUGAUAGCAGGUCUUUCUACUGAUUUUAUCCAUAUCCCUCUGAUUUUCUGCUCGUAGUUUGAUCCAGCUUAAUGUCUUGGGGAAGCCUAUUAACCUUGGUUGGGCAUGCUUGUAUUAUAUCAACUAGUGGUGCAAUUGCUAAAGUUUUCAGCAUGGUAGAUCUUGAAAUAUCCAGAUUUAUUUUUGUCAAAAUAUCUAGAUUUAUCUUCCUUUUCUUUUUCCCUUUCUUUUAUUUUAGUUUCAAAGAUUUUGUGAUAAAGAGAACUGAAACAAUAUAGUUUUUGGCAGGAUACCUCCUCAUUGGGUACUGUCAUUGUAAGACACUGUGGAUACACCGCUGUAGUAAAGGUUGUUGGUGAUGUGAAGGAGAAGUUUGGCACACAAGAUAUUGAAAUUGAAGAUCAACCUGAUGGAGGAGCUAAUUCUCUUAAUAUUAACAGGUUUGAAAUUGUAACACAAUGCUUCCUCUGUCGAUUCGUCUUAGCACACAAAGACUAGGAAAUCUACAGAUGGAGAAUGGCUGUAAGAUAUGAAAAAUUAUCUUUCAACCACUAACAUUUUUAAGCUAUUCUGCAAGAUAUCUUAGACAUACUAACUGGUAUGAGCUUCUUUGCUUAGUGUCUAUCACAGUUGAAUUCAUGAUGCAGAGCAUUGUUAUUCUCUUUAUUUUUACCAGAUAGAACAGGAUUGAAAUGGUGGUGUUGGGGAUUCUUAAGGAUAGCACCUGCUCCUUUUUCUUUCUGUUUAGAUGGGAUCUAAUCAGUAGAUGUCUGAACUCUUAAGGGGAGUUGAUGUCAGAUUUCUAAACCAGGUUUUCUUCAAGUGUUAAGUUUAUGAAUAGGCCAAAGAAAAGAAAGCUGAUAUCUAGUUAGGGAUAUAUACUCCUCUUUCAGUAUCCUGUGGACCAGAAAAUGGCUUUUCCUAUAUUAAAAUAUGUGUGAGAUCCUUCACUGUAUGGGGAUGCUUCACCUCUGCAUAGUUGUAGACCACCUAAAUAAUAACGAGUGGUUGCAGGAAACAUUAAGUCAUGGCUUUCACAAUAAUGGUUGAGUGUUUAUAGUUAUGUGCCCUGACAUUGGUUUGUAAUUGUUAUAUUAACAAAAUAACCAACAGACAUCGUUGACGAUGUUCAAAUAAAGGAUAAAGGAAAGUAUAAUUACAGUGCAUGCUCAGUUGCUGAAAUAGGUCAUCAGCUUUUUAGAUUGUGCUAUUUCAGAAAGUAUUUAGGCCUUCUUUGGUGGAUUCUGCCUUUGUUUCAUAUACUCUUAUGUCUUUCUCCAUUUAAGUUGUUCUGACAGGGUAAACUAUUUAUUGCAGCUUAAGGCUUGUGCUUCAAAAGUCUUUCAGUGCUGAAUCAGCUAGAGGAGACCAGUCAACUCUGUGCAAUUUGGAUAAUUCAGAAGCUUUUAGAAGUCUUGUAAGAAGAGUUUUUAAACAGAGUUUAGCAAAGUUAGAGCUGGAGCCAACUGCUUCAGAAAGAUCUAUUAGAUGGGAACUUGGUUCUUGUUGGGUGCAGCAUCUACAAAAGCACGAAACUCCAACAGAUACCAAGUCAACGAGGUCUGGGGAUGAUAUUAAGACUGAACAUGCUGUCAAAGGUCUUGGGAAGCAAUUUAAAUUUUUGAAGAAGAGGGAGAACAUACCUAACCUUGUUGGUAGCAUUAAUGAGGCUAACGAAAAUGACAAUGGACCAGCAUGAAUAUGGGAGGUAAUGGUAGACAGCAAAGCAAUGGCGAGCUGAAUUGUGAGAUGGAAUUGAAAACACUAAUUUCUGAAGAAUCCUUCUUGCGAUUGAAAGAAACUGGCACUGGUCUUCAUUCAAAGG
rnacentral:lncRNA from 1 species